CUGGAUGGGAUUCUCCCUGACAAGCUAUUAUCUGAGACGUCUAGGUAAUUUAGCCAAGUCAUUUGAGAAAUGGUUGAUUGUAUUUCUCCUGAAAACUUGUUUCUAGAUAAAUCCAAAGUUAAAAGAUUUUUCAUCUGACCGAUUUUCCAUGGAAUCUUUCCACGUAGAGCAUUCUUUGAUAAGUUCAGUGCAAUUAGUUCAUCAAGAUUGGUAAUCUGAUAUGGGAUUUCCCCUGUUAAGUUGUUGCUUAACAGGUUGAUGCUCCUCAAUAAUACCAUAUUACUACGGAUGAAUUCACGUUCAGUUCCUUGCCACUGGAUCAUCACAUGGUCAACAUUAUAUGAAUAUGUUAUUAAUGAAUAAUCUACUUGAGAGAAUCCUUCUGUCACCAUGAUCUUAAAAUUACUCAAACAUGAGGGGAUGGUUCCAUGGAAAUGGUUCACGGACAAGUCUAGAAUUUGAAGACUUGCUAAUUGACAUAAUUGUAAAGGAAUGUUUCCAGAGAAGUUGUUUGAUCUUAACGUAAGAACAUACAACCCAAAUAAGUUUUCCCCAAUCCAAACAGGCAAAUUACCAGAAAACUUGUUAGCCCCCAAAUUCAAUGAUUUUAAGCUCGUGCAAUUCUUAAUAGACAAAGGAAAUUCAUCAGAGAAAUCGUUCUUGUAUAGAUCCAAUGCCUCGAGCUUAAUCAUAGAUCCAAGAGAGCCAGGAAGCCUUCCAGACAGAUUAUUGUGUUAUAAAUUAAGAACUUUUAGUUCUUUGAAAUGCCACAAACCAUCUGGAAUUUGUCCACUUAGAAAGUUAUGAGAGAGGUCAAGAAUAAUGUAACAUCCCGAAAUAUCAAGAGUAGAGUUGAAGGGCUAAAAGAGUAAUUUAGGAAAGAGCGACUCGGCGAGUAGAGUCGUGACUUUGUCACGUGAUUAAGUAGCCGACUCGGCGAGUCAGUGAGAUGGACUCGGCCUCCUUAUCACCCCUUGAGUCCUAGAAAACCUAAUUUCGUGGAGAAACCCCAUNCCUUAUAUAAAGAUCAUUAUGUUUUCCCCCCAGCCUCUUUAUCACCCCUUGAGCCCCAGAAAACCCUAAAUCGCGGAGAAGCACCAUUGUUGAGUGGAUUGGAGCUUGGAGAAGUAAUUGUUGAAGGAAUUUUGGGAGAUUGAAGGCUUGGAGCAAGGGGCUUUGCUUGGAUUCGAAUUACAUUGCAGUUGGGGCAUAUCUUAGAGGUAAUGUCUCGUUAUUGGAUUGUUGUUAUAUUGUUUCUUCAUUUUGGGGUUUGUGGGAACUUGUCUAUGGAUGUAAUUGGAAGUCUAGAGGUUAGAUCUGAGGUUGCUACCUCAGAUCUGGAAUGAAGAAGAAUCAGAGAGCAUGAAAGUCCCUGUAUUGGAGUGUUUAGUGAAGCUAUCAUGUCCCAAACCCUAGCUCUAAAGUGAAUAAGGCCUAGAUCUCUUUGGAUUCACGUAAAGUUUGCCACUUUACGUGAUGGAUGAGUGGUAGGAGGCUAGAUCUAUGUUUUGGAGCAAUUGCAUGGCCUGGAAUGCUUCUGAAUGGAUUCAGACCGGUGGUACUCGGCGAGUCACAUGGGUGUACUCGACGAGUUGGAUGAAGAUGGCCUGGAACUCGGCGAAUUGUAUGAACAACUCGGCGAGUAGGAUGAAGGAAGCCUUAGAAUCGGCAAGUCUGUUCUUGGACUCGGCGAGUCUUGUUGAAGAGUCCCAAAUAUUUUAUGGUUGAGUCGAAAAUCGGCGAGUCAAGGGAUGACUCGGUGAGUUGUGUGCGAGUGGACUCAGAGUUGUGGGACUCGGCGAGUCUCGGGGUAACUCGGUGAGUUGAGUCGCGGAUUGGGGAAGUUCUGAGCAUGGGGAAUCGACGAGUCGACGGGUUGACUCGGCGAGCAGGGUCAACCAGGAGGGUUGACUUUGACGGAGGACUUUGACUUGGACCAAGAGUUGACCGUUGACUUUUAGGGCUUGGUCAGCGAUGUGGCCUUUAGGCCAAAAGAGGGGUAAAAUAGCCUUUUACCCUUAAGAGGGUGCCAUGAGAGGGUUGAUUCUAGUCUCGAGAGUUAUAUUCAUGAGAGUAUUUGCCUUAUGUGUUAGGCGGUGGCGAGUUCGAGAUUCAAGUGUGGAGAUAUCUGCUUUCUGCUUUCCAGGUGAGUCUUCUCACUAUACUUUACCUUGAGUAGGUAACCAGAGUUAUGUGAUUAGAGUAUUUGUAUGCUAUAUGUACGUGAUGUGUUGUACUGCAUUAUUUCUAUGUGAUUUAUGUUGUGCAUGUUUUUAGAGUUGGAACCGGAAGGUUCCCAGAGUUAGAACCUGAGGGUUCACAGAGUUUGGGUGCACGGACCCAUAGAGUUAUAGCCUCGAGUGGCUAAUAUGUGUUAUGUGUGGUAUUUUGGGGAACUCACUAAGCUUCGUGCUUACAGUGUUUUGUGUUGUGUUGUUUUUUUUUCAGGUUUCUUUCAGUAUCACAGGACGGCACCGACUUGAUUGUACACACCAGAGAAAGAGUCAUAUUUUGGAGGAUCCUGGUUUUCUAUGCAUGUGAAAAAGGAGUUUUGUUUUUGUAAUUCGUUUAUAAAUGAGAUUUUAAACAAGUGUUUCUAAGAAUUUACGAUUAUUUUAAAUAAAAAAUUGUUUUGAAAUUCACAGUGUUACAAGUUGGUAUCAGAGCCUUGGUUUGAGGGAUUCGGAUGCGCCUUCGGGUAAAUCUGGUCUCAAACUGAGGAAGUAAGAAAAGUUUUCAAAUAAAUAAUUUUCUAAAAGUGAAUAAGAGUUUAAAAAGAAAGCAAGAAAGAGUAGUGUGUACAAUCAGCCAGAGCCUGACCGGUGAUUUCCCAAAAUACCCUUACUUUUGUGUUAUGAGAUAUUUAUGAUGCACUUUAUGAGAUAUUAUUGCAUGCUAGAGGCAGGCUAGGUAUUUCACAUCUUAGGACUAGAGUGGCCUGAUCUGUGAUGCCUUAGCCUAGGACUUGUUGUUAUAUUUGUGUUAUGCUUUUGAAUAUGUGAUGAGCGAGAGUAUCCAGUUAGAACCCAUGAGGGGUAGAGUUACAGAGUUCAGUGGUACUUCCGAGGAUGAGCCGAGAAAGUGGAGUUAUCACAGAGAGGGAGUCCUAUGUAUUCUUCGAUGCUCGAAUGUUGCUUGCUUUGUGCUUUGUGGAACUCUCGAUGAUGGGAGUCAACUACCAAGUGAAUAUGACGAUAUUCAGGAGGUAGAUGGCUGGCAUCAUAGGGAGCUCUUCAGUAGCUGAUAGCAAAGAAGUGGGAGGACAACGGAAGAGCCUAGGGAGUAACCCUAGCCAGAUGAGUGCGCUGGUAGAGUAGAGAAUUUCGCUGGGGAGCGAGCACGCGCGAUGGGAUUGGUGAAAGAUCAGGUCGAGCAGCUACUUAGGAGCUCUGGGAUGGUCCGUGUGGAAAGUAUGGGUAGAUGUGGCAGGUAGUAUGGGCCCGUACUACUGAAAGCAGAGGACCCAUACUUGAUACAGGGAGUAUUCUGAAGGUUCUAAGGAGCGGAUUGAGGAGUGAUGUUAUGGUUCGAGUACCAUACAUCGGAGCGGAUUGAGGAGUGAUGUUAUGGUUCGAGUACCAUACAUCGGAGCGGAUUGAGGAGUGAUGUUAUGGUUCGAGUACCAUACAUCNNNNNNNNNNNNNNNNNNNNNNNNNNNNNNNNNNGUUAUGGUUCGAGUACUAUACAUCGGAGCGGAUUGAGGAGUGAUGUUAUGGUCCAGGUACCAUACAUCGGAGCAGAUUGGGGAGUGAUGUUAUGGUAGGGUACCAUACACCGGGGCAUAUUGAGAAGAGAUGUCAUGGAAUGAGUACCAUGGUUUGUAGUGAAUGAUGCUUGUGGUUCUCCGGUUAUCCGGUCAUGAGUAAGUUCGAAGAGGCGUCCAUUGAGAGGGAGAUCGAGAGCCCCUCAGAGUAUUUUAGUAAGGAGUCAGUGAGAAGGGAGAAUUUCGAUCUGAGUUGAGUAAUCAGUCGAUAAAGGAGAUGUCACCUCCUAUGAUCUGGGAGGUCCUGAUUAUGUUCGUGUGAAAAAUAUGAGAAGCAUGAUGUUUUGGUUUUGGGUUUAGGGGUAAACCCUGCAGGUCGUCAUUGAUGAUGAUUUCCCACCAGAGUAUCAGGUAGCAUGUGUGCUGUGAGGCAGUGAUUUAUCAUGAGCAGAUAGUCAGUUGGGACUGAGAUAGUCGAGGGCCACGCUACACCUAUUGAGUAUAGUAGGGUGUACGGUAGUGGUUGAUAUGGGCAUAUUUAGUUAUAAACUUCAUGCAUUAUCUUAAUACUUUAUGUUGAUUUUAUCUCAUUUAAUGAACAAAAGGUGCUUAAUUAGUUUAGAAUUUCAUUUUUCAGCAAUAAUGACAUGCUCGGAAGGAAAAGGAAGCGGAACUAGCGAUUGGAGGCUUGGAUAUUGGAUUUUGAAGAAAGAAGGAUGUUGCUGGACAGCUUGACCCCUCGUCAGUGUUUUGGCCAUAUCUCAUGAAUCGUAACUCCGAUUGACGAGAUUCAAAAUGUUCUGAAAGGUAGACACAAUUUCGGACGACCUUCGUAUUUUGAGAAAUGCUGAUUCGAAACAUACUCAGCGAGUAGGGUCGAUUACUCGGCGAGUUGUAUCGAACUUUCGCGAUUUUGGACGCGCUGACUUGCUGUACACGGGUUUUAAGUGACGGACUCGCCGAGUAGGUCACUAGACUCGCCGAGUAGCCUCUGUUUUGUGAAAAUCUAUAUAAAGGGACUUUCAGAUCGAUAUCAUAGCAUGGAGAGAAACCCUAGGAGGCUGAGAAACGAUUGGAAGUGUUGCUAGGUCGUGAGGAACUGAAGAAUCAACCCUACAUUCAAUUGUGAAGAGAAUCAAGACAAUUUUGGUUUAUUCUUAGUAACUUUUUGAUUUGAAUCAUGUUUACAUACUUUGAUUUCGUUUUUGAGUUUAUGUUUACUGCAAUCAUGAGCUAAAAACUUAUUCUUCUGUUAGGGUAGACAAUUUUGUGAACAUGGAUUGAUUAUUUGAGUAGGAUUAAUUUUAAUUGGUAAUUAUGUUUUGUUAAGCUUGUUAAAGAACCUUAUGUGUUGACAAUAACUAUUCUUCUGUUAAUAAAUCAGUAAUUAAGUUGUAUGAACAUCUCUUAGUUAUUAAUUUCAUAUGAUUUAUUGUGACCACAUAGUUGUAUGUCUAGGAAUAACGAACGUGAAACUAGAAUUAACUAGAAGAUAGGUAAGUUAAUGUGUAAGCUUGUUGGAUGAACAUCGACAAGAGGUUAAUUGAAGGGCCAAUUUAGUUAACCACUACAAGUCUUACUUAACCCGAAUCAAUAAUCUAGGAAACCCGUUAAUUUAGACAACUGGCCAUUGCUUGAGUUAAUUUGUUUUCUAAGAAUUAGGAAUAGCGAACGUGAACCUAAUUAUCUUAAUCGGUAGCCAAUGAAGAAUUAAUCUGAUACAUUAAAAUCAUCCAUGGGAACAAAUGAGUCGUACCUAAACAGAAGUCCUCUUUACUAUUGAAUUUAGUUGGUAAUUAAUUGUUUUAGUUGCUAGUUAGUUAAUUUGUGUGUUGGUUAUUCUAAUUAAGUUUCUAGUCUUGUAAAACUAGAGAAAACCCCCUUUUUGUUAUUUGUUUUAUUUAGAUAAUAUUAGCAUUUAUUUUAAUUGUUUACCGUUCCCUGUGUUCGAUACCCUACUUGCUUGAACUAUAUUACUAAUCGAUAGGUACACUGCCUUUCGUGUGUUUAUUUUGUGUCUAAGUUAGUAGGAUUAAAACUAGUUCGUUUUACACACAUCAAAUUUUUGGCGCAGUUGCCGAGGAAUGGUUCUAAAUAGUUAAUUUUAUUUGCUAAUUGUUAUUAUUUUUUUAUUUGUUGAUUAAAUUUUUUUUUAUUUAGUAUGUAUUUUCCAAAUCUCGAUGCUUUUGAUGCUUUUCUUGAGAAAGUAGUACAGGAAAUUGAGCAAGAAGAUGAGGAGUGUGGAUGGGAUGAAGAUUUGAAGAAAUUUGAUAGAUGGUUAGAUAACAUCUUGCCCAACACACAAGAACAAUCUGAGUCACAAGAGCUAGAGUUAAAAGAUGAAGAAUUUAAUCCAGAAAGAGAUUUGGAGGAACUAGAAAGAUUGCUAGCAGAGGGGUCAGAUGAAGAACAAGAAAAACCUAAGUUGCAGGAACCAAGUUGUGGUUUGACCAUUACCACGACAUGCCCCCUGUAUUUUCGGUUUGUGUUUUGAAGCAUGGGGUGACGACUCCAACUUUGGAGAAAGUUCUAAAUCACGAUCCAUUUAUGAUUAGUAUCUAACCGGUUCCAACCCUUGUCAAUAUUCAUGGGUUUUAUGAAUUCAAUCUCAUUUGGCCAAUUUUUGAAGCAAAGAGUCGAAUUUUACAAAUUGGUCCAAAGAAAAUAUUUAAUGCAACGGAUGGAUUGACAUUGAGUUUAUUGGAAGUUUAUUAAGUUGGGAGUCCAGCUAAAGACUCGCACAAAAAGAAGCGCUUGCGGGAGGCAACCCGUCAUUAGAGUUUUCUUUUCUUUUUCUUUCUAAACUUCUAGUGUUUAAGGAUAAUUUAGGAUUUUUUUUAUUUUAAUGUUUUUUUUAUUANNNNNNNNNNNNNNNNNNNNNNNNNNNNNNNNNNNNNNNNNNNNNNNNNNNNNNNNNNNNNNNNNNNNNNNNNNNNNNNNNNNNNNNNNNNNNNNNNNNNNNNNNNNNNNNNNNNNNNNNNNNNNNNNNNNNNNNNNNNNNNNNNNNNNNNNNNNNNNNNNNNNNNNNNNNNNNNNNNNNNNNNNNNNNNNNNNNNNNNNNNNNNNNNNNNNNNNNNNNNNNNNNNNNNNNNNNNNNNNNNNNNNNNNNNNNNNNNNNNNNNNNNNNNNNNNNNNNNNNNNNNNNNNNNNNNNNNNNNNNNNNNNNNNNNNNNNNNNNNNNNNNNNNNNNNNNNNNNNNNNNNNNNNNNNNNNNNNNNNNNNNNNNNNNNNNNNNNNNNNNNNNNNNNNNNNNNNNNNNNNNNNNNNNNNNNNNNNNNNNNNNNNNNNNNNNNNNNNNNNNNNNNNNNNNNNNNNNNNNNNNNNNNNNNNNNNNNNNNNNNNNNNNNNNNNNNNNNNNNNNNNNNNNNNNNNNNNNNNNNNNNNNNNNNNNNNNNNNNNNNNNNNNNNNNNNNNNNNNNNNNNNNNNNNNNNNNNNNNNNNNNNNNNNNNNNNNNNNNNNNNNNNNNNNNNNNNNNNNNNNNNNNNNNNNNNUUUGACACCCAAGACAUGGAUGAGUUGUUCCCAUGUCUAAAGUCAAUUGAAGAUGGAGCUGAAGAGAAGAGAUAUCAACCUCGCCACUACUAUCCCAGGGGAGUUUGUUCCAAUUCUCUCCUUAUUUUUAUUGUUCUUUAUCAUGCAUAAUAUGCAAUGGGGACAUUGCAUAAAUUAAGUGUGGGGUAGGGGGUUGGUUGGUUACACUAGUUAAUUUUGAAAGUUUUGCAUAAAAUUUGCUAGGAUUAAUUUAUAAAAUUUUGGUAAAGCAAUUAGGGAUCAUGCUAGUAUUAUAUUUGAUGAUUGCAUGAAGACCCAAAUGUUUAGUUGAGCCUAUAUACGUUCUAGUGCAUUUGUGGCUUCCUUAUUCUAGUGAAAUCAUGGGACAAAAACACGACCUCGCUUAGUUUGAAGGAUGCAAUAUGUUUAGCAUCGUGUACCAGAAAUGUAUCCAGGAAAAUUAUUAUCUUUAGCCAAUAAAGGUUGAAGUUGAGCGCCCUUGCUUAAGCAUGUAGGUUUUGAGUGAAAAAAAGUGAGGUACAUGUAAAAAAAAAAGAGAAUUACAAGAAAAGUUGUAAGAAUUUUGGAGCAAUUAAAGUGAAGAUCAAAAGAUCGAAAAUUCCGAAGAAAUUCAAAAAGUUGAAGAUACCAAAAAUCAAACAACAAGGUGGUGAAUUCAAAGAAAUUAAAGAUCAAAUGUCAAAGAAGUGAAGAAUUCCAAAGAGCUCCAAUGUGGUAUCAUAAAUUGUAAUUGUCUAGAUUAUGUAUGCUUGGGUUGCUCAACCAAAAAUACCUUGAGGUUAAGAGGUUUUCUGAGGAUGGAUUCGGAGGGAUGCAUAAAAUGAGCAUUGUUCGGAAAAAGUGGGCGAAUGUUUAUGAGGAUUGUGAGUAUUUGGUGUAUGUGGGGUUAUUAGGAAAAUUUUAGACACAAAUGCAUGCGUUGCGGUCUUGGCAUAAUGGUUGGGUUUGAUUGGGAUUGUCUUAUGUAAUAUUAGUAUACUAAAAUUUAGUUUUGCUUGGGGGCAAGCAAAAGUCAAGUGUAGGGUAUUUUGAUAUGGGCAUAUUUAGUUAUAAACUUCAUGCAUUAUCUUAAUACUUUAUGUUGAUUUUAUCUCAUUUAAUGAACAAAAGGUGCUUAAUUAGUUUAGAAUUUCAUUUUUCAGCAAUAAUGACAUGCUCGGAAGGAAAAGGAAGCGGAACUAGCGAUUGGAGGCUUGGAUAUUGGAUUUUGAAGAAAGAAGGAUGUUGCUGGACAGCUUGACCCCUCGUCAGUGUUUUGGCCAUAUCUCAUGAAUCGUAACUCCGAUUGACGAGAUUCAAAAUGUUCUGAAAGGUAGACACAAUUUCGGACGACUUUCGUGUUUUGAGAAAAUGCUGAUUCGAAACGUACUCGGCGAGUAGGGUCGAUUACUCGGCGAGUUGUAUCGAACUUUCGCGAUUUUGGACGCGCUGACUUGCCGUACACGGGUUUUAAGUGACGGACUCGCCGAGUAGGUCACUGGACUCGCCGAGUAGCCUCUGUUUUGUGAAAAUCUAUAUAAAGGGACUUUCAGAUCGAUACCCUAGCAUGGAGAGAAACCCUAGGAGGCUGAGAAACGAUUGGAAGUGCUGCUAGGUCGUGAGGAACUGAAGAAUCAACCCUACAUUCAAUUGUGAAGAGAAUCAAGACAAUUUUGGUUUAUUCUUAGUAACUUUUUGAUUUGAAUCAUGUUUACAUACUUUGAUUUCGUUUUUGAGUUUAUGUUUACUGCAAUCAUGAGCUAAAAACUUAUUCUUCUGUUAGGGUAGACAAUUUUGUGAACAUGGAUUGAUUAUUUGAGUAGGAUUAAUUUUAAUUGGUAAUUAUGUUUUGUUAAGCUUGUUAAAGAACCUUAUGUGUUGACAAUAACUAUUCUUCUGUUAAUAAAUCAGUAAUUAAGUUGUAUGAACAUCUCUUAGUUAUUAAUUUCAUAUGAUUUAUUGUGACCACAUAGUUGUAUGUCUAGGAAUAACGAACGUGAAACUAGAAUUAACUAGAAGAUAGGUAAGUUAAUGUGUAAGCUUGUUGGAUGAACAUCGACAAGAGGUUAAUUGAAGGGCUAAUUUAGUUAACCACUACAAGUCUUACUUAACCCGAAUCAAUAAUCUAGGAAACCCGUUAAUUUAGACAACUGGCCAUUGCUUGAGUUAAUUUGUUUUCUAAGAAUUAGGAAUAGCGAACAUGAACCUAAUUAUCUUAAUCGGUAGCCAAUGAAUAAUUAAUCCGAUACAUUAAAAUCAUCCAUGGGAACAAAUGAGUCGUACCUAAAUAGAAGUCCUCUUUACUAUUGAAUUUAGUUGGUAAUUAAUUGUUUUAGUUGCUAGUUAGUUAAUUUGUGUGUUGGUUAUUCUAAUUGAGUUUCUAGUCUUGUAAAACUAGAGAAAACCCCCUUUUUGUUAUUUGUUUUAUUUAGAUAAUAUUAGCAUUUAUUUUAAUUGUUUACCGUUCCCUGUGUUCGAUACCCUACUUGCUUGAACUAUAUUACUAAUCGAUAGGUACACUGCCUUUCGUGUGUUUAUUUUGUGUCUGAGUUAGUAGGAUUAAAACUAGUUGGUUUUACACACAUCAANUUCGUUUUACACACAUCAGUGGUAUCAGUGGGGAGUUCAGUCGAGUUUAGCGGUGCAGAGAGUUUUCUAUCGAUGGGGUGUCGAAUAUGGGAGUGGGUCCCUGAUCUUGGGAUGAUCCCGGUGUUGGAGCAUUGGUUGAUGAAUUGAGGUGAGGGGUACGAUGACUUUAUGGUUCAGUCUAUGAGCCAGGGAUGUUAUUGAGCAGUUGAGUUGUUUGGUACUAGAUUAGUACGAGAUUUGGAACGGCUAGAGGCAGACGUGACGAGAAGUUCUUGAGGAGUUCACCAGUGGUUCAAAGUAUAUGAGGUCGAUUCAUUUCCUUAAGGGGAUUAUCGGGCGUUGUGUAGCACUUUCCGGAGGCAGGUGCGAUUUUUCUGGAGAAAAUAGUUAUGGGUUGGUUGUGUGCUAUUUGGUGAUGGUUCGAACCCUAAGUGGGGGAGAACCGGGUGUCGUAUGUAAGAAAGCAGAGAAUUAUCAAGAGCAGUUAUAAGUGGAGUAUAGAGAUAUGCGGUAAGAAAUCAUGAGACCAGAGAUGUCGGUGAUCGAGGAAAGGGGUCAGAGUGAGUUAAUGCGGGAAGUACUUGUUUGAGAAGGAUGAAUGUCUCCACGACAGGUGUUUAUUGGUCAGGAAUCGGGCAUUGGUCGGUGUUGGGGCAAGUAGAUAGAGAAUGAUUGGGCAGCCAACUCCCGGUUCGGUAUGCGUAUCCUUGUUUGGAUUUUGAGCGACGGGAAAAAGGGUUUCAGAGAAUUAUCAGCGUAUUUCGUAACGUUAGCGUUUCUUCGUAUUGCAAUUGAGAAAUUAGAUACACCGAAGUUGCAACUUGGGAAAAAUGAAGAUCUAAUUAUGGGGUUCAGAGGGAAUGUAUUAUUGCAUCUAUAUGGUGCUUGGGGCAGGAGAUCAGUGGUUGUGGCAGGGUCUUGUGAUGUUCGGUGGGGGUGUUCCGAGAUAUUUGGGUAUUGAUAUCUUUAUUUCGAAGUAUUCGUGAAUCUUGAGUUGAGACGACUUGUGGUAUAUCAGGUAUCUAUGGAUCUAGUGGGAACCCUUUCGAGUAUGGGCAUCUAGGGAGAUUAUUUAGGAGAGUAGAUCUUCGCAAGGGUGGGCAUAUUGAUAUGUUGAUUGCCUCCAGAGUCUGUGAUGCAUAUUCGAGUCAAGUAUGGGCAGCUGCUUAUGAUGGUCUGCGGAGCAUGAGCUAGUGGGGUCAGAGGGUGUUGUGAUACUGCGGGGAGCCGUAGUACUCACUAGUUAAAGGGUGUUGUGAUACCGCGGGGAGCCGUAGUACUCACUAAUCAGAGGGUGUUGUGAUACUGCGGGGAGCCGUAGUACUCACUAGUCAGAGGGUGUUGUGAUACCGCGGGGAGCCGUAGUACUCAAUAGAUGGCAAGGGAGUGUGAUGAUGGAAUGUUCUCUGAUCAGUGUAUGACGUGGAAGAGUGUUGGGCUUGAGUAGCCCUAGUAUUGAGUUUUGGAGCCUGGAUGUUGGAUCGGGGGCGAGACUGGGGUCCCCAUCUCUGUCAGGAAAUGUGGUGAGAUGCGCAAGGGAUAUGCGCAGCAGAAACCAGAGAUCAGAGUUGAGACGAUCCUCGGUUGGAUUGUAUUUUCUCGCAUAAGGAAAAGAGAAUUUCGUGACUUGCGUGUCACGGGGCCGGGAUAGUGGUCACGGGUAGGAAGUUAGUGGGAUAUUUGGAUCAGGAUAUGGGUGACCUUUGGAGGCUCAGCUGUGGAGUCAAAAGUUGACCUGGUGCUCAGUCUAGAAGAGGGAUAUGAGAAAUGAGCUAGAGCUUAUCAUGAACAUGUCUGAGGACACCUCAGAGGGAGAGAACGAUUCAGACGCUCAAAGACAUGCUUCGAGCAUGUGUAUUAGAUUACGGAGGGAAUUGCGGCACGUAUUUAUCCUUGGUUGAGUUAUCCUAUAUCAACAGCCAUCAUUAGUGCAUUGGUAUGCCACCCUUUGAGUUGUUGUAUGGGAGGAGGUAUCGGACCCUCAUUUGCUGGGGAAAGUGUUGAUUCGCGGAAGUGGAUGUAGUAGUGAGAAUGGAUGAUUUGGAGUAUGAUGGUCGAACAUUGUGUCUGUGACAGUGGUAUGGAAUGACAUCAUGAUGGGAUGUUUGCUGAGGGCGCGGAAGGGAUUCUGCGGGUGUAGAGCCAAGAGUCUCAGGAUGGAUGCAGGGAUGGAGUCUGGGACUCCCAGCUUGAUUCUGAUCAAGGGCUGUGUGUCGAGUUUUCCUAGUAGUGGUGGUUCUCCUGGGGAUGUUAGAGAUGUCGUCAGUGUGACGGGUUUUCCUAACCCGAGAGUGCGAAGGUUGGUGCGGCAUGAGUGUGUAAUUGCAAGAAGAGGACUCAUGGGAGUUACUCUGGGAUUGAAGAGUGGGUCUUUCCGUCAUCACGGAUUGGAUAGAAUGGGAUUCGGAUCGGGCAUCCGAUGGUUCAAGGCUUCUAACCCUUAAGGGUCGAGUGAUUGUUGAGAUUUGGGUCGAGUGAUUGUUGAGAUUUGGGUCAAUGAUGCUUCAUGGGUAAUUCUCGGAUCGUUGAGUGUGGUUAUCAGAGGGUACAUCCGGUGCCCGGUUCGAGACAGUGGUCAGGACACCGUAAGGAAAGGGAAAGUGUGUUCGAGUUUCGAUGGGUAUGCCUUGUGAGACCUGGUCCGAUUAAGGCCAGGUGGCACGUUGUGGGAAUAUUUCCGGAGUUGAGUUGCUGUAGGCUUCGAGGAUGAAGCCUAAUUUAAGUGGGGGAGAAUUGUAACAUCCCGAAAUAUCAAGAGUAGAGUUGAAGGGCUAAAAGAGUAAUUUAGGAAAGAGCGACUCGGCGAGUAGAGUCGUGACUUUGUCACGUGAUUAAGUAGCCGACUCGGCGAGUCAGUGAGAUGGACUCGGCCUCCUUAUCACCCCUUGAGUCCUAGAAAACCUAAUUUCGUGGAGAAACCCCAUUGUUGAGCAAAUUGGAGCUUGGAGAGGUGGUUCUUNACCCCUUGAGCCCCAGAAAACCCUAAAUCGCGGAGAAGCACCAUUGUUGAGUGGAUUGGAGCUUGGAGAAGUAAUUGUUGAAGGAAUUUUGGGAGAUUGAAGGCUUGGAGCAAGGGGCUUUGCUUGGAUUCGAAUUACAUUGCAGUUGGGGCAUCUCUUAGAGGUAAUAUCUCGUUAUUGGACUGUUGUUAUAUUGUUUCUUCAUUUUGGGGUUUGUGGGAACUUGUCGAUGGAUGUAAUUGGAAGUCUAGAGGUUAGAUCUGAGGUUGCUACCUCAGAUCUGGAAUGAAGAAGAAUCAGAGAGCAUGAAAGUCCCUGUGUUGGAGUGUUUAGUGAAGCUAUCAUGUCCCAAACCCUAGCUCUAAAGUGAAUAAGGCCUAGAUCUCUUUGGAUUCACGUAAAGUUUGCCACUUUACGUGAUGGAUGAGUGGUAGGAGGCUAGAUCUAUGUUUUGGAGCAAUUGCAUGGCCUGGAAUGCUUCUGAAUGGAUUCAGACCGGUGGUACUCGGCGAGUCACAUGGGUGUACUCGACGAGUUGGAUGAAGAUGGCCUGGAACUCGGCGAGUUGUAUGAACAACUCGGCGAGUAGGAUGAAGGAAGCCUUAGACUCGGCGAGUUUGUUCUUGGACUCAGCUAGUCUUGUCGAAGAGUCCCAAAUAUUUUCUGGUUGAGUCGAAAAUCGGCGAGUCAAGGGAUGACUCGGUGAGUUGUGUGCGAGUGGACUCAGAGUUGUUGGACUCGGCGAGUCUCGGAGUGACUCGGCGAGUUAGGUCGCGGAUUGAGUGAAGUUCUGAUUAUAGANGGAGGACUUUGACUUGGACCAAGAGUUGACCGUUGACUUUUAGGGCUUGGUCAGCGAUGUGGCCUUUGGUCCAAGAGAGGGGUAAAAUAGCCUUUUACCCUUAAGAGGGUGCCAUGAGAGGGUUGAUUCUAGUCUCGAGAGUUAUAUUCAUGAGAGUAUUUGCCUUACGUGUUAGGCGGUGGCGAGUUCGAGAUUCAGGUGUGGAGAUAUCUGCUUUCUGCUUUCCAGGUGAGUCUUCUCACUAUACUUUACCUUGAGUAGGUAACCAGAGUUAUGUGAUCAGAGUAUUUGUAUGCUAUAUGUACGUGAUGUGUUGUACUGCAUUAUUUCUAUGUGAUUUAUGUUGUGCAUGUUUUUAGAGUUGGAACCGGAAGGUUCCCAGAGUUAGAACCUGAGGGUUCACAGAGUUUGGGUGCACGGACCCAUAGAGUUAUAGCCUCGAGUGGCUAAUAUGUGUUAUGUGUGAUAUUUUGGGGAACUCACUAAGCUUCGUGCUUACAGUGUUUUGUGUUGUGUUGUUUUUUUCAGGUUUCUUUCAGUAUCACAGGACGGCACCGGCUUGAUUGUACACACCAGAGAAAGAGUCGUGUUUUGGAGGAUCCUGGUUUUCUAUGCAAGUGAAAAAGGAAUUUUGUUUUUGUAAUUCAUUUAUAAAUGAGAUUUUAAACAAGUGUUUCUAAUAAUUUACGAUUAUUUUAAAUGAAAAAUUGUUUUGAAAUUCACGGUGUUACAAAUAACUAAAAAGCCAUGGACAACAUGGCAUAUGAAGGAGAUUCCUCCAGAGAAUUUGUUUCUGGAAAGAUUUAGUAAUGCCACAGUGGAAGAGACAUUAGUUAUUAGACCAUCAAAGUUGUUGGAGCUUAAAUCUAUGGCUGAAUUGUUAUUAACUUUAUGACAGGUCGGGUACUUUCCCGCUUAUGUUGUUGGAAGAAAGAUUCAAGAAUGUUAACCAGGAAGGCCACGUGUCCCAAAACUCGAGAGGAAUUGUAUCUGAAAUACCAGUAUUUGCAAUAUCAAGACUGGUAAGAUUUUUCAAAUUUUGAAUCCAUUUGGGGAAGCGAGGCCCUAGAUUGCAAGAGCUGAAAUGAAUGAAUUCUAUAUCAGAAAGGUUUGACAUGUAAUCUGAGGUAGGAAAUCCUUGGAGUGAGUUUCCGGAAAGAUCAAGGUUUUGAAGUUUGGGAAGUUCCCACAGUUUCUUACUUAUAGUUCCUUUUAACAGAUUCUCAGAGAGGGACACAUCUAAUAGGGAUGUAAACUUUUGGAUCUCAUCAGGCAAUGACCCAGUAAGUUGGUUUGUUUCCGCAAACAACGAUUGUAAUGAAAGCGAUGUGACAAGUUAUUGAGAAAAUCGGGAAAUGUGACAACAACAGAGUUGUUAUCGAAGAACAAAGUUUCCAAACUACAGAUGUUACCAAAAUAUUUGGGUAUCCCAUCUAACAUGUUGUGAGAGAGAAAAAGUUCACGAAGCUUAUUGUUGGUUAAUAGGAACAACCAAUGAUACAUGUGUAAUACUAUGAAUCUUGAUGAUUUCAUUGAUACAAAUGAGUCCCCUAUAUAUACAGAGGGUAUAGGAGAGAUUAUAGGGAUUUAGAUAGAACUAUACUAGGAAACAACUAAUCAUUAUCAAUUUACAAUAAAUACAAUAAAUGGAGAUAUAUUCUACUAAUAGUCCCCCGCAGUCGAAACUGUAGCCGAGUGGAUGGAGAGACUGGAACGGAAGCGGGUGAAUAGCUGACGCGGUAAUCCCUUUGUGAAGAUAUCGACAUAUUGGUAAUCUGUGGGAACAUGAAGCACACGAAGAGAACCCAAACGAACUUUUUCUCGAACAAAGUGAAUAUCGAUUUCAACAUGUUUUCGUGUGUUGGUGUUGGACUGGGUUGUGUGUGAGAUAAACCGUAGAGAUGUUGUCGCAGUAAAUAAUCGUGGCUUGGCGCACCGGAAGAUGGAGCUCGAGAAGUAGGUUGCGUAGCCAUGCGGUUUCAGUUGCGGUGUUUGCGACUCCUUUGUAUUCUGUCCCGGUGCUAGACCGAGAGAUUGUGGGCUGCCUUUUAGAGGACCAUGAGACUAGGUUGUCUCCAAAGAAGACACAGUAUCCGGAAGUGGAGCGUCGAGAAUCAUGGUAUCCCCUCGGUCAGCAUCUGAAUAUGCAGUUAGGUUGGUAGAUUUGGAGGGAGUAAUGUGAAGGCCAUGGUUGGUGGUUCCUUUGAGAUAUCUGAGAAUGCACUUAAGAAAAUUGAAGUGUGGUUCACGAGGAUCAUGCAUGAAGAGGCACACUUGUUGUACCGCAUAGGCUAUAUCCGGUCGUGUGAUAAUGAGGUAUUGUAGAGCACCGACAAGGCUACAGUAGAGGGAGGUGUCAGAUAUUGGUUUUCCGACAGUGGCACUAAGCUUGGAACCUAUUUCGACAGGGGUUGCACUUGGCUUGCAAUUGUGCAUGUUGGCACGGGUUAAGAUGUCGUUGACAUAUUGGGCUUGAGAAAGGACUAUACCACUAUUUUGAUGUUGAACUUGGAUGCCUAGGAAGUGGUGAAGUUUGCCAAGGUCUGUCAUUGCAAAUUCUUUAGAUAAUAGAUCAAUGAAGUGUCGAAGAAGAGAUGUGCUUGAGGCAGUUAAGAUGAUGUCAUCGACAUAAACUAAAAGAUAUGCCAUUUGGUUUCCAUGCUUGUAAACAAAAAGAGAAGUGUCACUAUUGGUGCUUUUAAAACCGCAUGUUUGAAUGAAUGUUGCAAAUCGUUGGUACCAGGCUUGAGGGGCUUGUUUGAGUCUGUACAGAGAUUUUCGUAGGUGGCAUACCUGUGAUGGGUUUUUGGCAUCGACAAACCCCGGGGGUUGGAACAUGUAUACGGUUUCAUUUAACUCCCCAUGUAAGAAGGCAUUCUUUACAUCCAACUGAUGAAUUGGCCACGAUCGUGAUACAACAAGGCUAAGCACAAUCCGUAUCGUUGUGGGUUUAAACACUGGACUAAAAGUCUCAUCACAGUCCACACCCACUUGUUGGCAUUUACCAUUGAUUACUAAGCGUGAUUUGUAUCUUUCAAGUGUCCCGUCGGCAUGAAAUUUGUAUCGAAACAACCACAUACAUCGUAUAAUGUGAGCAUCGUGUGGGCGAGGCACUAGAUCCCAUGUGUGAUUUUCUAUUAAGGCCUUGUAUUCAUUGGUCAUAGUUGAGUUCCAGUUAGGAUCAGAAAUGGGCAUUUUAUAAGAUUUGGGUAGGGGUAAAAUGGUUGGAAUUUUGGAUGUGGUGUGAAGGUUAAAUGGGGUGUUUGGUUUAGAGAUGCCUACUCGGGAGCGAGUGGUCAUGGGGUAGGNNNNNNNNNNNNNNAGGGGGGUUUGGUGGGUGGGAUGUUGAUCGUCUAGAGUAUGUGAUGAGGGAUGGAGUAUUUGUUAAGGGUGGUGAUGGAUUUGUGUGAGAUGUGGGAUCUAAGGAGGAUGUUUCGGAUGGGAGAGUGGGUGUCAUAGUCUCGGGAGUUGGUUCGGAUGUGGGAGAAUUUUGAGUUGGAGAGGAUUGGGGAUUUUGAAAUAAGAGAGGUGAGGGGCCGGUGUCUAAGAACGAAUAAUUUGGUGGUGAGUUUGAUGGAAUAGUGGCAUAAGGGAAUGUUGUUUCGUCAAACGUGACGUGACGAGACAAGAUGAUUUUACCAGUGGAUAAGUCGUGGCAUCGGUAACCACAGUAAUUGGCUGGGUAUCCUAGGAAGACACAUGCGGUGGAUCGUGGGGAGAGUUUGUGUGAUCGAGUGGCGGAAAGGUUGGGGUAGCAUGCACACCCGAAGACCCGUAGGUGGUCAUAUGAAGGGUGUUUGAGGUAGAGUGCGGAAGUUGGAGCGUGGAAGUUAAGAAGUUUGGUUGGUAAGAUAUUAUGGAGGUAAGCGGUUGUAUAGAGUGCAUCAACCCAAAAGGUGGGUGGGAGAGAAGCAUGAGUGAGGAGAGGGAGCAUGAGUUCGUUGAUGCGACAGAUCAUGCGUUCUGCUUUUCCGUUUUGUUGGAGGUGUGUGGAAAAGAGAAGCAGAUGAGUAAGCCGGUGGUUGUGGCGAAUUGAUGGAAGUGGUGGUUUUCAAAUUCUCCUCCUUUGUCACAUUGAAAGGUUUUGAUGAUUUUAUGGAAUUGAGUGUGUAUGAAUUUGUGGACGUGUUUGAAUUUGUCAUAAGUUUCAGAUUUAAAUUUUAGGGGAAAAACCCAUGUAUAGUUGGUGUGGUCAUCGAUAAGGAGAAGAUAGUAUGUGUAACCACUUUUGCUUGGCAAAGGAGAGGUCCAUAAGCCAGUAUGGACUAGGUCAAAGGGUGUAAGAGUAGUAGAUGUAGAGUCAGUGAAUGGGAGACGUUUGUGUUUUGCGAGUUGACAUGAAGAACAUACAAAAGAAUUAUCAAGUUUAUUGCAAGAGAUAAGUUUAUUAGAACUAAGAAAGUCCAUUACAUGAUGACCCGGAUGUCCGAGUCUAUUAUGCCAAAAAGACGAAUUAGCGAAAACAAAACAAGAUAAACUUGGAGUGAUAAUAGGAACGUUGAUUGGAUAAAGAUCCCCAAUGCUAUUGUGCCUCGUCAGGAGUUUCCCAGUCUUGUAAACCUUCACAGAUAAACCAUAAGGGUCAAAUUCAACAGAUACAAGAUUAUCACGAGUAAAUUUUCGUACGGAUACAAGGUUUUAACAAUGUCAGGUGUGUAAAGUAUGUUUUUAAGAUGGAUAGGUUUGGAGGGGUAGGGUAAGGUCGAAUGACCUGAUCCUAAAACCGGCACCCAAUUUCCAUUGCCAACGAAUACGGUAGGACUAGAGCUGAUGCAUGUCGGGGUGCUCCUAAAGUAGGAAAAACCGGUUGUUCCUCUUUUCUUCAGGAGUGUGAUAGUUACUGAAGGUGAAUGCAGAAGUAUGUCCACGAAAAGUCAUUUCCAGCCUAUGAAAAAGCUACAGAAAAUGGCAGAGGUUUGUCUCACUUUACAAAUAUGUUGCACAUUUGAUGCUUUUAUAUUUGUUUAUAGUAAGAUCAUUAUUAUUUUUGUUGAUAAUGGAAUAUGCCUAUCCUUUAGAGCAAGCGGGUAAAUUUGUGGAAUUGAGGAUCAAUACAUGCAAUUAGCAAAAAAAAAAGGUUAUUCACAUUUGUGUGCUUUAGUCUUAAUAAUUUUAUGGAUGAUACUUUAUAAAAAGUUUUUUAAACAUCAAAAUAGUAAAGUAUGUUGCUAUUUCUAAACUUUUUCCCAUUGCAUCAAAUCUCCGCACUCAAUUAUGCAUGACGCCCUUCAGUUGGCAACAAAGUAAGAUCGUGUAUUUAUAUCUCAUGUUCUUUUUUUCUCAAAAUAAUGUUAAUAUUCUAUAUAAAUUUAAUUUCUCUUAACAGGACACCCAGUAAGGAUUUUAUUAGAUUGGAUCAAAAUAUACUGUAUCCACUUGCUAGAAAGAAAUAAUUAUAUACUUAGAGACAAAAUUUAAAUUUUUUUUAAUCGUUUUAACUACUAAACCGUUUUAGUAUUAAUCAUAAUGAUAACACUUCACUUUUGUUGUUAACCAAUAAUACUUUAUCUUUUCAUUGAAACCACAAAAGUUUCAGAUAUCUUCUUGGAUUGACCAUUUGACCUGUUAUCACAUGCUUUCAGGGGGAAACAUAAUUAAGUGGCAUAAAAAUGGUUGAUUUGAAUAAAUUUAGGAAACCUUUGCUGUUGGAAUAGAAAGAAAAACAAAGUAAGUGUGGUGAAACCACAGAUCUGUCCAAAAUAGUGUUUUCAUUUUUUUGUUUUUUUUUUAUUGUAAUAUGCCCUUUUAUCCCUUUUGUCUUCUUUUGUGCUUUGAGAUUUUUCUAUGCAUGAAAAUGUUGAUAAAUCUUUUAUGUAGGUUGCAUAUGUGCACAUGGAAGUAGAACAAAAAACUGUUAGAAUUGGGGUAUAGAAAACUUGCAAAUUCUAAGAAUCGUGGCUUUCACUUUCAGAUUAAAGUAUUUGGGUGGUACUCCCAAUCUUUAAUCGGAUAAGACUCAGAAUUGAGAGAAAAUAGAAGAGAGAAUGUUUUGAUGUUAUGAAGAAGAAGGGUACCAACCACAGAUUCGGAUAUGAUCAUAUAACAGAAAAAACUUCCUGUCUUAAAACUGCCACAUGACAGUUUUUUUGUGUCCUAAAACUGUCCACAAACGGACAUAAACAACCUUAAAUCUGGGUCUAUUAUGUGGAUCAAAAAACUGGGUACAUUUAUCAAAAUCAGGAUUUCUGAUGCAAUUUUAAUAUAGUAACAUAACAUAUAUAAAAAAAAAUUUCGCGCUGACCUGGCAGCUCGAUCCCAGCUAGGGGCUCUGCCCUUGAGUAGUCAAGUUGAGACACUGGAGAUCUUUUAUUAGGUAGAAGCUCAAGACUAGGAUCUAUAGGAGUGCUAACAGGAGAACAAUUCUCAAAGUGAAACUUUUUCAAGAUCUUCUCAAUAUAAUGAGAUUGAGAAAUUGAAAUCUCAUUGUUUCCUUUUCUAAUUCUUAUACCAAGAAUUACCUCAGCCUCCCCCAUGUCUUUCAUAUCAAAACUAGAUGAUAAAAAUUUCUUCGUUUUAUCAACUUCUUCUAAAUCAGUACCAAAAAUCAACAUAUCAUCUACAUAUAAGCAAAUCAUGACUCCUUUACCAGAAGUAUCAAAGUUGCCAUAUACACACUUGUCAGCUUGGUUUAGUGCAAAACCAUUAGAAAAGACAACGUCAUCAAACUUUUGAUGCCAUUGUUUUGGUGCUUUUUCCAAACCAUAUAAUGAUUUCUUCAGCUUGCACACUUUGUGUUCAAUUCCAGACAUCACAAACUCUUCAGGUUGUUUCAUGUAUAUUUCCUCAUCCAAGUCACCAUUCAAGAAUGCAGUUUUUAUAUCCAUUUGGUGAAUCACAAGAUUAUGUAUAGCUGCAAGAGCUAAUAAUAAUCUAAUAGUAGAAAUUCUGGUAACAGGAGAAUAAGUAUCAAAGAAAUCAAUGCCUUCCUUUUGUCUAAAGCCUUGGAUAACCAAUCUGGCUUUAUACUUAUCAAUAGUGCUAUCCACCUUCAUUUUCCUUUUGAGGAUCCAUUUACAUCUUAAUGCCUUGCAACCAGGAGGUAAAUCAGCCAAUACCCAAGUAUUGUUAUGCAUGAUAGAAUCAAUCUCAUCAUGAAUUGCCUCUUUCCAGAAAUGAACAUCCCUAGAAUCCAUAGCUUCACUGAAAGUCUUUGGAUCCUCUUCAAUAUUAAAACAAUAUUGAUGUUGAGAAAUAGUCUCAUUCCUUGUUCCUUCAACUAAAUAUAGUUGAAAAUCAGAUCCAAAAGACUUAGCUUUUCUAGCUCUGGUGCUUUUCCUAGGUUCAAAACUUGCACCACCAGAAACAUCUUCAACUUGAGUAGUACUCUUGCUAGAAGAUUGAUGAACCAUGUCCCUUGGUCUAGGUAUAGAUGUAAAUCUUUCUUCAUCAAAGAUAGCAUCUCUUGACUCUAUCACUGUGUUUACAGACACAGAGUCAUUAGAUUCUAAAACAUAGAAUCUAUAUGCUUUGGAAUGCUCAACAUAUCCAAUAAAGAUACAAUCUAUACCUCUCUCACCCAAUGUUUUCCUUUUGGGUUCAGUGAGCCUUACAACUGCUCUACAACCCCAAACUUUGAGAUAACUCAAAUUUGGUACCUUUUUACACCAAAGUUCAUAAGGAGUAUUCUUACUCCUUUUAUUUGGAGUUCUAUUUAAGAUGUAACAUGCAGUUAACAUUGCCUUACCCCAAAACCCUUCACUUAAACCAGAAUAUGACAACAUGGAAUUAACCAUUUCUUUCAAGGUGCUAUUCUUCCUUUCAGCUACACCAUUUUGUUAUGGUGUAUAUGGAGCUAUGGUUUGAUGUAUUAUUCCAGUUGAUUCAAAAUAAACUGGAUCAUAAUACUCAGCACCUCUAUCAGGACGCAAUACUUUUAAUAAUUCAUUUUUAUGAAGCUCAACUUGUUGUUUAUAAAUUUUAAAUUUAUCAAGUGCUUCAUCCUUAGAAUGUAGCAAAUAGAUAUAACAAUAUCUAGAUGCAUCAUCAAUAAAAGGAAUAACAUACUUCUUGUUUCCAAGGGAAGGUGGUGCAUGGAAAUCACAUAAAUCACUAUGUAUAAGAUCCAAGGGACAUGGUUGAAAGGUUAUCUAGUGAUUUUAGUUAGCAUGCAUGUUUUACAUUUUUCAUUACAAGAGAUUGAAAGAUUUACAUCUAUGGUUGAAAGGUUGUCUAGUGAUUUUAGUUAGAAUUGGUGUAUAGAAAACUUGGAAAUUCUGAGAAUCGUGGCUUUCACUUUCAGAUUAAAGUAUUCGGGUGGUACUGCCAAUCUUUAAUCGGAUAAGACUCAGAAUUGAGAGAAAACAGAAGAGAGAAUGUUUUGAUGUUAUGAAGAAGAAGUGUACCAACCAUAGAUUCGGAUAUGAUCAUAUAACAGAAAAAACUUCCUAUCUUAAAACUGCCAAAUGACAGUUUUUUUUUUGUCCUAAAGCUAUCUACAAACGGUCAUAAACAACCUUUAACUCGGGUCUAGAAUAUGGAUCACAAAACUGGGUACAUUUAUCAAAAUCAGGAUUUCUGAUGCAAUUUUAAUAUCGAUCCCAUCCAGCGGCUCUGCCCCUUGGACUCCACCAGGGGCUGCCGCCCCUUAGACCCCGCUCCUAGGGGCGCUGCCCCCGGACCCCCGUCGGUUUAGGGGCUUCGCCCCUAAAUAGCAGUAUACUUUCAACAAAGACAAAAUUAAACAAAUGUGCACUCCACACCAUACCGAUUUGUUCAAUAAUUGUCAAAGUAACAUUGAUCAACAAAUUAACCCCAUUACACUUAAAUAACAUUAGUGAUAUAAAAUCACCAACAAAAACUGCAUAUCAAGAAGUCAUUAAAGAGUAUCGUGCAGUUGCACAUGCACGAAUGAUCAAAUAUGGACAAGUUAAAACUCCUGAUCUUCCUAAGUGCCAGAUUUCAAAGUAUUUUGUUAAAUUCAGAAAGGUGUGAGUAAUUAUUCCAUUUAAUUAUGAAAAGAAUACAUAAAUUAAACACAUGUUUAUAAUUUCAAUAUAUGUUUGUUUUUAAUAUCAGAUUGCAAACCAUCCUUUAUUGGUGAGGUGUAUUUACACAGAUAAAGAUGUCAUCAGAUUCGCCAAAAUGUUGCAUCCCAGAGGUGUAUUUGGUGUUGAGUGUACUUUGGAUAGAGUAAUUGAGGAGGUUAAGGGUUACAAUGACUUUUCAGUUCACAAGGUAAUUAAUUUGUCCCUAUUUUGUUUUAAACUUUUGAUUCAUUACUUUUAACAAAAUCCUUAGGUAGGAAAUAUUCAAUAAAUUGCCAAAAAUAGUAAUGUAAUAUAUGCAAAUGUAGUUUACUUUUUCCCUAGGCGAUACUCCUCUUUAUGAGAGUCUUCUUCACAAUCGUUAAGUUGUUGGUGUUCUCCAAUAUGUUACAUUAUACAAAACGGACAUCGUUUAUGCAGUCAACAAAGUCUGUCAAUUCAUGCGUUCUCCAACAACCAAACACUGGUUUGUUGUUAAACGGAUUCUAAGGUAUCUUCGCGACACCAACAGUUUUAGACUUCGGCCCACACUGUCCCGUGACACCACCAUUCAUGAAUAUGUUGAUGCAAACAUUGCGGUUACCACCUACUCUAAAGUUGAUUAGGUUGGGUGUUUGGAUGGUGGUCGAUCCACUAGGAGACACAAAAUCUAUCUUGGUUCGAAUCUUGGUCAACAAGUAAGCAAGUAAACAGAAGACUGUGUCUCAUUCAUCCACUAAGGAAACAGAAGACCGUGUCUUGUUCAUUGAAUGAGGCUGAGUAUAAAUCCCUAGCUGAUACGGUAGCCAAAGUAACCUGGCUUGAAACCUUAUUAUGUGAACUACGCAUCCCGGUCACUGUAGCACUAGUUUUAUGGUGUGCUAAUUUUGGUGCCACUUAUUUGUUUGCUAAUCCUAUCUUCCAUGCCCGCACAAAACAUUUUGAGGUUGCUACUAAGAGGCUAUCAGUUCAUUUGAUAUCCACAUUUGAUCAAAUUGUAGAUAUAUUCACUAGGCCAUUGUCUUCACAAAGAUCUGAGGGGUUACGACCCAACCUUCAAGUCCUUACCAGGCCUUAGCUUGCACGAGAAUAUUAGACAAAUUAUAUUAGUAUAGCGUCUACUAUGUAAUUAUAUUUUAGUUUAUACAUACAUAUAUAUAUAUAUAUAUAUAUAUAUAUAUAUAUNUAUAUAUAUAUAUAUAUAUCCCUAAUUUAUUAUGUUAAUGAACAAUAAUACAAUACGUUUACAUCAAGUUUACUCCUAACUUUAGUAAACUAGGAAUGGUCUUUAGGGUUUGGAAUCUGCAUCUAUCGGUUUCUAACUCUAUUUUUUCCAAUUAGAGAGUUCUUAUAAUUUGAUUUCCUUUUGAGUGAUCAAGUAUUAACAAAACCUAAAUAAAAGUGAACAAAUUAAAUAUAUUUAUGGUAAUAAGGCCUAGGGUCCCAUUUGGACAUGAGGCUGAUCCCAUUCACUACAGACACUAAGUAUAAAGGUAAGAAAAUGUAUGUUUUAAUAAUAUUGUUCAAAGUACUGAAACAUAUACAUGUUGAACCAAACUUGUCAAUGUCGUUUUUGUAAUUAACUCUCCAAUGAAGAACCCACUUCCCUGGAAGGUUGUAUCCUACAGUUAGUUGCCAAUUUUCCUCAUCCUUACCACUGUCUAAUCUGAUUAAUAUAAAUGAUAAAUAACUUUAACAAAGUAAAUAAACAAAAUGACCUUUUGGUAAAGCGAAACUUACAGAAUAUAUCCUAUCUAACCAUGGGGUAAACCCGUUGGAACAAUUAAAGAUGAUGUAUGAAACGAAGUAAGUUAAGCAUUUUAACAAACAGUUUGUGUGCAAAAAAAGUUGUGCUUAAAUGAAAUUUCAUGUAAAUCACUUCUUUGCCUACUAUGAUAACAAUCACAUGAGGAAGAAAGUAAUAAAAAUUAAAACCUAAAACUAUAGUUGCUAGUUUAUCAGGGUGGGAAUCAAAGAGCCUACCGGAGUUGAGGAUACGCCAGAUGCAUGACGACUUCAAUGGUGGACGAAGAAGGCAGAGCAUCGGGUGCAAAUGGUGAACGAAGAAGGAGUGAGAGACGCAUAUCAGGAAAUGAUUCGCGUAUCGCUGAAUUUCUUGUGUGUUUAAAAACGACAUCCAACCAAAAAUGCCAAAACAUCAACAAUCCCAAUGUAUCGGAAAAUGUCAUACAAAUUCCACGUAUCCAUGAAGCCGGAGAUGAAAAAUCGACAAAAAUAAAAACCAUGUUUUGUUCAUCGGCGAAAGCAAAACCACCUAACUCGUGCCAAACCAUCCAAGCUGUGAGCUCCAAACUUGUAACUAUUCAUAAUCCGUAUCCACAAUUAAUAUCUAUAUCUAUAUCUAUAUCUAUAUCUAUAUCUAUAUCCAUAUCAAUCUAUCUAUAUCUAUAUCUAUAUCUAUCUAUAUCUAUAUCUAUAUAUAUAUAUAUAUUAUAAAGCUAACAUUUUUCCUUGAACCUCAUGCAUUUGAAACUCCUAAGGCUGUUCAACUUAUAUUUUUACUCAAACCAUAUUCAUUUGAAACUUCCUAUUUAAAUGAAUACCAUUCAAAAGUCUCUUAAUAAUGAUUAACUAUUCAAAAGUUUUAUAACUUAUAUAAUAUGUUUAAUAAGCAAUUAAUAGAUAGUCUACUAUAAAAAGAUCAAUCUCUUUGAGUAGAAACACAAAUACAAAUCACAUACAAAUUUCACAAAGUAAACAAGUUUAAAGGUUUUUGUGUUUGUUUGAGGGCUUUGGACCAUUUUCGAGCCAUGUUAUUAUGUUAAAGUUUUUUAAUUUGUAAGUUAGUUAUAUACUAAUCCUUAUAUAUAUAUAUAUAUAUAUAUAUAUAUNUGGUUUAAGUAUUCUUUGAAGACAAUCAUUGUAUAUUGUGGAUGAAAUUUAAAUGUAAAUUAGAUUAGAUGCAUAUUAUCGAUCAUAUGAUAUGGAAUGUGAUAUAAAUAGUAUUUAAUUAGAUAUUGUAUAUAUAUGUUUGUAUAUUUGUGUUGCUUCAAAGAAAUAAUUAAUUAAAAAUCAUGGAUAUGUCAUAUUAUCCAUAUUAUCCAUAUAAGUCUUUUUUAAAAUGCAAAUUAUCUAUCUUAUAACUUUAUAUUUUAUUAUAUGUUUUAACAUUUUAAUUAUAAUAGUAAGUGUUUUUUAAAUGUUUUCUUUCACUUAAUAAUAAUAAUAAUAAUAAUAAUAAUAAUAAUAAUAAUAAUAAUAAAUGGUAAACUAGAAAAAUCAUGGAUAUUUUAUAUUAUCCAUGAAAGUCUCUUUUGAAAUGUAAAUUGUCAAUAUUAUCACUUUAUUAUUUAGUAUAUCUUUCAUAUUUAAGUAAUAAUACUUAGUGUUUCAUAAAAGUCUUGUUUAAAUUAUUAAUAAUAAUAAGUGGUUUAGGUUAAUGAGCAAUAAUUUUAAAUGAUAAUAACAUCAAAUUAAAAAUUAUGUAACGUUAGUUACAAAUAAUUUGUAUUCUAAAUGUUCAUCAUUUUUGACAUUAGAAAAUAAUCGCAUAAGUAAAAAAUUUAAAUUAAUCAAUCAUAAUAUUUUUUAUAAAUAAUACUAAAUAGAUAAUUAUAUUUAAUUCUAUUAACGAGGAAGGUGGGUUGAUGUCAAUGAAUAAUAUUGUUCAAAAUAGUUGAGAUUUUAUAUAUAUAAUUUAGUGUAAAAAUAUUAUGUCAAAGUUAAUGUCAAUAAAUAACCAUUUUAAACAUAUAUUUUUCAAUAUUUUAACAAUCCUAUUUUUAACAUGCAACGCGCAAAAAUUCGUCUAGUGUUAUAUAAUAUCCUACAAAUUGUAAGCACAACUAGACCACUUUUAUAAAUUUAAUAUAAUAUAGACCAUUUUUAUAAUUUUGUAUUAAACUAUGACGAAAGUGGUUACUUAUUUAUAAAGUUGCAGAAAUCGUUGAUGUAGGCUAAUUGGUGGACUGGGGUCAAGGUUGAUAGGCUAAGCGGAAAUUAAUCAGGGACCAUUAAUUAUUAAAAAAAUACUCCAUCCGUCCCAAUAUUUGUGACAACCAUCAAAUUCUAGUCAAUUCAAAGUCAAAUAAAGUCAACAAGUCAAACCGGUCAACUCAACUAACCCUUGUGUACUAGGGCUUACGUUAUAUAUUUACUAAACAACUCGCUAUUCUGAUGAGAAAAUCAUAAAUCGAAAAGUACAUACAACCAGAUCUCCUUAACCUAAAACUGUGGUAAGUGGCAAGCCAAACCGAUAAAACAAUGUUGCAUACUCAUCGGGAGUGUAUAAGAUCCUUAAACAAGGCUUUACAGGGUUUACAGACCCAUCAUCGCGAAGCCGGGUACUCAAAAAGGUCACAAAUGAAACCUCUCCCAAUCGUUUUCACUAAAUCUCUCUCAAAUAUCUCUUUGUAUGAGAAAUCCCUUUAAGAAUGUCAAAUCUCUCCUAAAUCUCUCCAAGUAUGUGAAAUCUCUCUCAAAUAUCUCUUUGUAUUGAGAAAUCUCUCCAAGAAUGUCAAAUCUCUCCAAGUAUGUGGAAUCUCUCUCAAAUAUCUCUUUGUAUGAGAAAUCUCUCUAAGAAUGUCAAAUCUCUCCCAAAUCUCUCCAACUAUGUGAAAUCUCUCUCAAAUAUCUCUUUGUAUGAGAAAUCUCUUCAAGAAUGUCAAAUCUCUCCCAAAUCUCUCCAAGUAUGUGAAAUCUCUCGCAAAUAUCUCUUUGUAUGAGAAAUCUCUCCAAAAAUGUCAAAUCUCUCCCAAAUCUCUCCAAGUAUGUGAAAUCUCUCUCAAAAGUUCCUGUAACGUUUUAGAAUCAUUCGGGUCAUUUCGACCCUUAACCGGGUCAAAAACGGUACAAAACGGAGUGAAAACGAGUAAAAUAGGCUUUAGGAACCGAAACCCUUCUUAGGAACCGAAACCAAGAAGAGAGGCCUCUCGGGCCGAAACUCGCGAGGACCGAGCCUCUACUCUGGGUCUCCCUUCUCGGUUCCCUUACCCGCCUCUCGGUUCCCUUGCUUCCCUCUCUGUCUCCUCGCCUACUCUCGGUCUCUAUCUCUCUAUCCGCCUCUCUGCUUCUGUUCGCCUCUCAGCCUUCUCUCCUCUCGGUUUCUGUCUCUUUCUCUCCUCUCUGUCUUCUCGCGCCUCUCUGUUCUCUCUUCCCACCUCUCGGUCUCUGCUCCCUCUCUUCUCUUCUCUCGGUUUCUUCUCCCACCUCUCGGUCUCUGCUCUCUCUCUUCUCCCCUCUCGGUUUCUGCCCUCUCUCCUCUCGGUUCCAACAUCAGAAGACCGAAACUCGGCCAGAUUUCGGAAUUUUGUCAUUUUUAGCCCAUUUUUGAUAUUUUUAACAUUUUAAGCCCGUUUUUCGUGAUUUUAAAGCGGGAUUUUCUCCAGAAAUUAUAUUUUAACAUAAUAAACCCUAAAUAUUCAUAAUUUAAACAUAUUUUCAUGAAAAUCAUUAUUUAAAUAAUAAAAAUCUAAUGGGUGAUUUAUUUAAGGUGGAGUGUUGACCUUGCCUUAUCUUAUGUCACAAGCAACCACCCCACACCCACUCUAUGACCAGCCAUACCUCCCCACCUUACCUAGGUCACUUCAAUGUCCCCUACACUCAAUUUCUACCCAUUCCCACGUUUUUAGAGCUGGAGCAAAACAUCCUCUCUCCUCAUUUCUCUCAUUUGCUCUCAUUUCACCAAGAAUCAAACAACCACUUUUCUCUCAAAAUUUUUCUACAAAAUUCGAGAUUCAAGGGCUGAUCUUGAGUUUUUCCUCCACAUUUGGUAAGUAUAAUCCAUCCUUCAUAUGAUUAUUUCACUUCCUACUACACAAAUCAAAGAUAUCUUACACAAACUCCAUCAUAUUUGUGUUAGAUCUUCGAGUCUUCAAGUGAUUCUUCAAGUGUUCUUGGGUUGAACACUUCUCUUCUUCAACACUUAUCUACUGAAAUCACUCAAGGUGAGUUCAUACCCCUACAUUUUCAUGUUUUCUCAUGUUUUCAGGGGAGGAAUACAAGUUAAAACACCAAGAACAUAACUAAAAAUUUUCUAACAGCCUUCAUCAGAAAAUUUCAACUCCAUUCACGGACUGUUUUGGAAAUUUUAAACAUUUUUGUUUUCAAAACUGUACAAGGUGCAAAUAGUUCAAGUUCUUAGAUUUAAAAUGACUACUUGCACAUCUCCAUACGAUUUUUCUACAAUUUAUGGUGAUUUUUACAAAACUGCCUAUCAUUUCAAACAACAAUCCGGACCAGUCUGUGAUUUUGGACUUAUUCACCCAAGUUUGAGGUCAUUAAAAUCAUAAAAAAAAUUAUGAGUAAACUAGACACAUUUUAUGAAAUCUCAGAAUUUACGGAUCUAGUUUUCGACUUCGUAUGAUUUUUCUAUGAUUUUUCUAAAACAGUGCAGAAAGAUUAAGAAUUAGUUAACAACUUCUAACUAUCAAAACACUUUGUAACAUGUUGAGCAAAGUGUUAAGUCUUUGAUGACUUCGUAUAUUUCAUGCAUUUCUUGUUAUGAUAUAUUUGUAUAAUAGGAAAUUACUUACUGAAUUUAUAAGAAUCCUCCAUCAUAAUCAUUAGCACAAAACAAAGCAAGUUAAACAUAGCUAUAUUGUACUAUACAUUUGACUUACAUAGAAUGGGAUUCUUAAACCCCAUAAAGAAAUAUACUAAACUAUAAUAGGUAUAGUUAGGGUUCAUAUACAUUUCAAACAUUUUAAUAAACUAUAAUAGUUAUAGUUUAUGAUCAUUUACAUAACAUACUCGUACAAAAGGAGUACAAAUACAAAGUGUCGGGUUUAUAUAUAAAAGGGGUAUAAAUACAAAGUGCCGGUUUUUAUACAAAAAGGGGUACAAAUACAAAGUGUCGGGUUUAUAUAUAAAAAGGGGUACAAAUACAAAGUGCCGGUUUUUAUACAAAAAGGGGUACAAAUACAAAGUGUCGGGUUUAUAUACAAUAAGGGGUACAAAUACAAAGUGCUGGUUUUUAUACAAAAAAGGGGUACAAAUACAAAGUGUCGGGUUUACAUACAAAAAGGGGUACAAAUACAAAGUGCCGGUUUUUAUACAAAAAGGGGUACAAAUACAAAGUGCUGGGUCUUUAUAUAAAAAGGGGGUACCGAUACAAAGUACCAGGUUCACUUAAAAUAGUUAUUAUGAUAUUAAAACUAUAUUUCAUCUAGAUUUGUUAGACUUCAACUAAAAUCACUGAGUGUACAUGUUUGAGUCAUAUAAGAAUUUAGUCUUGAUUGGCCUAAAAUUAGUGGUGCCUGCCUCAUCUUCUAUUCCUUGUUUGGUUGUGGACCUAGGGCAGACCCACUAUAUUCAACAUUUUAUCUAAUUUAAACCUUAUAUAACUUAUAUACGCUGGACGAUUAUAGAGGAACUCUACGGGUCAUUCUAGUGUUCAUUAAUGCAUCAUAUAGGAAUAUUUCUAUUCACACUUAACUAAGAAAAUAUUGGAUUUUUCUGGAAAUCAAACCAUAUCGAUUUUACAAGGAAAACGGUUUCUACUUCAAACAAAACUCUUAUGAACUCACCAACUUAAUUGUUGACCCUUUUCAAAACUACUUGUAUUCUCAGGAAAUCAAUGAAACAGGAAAACUUCAGCGCUUUGAGGAUGGGAUGUUAAACCAUCAAUAAUUUACUUUUGUCAUCAUAAUGUAAUUGAUUUUGAAACAUGUAAACAUAUACUUUGGUGUAACUUUUUCAAUUAGAUUUAUGUUGGUUGUAUUUACUUUGAGCACUAUUAUAUUCGUUGUUGUGAUACUGUACAUGAAGUCCUCUACCCCCGGACGUUUCCGCCAUCCUUGGUUUGGGGGUGUGACAGAUUGGUAUCAGAGCAUUGUUUAUAGUGAACUAAGUAUAUCGAACCACAUAAGAUAUACAAACUAUAAAUGCAUCGGGACUAAGGUCUCUGAUUUAAAGUUUUCAAAACAACUAUACUUUUAGAAAUAAAUAGCUUCUUGUUAAAAGUAUACAUGCAUGCAUACAUACUAAGGUCAGCAUCAUUUUAGGACAAAACAAAAGUAAUGAUUGUUGGAUAUCACAGGUAAGCUUGGGGAUGUAUGGUCAGUCUUGGGAGUGGCAUAGCCUGAUCAACUAUGCUGGUCCGAGGAGUGAUUAGCAUAUGCCCAAGAAUGGUUGUGAUGUGGCAACAAGUCAAAAAAAAAAAAAAAAACUUACCGACACUACCACAAUGAAAUACCAUAGGGGUAUUUGGUGUUAUUAUAAUUACUUAUCUGAGAACUAAAUAGAUUUUUAUCAAUAGGUCAAUAAUUGCUUAGUGGAUACAUUAAAAAUUUUAUGUAUCCAGGACGUCAUAGACUUAGAAUCUGUGGAUCUUUGCUCUACUUCCUGUUCUCGUUGGAUUGGGGAUUUAGAGUUAGGGUCUCUUAUUCGAAGUUCUAUCCUGUCCCGAAUACAUAUGACUAGUAUGCACUAAACAAUGCGUUGAAGUACCUGAUAAAGAUCAUCAUGUAAUUAUCUAAUUAGUACGUCUACUUAGUUAUUUCUUAUAUCCCCAUUUCUCGCAUGGAUAACAUGGCUGGAUUUCCUUCCCCACGAUGACCCGUACUACCCUAACCACGACAAUACCAAAUGGCUCGGAGAGGAGUCAGAGAAUGAUUACGCAACCCCUGUGGAUGGUCACCAACCUGAAGGCUUUGCUGAUGAUUCUGACCCACAACCUAAAGUGGAGAACUUAACCCCGAUGACCCUUGUUCCAAAUCCCAACCCUCGACCGGUUUUUCAAGUCUCGAUGCCUCCUUGGGUAGAGUGCUUGGAAACCUAGAGCGAAGAACAAGACCAACCUAUGUCGUUUAAUAGAGAACGAAGCUUCUACAACAUAAACGAAGGAAGCUCAGUAGAUAGAAUUUUUCCAAUCCUGGUCCGUAGAGUUGCCCGAAACGAGAUUCAGGGUAGAACAACUCUCCAUAGUAUCGCAGAGGUUGAUGCAAAUGCAAGAAUACAUACGAUCCGCACCAAUCGCCUUGAGCACACUCGUGAAUAGUCUGAGAGAGACCAUGAAACCUUGAUGAGAGCACAGGCUGAAACACGAACCGAAGUCAUAGAACUCCGAAUACGCUAGAGGGUGUACGAAAGGCCCAUGCUUGAUAUGGAGCGGCAACUAGCUAAACUGAGGGUUCACCAGAGGGAAGACCACCGCCAGUAGUAGAUGCCUUACUUUCUUUCCCUAUUAACAAGGAAUUUUUCUUUUCCCUAUCUAUGCCCUAUGUGGCAUUUUCUACGAAACCAUCUUGUACUGUAAGUACUUUUAGUUAGGCCUUUAGGCGGCCAAAACUCUCCUGCUCCGGAUGUGAUGUAAGACCCUCUCCAAGGUCAAUUUUCCCCAAUUUGCUACAUCUUAAACAUCAAUGACGUUGUCAGUCAGAUGAAUUCUGUGACACUCUUUGUUCGAAUACUUCCUAAUGAGUCUAUCUGAAACCCACUUUAGUCAAGUUGUUGGACUAGAGUAAUUUAGCUCCGGGAUCGUUCCCAAUUUCUUUCCAAGGUUGGAUCACGUUAUUCACCAACCAAUGGAACCCGAUUUUGAAACGAUAAACGUCAUAAGAUCAUUCUCCGAACUUACUCCUACUCUACUAUAAGACUGCAUCAUAUGGAUGUAGGUCAAACCUUCGAGAACAUACUUCAAUUGGUCAUAAUAAGGACCUAGCUUGGGUAAAGUGUAAGGCUUCACUUGGAUACAAAACCUACUAAACUCAUGAAGUUCAUUCAUAUGGACUUCCUUUAUGAAUUACAUAUAAGGCAUUCUUAAAUCGGAGAAUAAUGCAGGAAAAAUCUAAUUCUAUAGCAACUGACUUGUCUUUGCUAGUAGAAACUUACCAUCUGAUCAUUUUUUUUUUUUUUUUUUUUUUUUUUUUACAUNNNNNNNNNNNNNNNNNNNNNNNNNUCCCACCAAGGAAAAGACCCAGCCCUUCCGGCAGCACAGCACCACCACCUCCAACGCCACCUCUUCAGUUUGAUCCCGCAAUGUUCCAAGCUGCAGUAACAGCAGCCGUGGUGGCUGUAAUGUGACAAAUUGGUACAAAUAGCACUGGUGGUGCUGGAUCUGGAGCCACAAACUCUAACCACGAGGAUAGUACAGGACGCACAAAGGAAUGCACUUACAAGGACUUCACAAAUGGAAAACCCGAUUCCUUCGAUGGAGGUGGGGGUGUCCUCGCACUAAUUCAAUGGUUCGAGAGAACCGAAGCAAUCUUCGAGAUUUGUGCUUGCCCCGAAGCGAGCAAAGUCCAGUACGCGACAUUCACCUUCAUCGGAAGAGCUCUCACUUAGUGGAAUGGCAGAGUUAAGUCGCUUACGCUUGCAGUGGCUAACUCGUUAAGUUGGGAGGACUUAAAGAAGAUGAUGCUGAAGGAAUAUUGCUCAAGAGGUGAAGUGCAAAAGCUGGAGCAAGAACUGUGGAAUCAGGCAAUGACCCUGUAAAUUGGCUUCCUGAAGCAGACAACCGCGAUGUGCAUCCAGACAAGUUUUUGAGAAAAUCAGGAAAUUUGACAGCAGCAGAGUUGCUAUGAAAGAACAACCAUCCCAAACUAGAGAGGUUACCAAGAUAUUUGGGUAUCCCAUCUAACAUGUUGCCAGAGAGAUCAAGAUAUAUAAGGCUAUUGCUGGUUAAUGGGAACAACCAACGAUACAUGGAUGAGGUGAGACUGUUGUUUCCGAGAGAAAGGUAUUCAAUAGAUGAGGAAUAAGAAGAGUUGAGAAAUGAAGAAGAAUAUGGAUACAUGACCUGUGACAGCUCACAUCCUGAUAAACUUAAAACAGAGAGUUUUGGGAGACUCAGAAUAACAUCUACCCAAUGAUUUGUUUUGGCUAGUGAAAUCCCAUCCAUGUGAAGUUCCUCCAAAUGAGAUAGAUUAGACAACCACUCGAGGUUCUCAACUCUACACCUUCCAAAAUUUGAAAGGAAAAGCCAUUCCAAGUUGGUGAGGUUUCCGAACUCUAGAGGAAUGGUUCCAUAAAGAGAAUUAAAAGAAAGGUCAAGGACCCCUAAUUGAGUCAAGGAACUAAUGAUCGUGGGAAUGGUUCCAUGAAAAGAAUUUCCGAAAAGAUCAAGAUAAUUCAAGUAGGUUAAGUUAACCAAUGCAUGGCGAAUCUCACCUACAAGACCACAGGACACAACUUCAAGCUCUGUGACAUGACCACCUGUUUGGUUGUUGCACGUCACUCUACUCCAUUCACAGCAGUUGUCUUGUUCAACUGUCCACGUAGAGAGGCAAUCAUAAGGGUCUUGAAGGAGACCUUUGAAAUGAAGGAGACCAUCUUUCUCCUUCUUAAAACACCUGUUCACAGCACCAUUAUCAUCAUCUCCUCCUCCCACUGCUGCCAAUUGGUUAGCACUUGUAGUCUCCGGACAUAACAAAAGAAGUGAGAAUAUUAUAAAAACACAAGGAUGCAUGGUGUAAAUGCAAAUCUUAAUUGGUGAUUUUUUUUUUUUGUUUUUACUAAUGGAAAGUUGAAGAUGCCCCAUGCAGCUUUAUAUAGUGCUGCCAACUGUGAAAAUGAAGGAUUCAAGUGGAUGGCCUUAAACUGCAGACCUAUUUGUUGGUCAUUUAUUUAAAAAUUAAGAUAAAAUAUUACCCAGCCAAGUGAAAUUACAAUGCAUAAAAUAUUAGUGUAAAUUACACAAAAAUAGAAUGGUUCAAGUAAAGACAACAAUUCUCGUGAGAACGCGUAGGAACAAAAUUCUUUUUUUCCUCUUUUUUCAUCAAUAUGGAAACAUAUUUUAAGGCUAAAAAAUAAUAAAUUCUAGUGUUCUUUAAUAAAGUAAAACAAUAUAUAAUAAAAAAUCAACACCAUUCAUCAAUGAAUACAGUUUUAGAAAAAUAUAUAUAUAUUUUUUAUUUUGGUAUGGAUGUUUAAUUGUAAGGCCUAAAAAAUAGAGAUUUUCGUAUAUUUGUUAAAAAUAAAUAAUUAACAUUCGAUCAUAUGUGAAAACAACAUACUCAUCAAUGAAAUAAAGUGCUAUAAAACACUUCCUAUAUCAAUAUAAAUGUCUAUUUUUACGUCAUAAAAAGAUAUUUUGGUAUACUUGUUUUUUUUUUUUUUUAAAAAGAUAAAAAUAAUUAAGCAAAUUCAUCAAUGAAAACACCGUAUUCGUCAAUGAACAAACUGUUAAUAAAGACUUUGUACAUCAAUUUGGUUAUCUAAUUGUAUAAUCUACAAAUAUAUAAAUUUGGGUAUUUUUGUUUUUAUUUUUUGAAUAUAUAUAUAUAUAUAUAUAUAUAUAUAGGGUUGUAAACGAACCAAACGAACACGAACAAUGUCUUGUUUAUGUUCGUUUGUUUAAGUUAGUCGAACAACAAACGAACACGAACGGAUAAACGAACGAGAUUUUCUUGUUCAUGUUCGUUCGUUUAACAAAUUACUUUGUUCAUGUUCGUUCAUUUAUGUUCGUGAACAUGCUAAAUGAACAUAAACGAACAAACAUAAACGAACANAACGAACAAAGAUAAAAAAAAAACACAAUUGAACAUAUAUGAACAUAAACGAACAUAUAAUAUAACAAUAUAAUAAAAAAUAAUUGAAUAUAGAUGAAUAUAAAUAAACUUAAACGAAUGAACAUAAACGAACGUAAAUGAACAUCAUAAACGAACGUUUACGAGCAUAAAUGAACGAACGAGACCAUUGUUCAUGUUCGUUCAUUUAACUAAACGAACGAUAAUUUUUGCUCAUAUUCGUUCAUUUAUUAAAUAAACGAACAUAAACGAACUUUUAGUCGAAACGGUUCGCCGAACGUUCAGUUCGUUUACAGCCCUAUAUAUAUAUAUANNNNNNNNNNNNNNNNNNNNNNNNNNNNNNNNNNNNNNNNNNNNNNNNNNNNNNNNNNNNNNNNNNNNNNNNNNNNNNNNNNNNNNNNNNNNNNNNNNNNNNNNNNNNNNNNNNNNNNNNNNNNNNNNNNNNNNNNNNNNNNNNNNNNNNNNNNNNNNNNNNNNNNNNNNNNNNNNNNNNNNNNNNNNNNNNNNNNNNNNNNNNNNNNNNNNNNNNNNNNNNNNNNNNNNNNNNNNNNNNNNNNNNNNNNNNNNNNNNNNNNNNNNNNNNNNNNNNNNNNNNNNNNNNNNNNNNNNNNNNNNNNNNNNNNNNNNNNNNNNNNNNNNNNNNNNNNNNNNNNNNNNNNNNNNNNNNNNNNNNNNNNNNNNNNNNNNNNNNNNNNNNNNNNNNNNNNNNNNNNNNNNNNNNNNNNNNNNNNNNNNNNNNNNNNNNNNNNNUAUAUAUAUAUAUAUUCUUAAAAAAUAAAAGAUAACAAAAGAUAGGCAUAUUCAUCAACAAUGGUUUAUUAUUUCUCAUUUUUAGAAACAAACUAUAAGAAAAAUUAGAAAAGAAGAAUUGAAAUAAAUUGCCCCAAAUCAAACGUUCAAGGACUUAUACAUCAUUCGGGCCAUAAAAUACUUAUUUUCCUUUAAAUUAGAACCAUUUUAUAAGGUAGGUGUAAAAUCCGUGUACUACACGGAUUGAUUAAAAAAAAUUAUAUUUGAAGAUAUAAACUUUAAAUAUUUUUUUAAAGAAAAAAUUAAAUAUUAAAAUGUAAAUAUUAAGUAUUUUUUAAAAUAAAAUUUCAAAAUAUAUAUACAAACAAAAUGAUGAAUAAAUAAAUAAUUAAAUUUAUAUUAAUAAAACAAACUAUAGAAAAAUAAUUACAUUUUGACCGGAUAACAUUUUUUUUAGUUUGCCAAUAAAAAGCAACAAAAUUUUAUUAUUUUUUUUUAUAUAGAUUAUUUUGUCUAAAAUGACAAUGAACUUUAAAAAAAACAUGUCAAUUUUAAAUUAUAUAUAUUGAAGAAAACAUAUUAAAAUUUGAAAAUAUAAGGAAAGAAAUUAACGACACAUUAAUUAAUUUCUAUUACCUAAACAUUAGAUAGUUAAUUAAGAAAAUCAAAAAUUACCAUAAAAUAACAAGUGGAAAUUAAUUUUUAAGAAUUAACCACAAAAUUACAUGUGUCCAAAUGCAUAAGAAAUUGACAAGUGGCAAAAAGUUCUUUAUUUAUUAGGAAGGAUUAGAAAAAGAAGAAUUGGAAUAAAUUGCCCCAAAUCAUAGGAUUCAAAAGCUUAUACAUCAUGUGGAGCAUUAAAGAUGAAGAAUUGAAAUGAAUAGCCCCAUAUUAGACAUUCAAAGGCGUAUAUCUUAUCUAGAGCAUACAAAACUUAAUUCCCAUCUCGCAUCAUAAUAACCAAACUAUAAGACAAAUUCGACAUGAAGAAUUGAAAUAAUUUGCCCCAAAUUAGACGUUCAAAGACUUCCAGGCUUUGGAAAUUUGUAUUUUUUCAUUUUGUGAUAUCUUUUGGUCCUCAUGUUAACUCAAAGUGGGGAAACAAAUAAAAAUAAUAAAAAAUAAAAUCAGCCCCUAUGGGCCUAAACGCUGAGUGAUAAAUGAUGCGACUUCAGAGAAUAUUUUUGGAUAAAAUAAGACUAAUUGUUUUUGUAUUUUGCACUGAAUAAACCGUUCAAAUAAGAGCAAAUUGUCAUUUUACCCUUAUAUCUAAAAGAUGGCCAUUAAGAAAACCGAUACCAACCGCUUUCAAUUCUGUUUUGUGGCUUUAGGUUGUGUGGUAUAACAUAUUUCUUUUAUUGAGUUAUAUAAUAUUUCAUGGUAAUGUAUCUUGAUUACUUUUUUACUUAUCACUAAUAUAUGUUCAUUUUUAUGUAGAUUCGUACCUUCCUUAGGUGCAUGAUACCGUUGAUAUAUGUGGGUUAUUUACCCCUUCUUGGGAGCUAUCUGACAACAAUGUACUUCGCAGUGGCUUUAGAUGGAAAUCAUGAACCCCUACUCUUAGCAGUUGGUUUGGGAACCUUAGAGUGUGAAGAAUCAUGGAGAUGGUUCAUGAUGAGGUUAAAAGAUUGUUUAGGUGAGGACAUAGAGGUUGGUUUCAUAAGAAACCUAUGUGAUAAAAUAGACUUUGGUGUUCAGAGUGCCUACCCGGAUUCCUAUCAUGGAUAUUCUCCUAAAGAUAUAGCUCGAAAAAUAUGUGAGUUUGUCGGACAUAACAAUACGGAAGUCGAAUCGUUGUCUUGGAAGUCAUGCAAUGCAUAUAGCGUUGAUGAUUUUUACUUGUGUUUGGAAAGGUUGCAAAGUACAUGUAAGAAACCACCUUUCUACACCUUGCUUAGGAGUUCAAUUUACUGGCUUGACGAUAUACCGAUUUCAAAAUGGACACGAGCAUUUUUCCCAAAAAUACGUUACAAUGUUAAAUCGAUUGACGUCCCUGAAAUUUCGCAAAUUAUAUCCAUACGUGAGUUUCCUAUAACAACGAUAAUUAAGUUAAUCACUACGUCGAUACAAUCAAAGUAUGGUGAAUGGGCUGAAGUGGCAGGUAAGGGAGAUUGUUAUAUUUAGUUUUUUUAUUGUGCUAUUAUUUUUCUAAAAUUUUCAAAUUUUACAGGGAGGUUGUCUGGUGGGUUGACCCCUUACGUUGAGAGUAAGGUUCAAAAAAGUCUCAACAAGUCUUAUAAUUGUAAUGCAAGACGUUUGUAUGGGGAUACAUUUGAAGUCGAUGACAAUUUUGCCACCACCAACGUACAACUUGAACGAAGGGUAUGUAGUUGUGGUAAAUGGCAAAAAAGCGGUAUACCAUGUGGCCACGCUAUAGCAUGUCUAAGAACCCGUACAUCUGAAUCCAUUCACAGAAUGGUUGAUUACAAGUUCACUAAUUAUGUGUAUCGACUUGCAUAUGGAUCUGAGUUGGUGAAUACUAUACCAUCACAUGUGCAUUGGGAAAUACCAAAUGAAACGGUGGUCCUGUUACCUCCCUCAAUGCAGUAGUUAUUCAUGUAGCACCUUUAUAUUUUAUGUAGUAUUAUGUAUUAGUUUUUUAUGUACCCCGUUUUUAUUUUAGUGUUGUGUUACGUAUUAGUUAUCCAUGUACCCAGUUUAUAUUUUAUGUCGUAUUAUGUGUUAGUUAUUUAUGUACCCCAUUUAUAUUUUAUUGCGUUCUAAAUAUUGGCUAUUGAGGAAACAACAUACAUUAAAAGAAAUGGACGUUUAUUAAAUAGUAACGACUAGACACAUACAACAACAAGCAACUUAAAUAACGAAAAACAAUUAACUUAACCAACAUGCAUAUUAAAAAUAAGGGACAUUCUUUAAAAGAUUCCAUGCAUCUAAGUGGGUAAACUCGCUACCAUCAUAUUCAAAACGGUAUAGUUCCAAAGCCACCUGUCGUAGAAUGUCUUCAUCCGUAUUUGCAUGUUCGUUAUCCAACUCGUUAUAAAUACGUUGAAAUUGUUUCACCUUCAUUUUCAUAUCCAGAAACUUCGCUUUGACAUCUCUUCUUCUUCGAUAUUGAGUGCGGUUCAUUAAAUGGUGAAACAAAUGACAGACACGAGACCAAAAUGAUCCAGCACGAACUUGUGGGGGACCCGGUGGAAAAUCCACCUCUACAGUUGUAAUCCAAGCUUGAACCAAAGCGACCUCCUCUGCGUUCCUCCAUAUAUGUGGUGAGUCCAUAAUUGCAAGGGGGGAAGUAAUACGAUACAAUUACAAUGGAUAUUAAAAACUAUUUAUAACAACUCCUUAUUUUCCUGGUGCAAUGACUUGUCAAUUCAAGUAGCAAUGUAUUGUGUUGUCAUUUGACGGGGGAUGACUUGUCAACUCGAACAUUGAUCUGUUGUGUUAUAAGUAUAGUACACUGCAUUCGUCAGUUAAUUUUGACUAUGAAUUGCAGACAUAUUAGAAGAUUGGACUGCGAUUUUGUGUAGAAACUACUAUAAAUUGACCUUAAGUUACAUGCAANUUUUAGAUUCUACUGUCACACCCCAAAACCAUUGAACGGUGGAAACGUUCUGGGGCGGAGGACGUCAUGUACAGUAUCACAACAAUGAAAAGUAGUAAACAAGCAACAACAUCAUCCAUUGCAUUAAUAAUAUAAUUUUGAUACAAGUGUGUUCUGUCAAAUUUUGAUAAACACUAAAGCAUAAAUCAAAAUGAAAAAUGAGUCUUGAACAAGCUCCAUCUUCCUUUCUCCUUGCAUCGGUACCUGUCUAUGAUGACCUGAGGAUACAAGUAAUUUUGAAAGAGAGUAUCAGUUUUAAAGCUGGUGAGAUCAUAAGUAAUUUUAGUGUCUUAAUUUGUAUGAAAAUACUUGUAUGUAUUUGAAAUGUAAGUAUUUGUAUGUAUACGAAUUGUAAGUAUUAAAAAUGUAAAUGAAUUGUAAGUAUGAAAAUGUAUAUGAAUUGUAAGUAUGAACAUGUUUGUAAAACAACUGUAAACGUUUGAAAAACCCUAGAAAUCCCUAUGAUUCCUACUAGUAACAAAAGGAGUCUUCUACCAAGACUUAACUGCUCUGAAUGUAGUCUUCUACCAAGACCUAACUGUUCUGAAUGUAGUCUUCUACCAAGACCUAACUGUUCUAAUUGUAGUCUUCUACCAAGACCUAACUGUAAUAGUAUUACCCUUUAGUACUCGGGCAAAUAACAAUGUUAACUGAAGACAUCCGUAGAUGUACAUUUACCUCUGUUGCUAACAGCUGGGUAUAGGAAUAGUCAGUCUCCAAAAGUAUACCUGUAAUGGUAUCAACCGUUGACAUCCGUGGAUGUGCUUUUACCUCUGUAGCUAACAGAGAUUCUAGGAAUGGUCAGUCCCGCAACGUAUCCUUGGGUACUAGGAUAUUAAAUCCAAUUUAUCUUGUCGAUUGUGUGAUUGAAUCACAAGGUAAAGAUAAGAACAAGGAUUAUAUAACAGAAUCUAUUCAUAUAAAGUGUACUAGUAAUUCCUGUAAGUGUACUCAUGUACAUGUGACCAUAUCUAUGUAAUAGUAUAGUAAGGUACUGUAAUGUUCUAGCUGUAGUGUACGUGCUCUCUAUCUAGUAAGUAUAGUAAUGUAUUGUAAUGUUCUAGAAAGUAAGACUCAUGAAUGAACUGGCUCAUUGUAUAAUAUUUCGUUCUAGUAAUGGUUCUAGUAUCUUCCUAAACUACCCCUAUGGUAGUUUACUAGUAAUCUAACUGGUACGUAUGGACAUGGAUGUAUACCCUUGCUACCCAAGGGCAUAGGAUGAACUGGAAGGACCUUUAUGACUAUAUAUGUAUAUAUGUUAUAUAACUAAUAUUUAAAUGACCUUCGGACGAGUACCCGAUAUCCCCACAGACCACAUCUCAAGCGCGAAAAGGAAAUAGGGUGGAUAGUCGUCCUAAGUCUUUUAAAUAUUUCUUAUAUAACUAUACAUAUAGAGGCAUGCAAUUUAUAAUAUAAAAGCAUAAAAUAAGUUUUGUAAAACCUUUGAACAUAAUUAUUAUCUAAGAAAAGAUCGACUUGAUGUCAAUUUAUAAAACGUUUUGAAGGCAUGGGUUUGAUAAAACAACUUUAGUAUAAGGAAACUUUUGUUUGAAUCACAAUUGUAAAUAAGUUUGAAAAGUAAUAUACAGAGUAAAAUGUACAGAGAAAUAAGGAGUUUUAGACACAUAAAGUGUUUAUGAAAUACAUUUGAAGGAAACUGUUUAGUAAAACGGCUAAUGAGUAGCCAAUCAUUUGAAUGCUGCUUAUUAAUCACAUGUGAUUGAUAUAAUAAUUAGCAUAAUUCUACUUGUAUCCUCCCCCAUAAAACAUUUAAAAAAUAGUUUAAAACAUUGAUUAAGGGGUAUGAACUCACCUGUAGUGAGUGGUUCUGAUGAAAAUGUUGGAUCAGUUGCUAAGUAUCAAGUGGUGACUUGAGUACACACGCGAAUCCUAUUUAGCAUAUAUUGGCAUAUAUAUGAAUAUAAUUAGUGUUAUGAACGACUGAAAUAAUGAUUUUGGAACCACCUUAGGGACUACUAAACACUUAUAAUGAAGUGUUACAAUCAUAUAUGAUUGUAUGAGGGUUUAUAAGGCUAUACAAGAGGGUGUAUGGCCAAAAUACACACUAUAUGUGUGGGGCGGGCCUAGUGUGCUGCCNNNNNNNNNNNNNGGCCAGAUGGUGUUCUUGGUACCUUGUAUGAAGAUCUUCAAGGAGAAUGGAUGAUACUUGAGAGGAUUUCGUGUUCUAUGCUUGAAGAAGUGAAGGAAGUGUUCAAAAAUGACUAAGUGUGGUAUAUAUAGGUGGAGUGUGCGGUUGGGAAGGGUGUGAGGCCGCAAACACAUGUGUAUGGCCGUACACUCCAUGUGUUGGAGUGUUUGGCCUCUUUUUGAUUCCUACACUUUGAGUUAACCCAUUUCCACACUCCAACAUUGAUUAUAACACGUUUAGAACGCUCCAAUAGACCCUAAAUGGUACUACAAGAUAGCAAAAUGAGUCUAUUAUUGAUAAGAAAUGAAGAAUGCAAGCUAGAAAUUUUCGGGUUGUCACAUCUACUCUCUUUGUUUCAAUCAAAAUGAGUUUUAUAUCAUGGAGCAAUGAAGAGUUCUUGGUUCUUACACGUGCUUAUAUUCAUGUGUACGAGACAAGCAAGUUGAACGAUCCAAUGUUUUGGAGCCGUUUAACCAAUAUUUUCAACACUGAAAACCGAAUGCCUACAAGAAACGAUCGUGACGAACUAGACAUUUUAGCAAGAUGGUAAGAAAUGAAAACCGAAGUUCUAUUAUUCAACGAUCUUUAUACGAAAAUUGACGACACCCGUUUAAAUGCUACUGAGGAGGUCAUCUUGGAAGCUGCUAAGGAGGAAUACAAGUCAUUAAGUGACGGGUUGGAAUUCCAGUUUGAAGCCCCUUAGAAUAUUUUGAAAUAUAUCCCGUUUGUUUAAAAUCUAUUUUAGUUUAUUAUGUGAGUACUAGGUUAUUUUCAUGUAUUUCGUAUGUAUUGGAUGCAUCUCCUAUGAUUAAUUUGAAUUAAUAAACGCCCAUUGCAUUAGUUUUCACAAUACAUUAGAAUACAUUACUAACAAGAAUUCCAUGAACCAUUACAAACAUUACAACAAUUAUAUGAAAAACAACGACAUAAUACAAACAAAGCAUUAAUGUAAAACACAAGUGCAUGGGUUAUUCUUAACAUAAAUUAGAGCGGUCUACAUGAAAUAUUGUUUAUUUUUAACAACCUUCCAAACUUCCUCAUAUUCGAAGUCUCUACCGUCAUGCUCACAGAUGUAAAAAUCUGUAACAACUUCCAAGAACUCUUCUUCAUCCCGAUAACGAACAUUGGUACUUUUCACAUAAUUACAGGCUCGAUUGAACCAUGUCACUUCUUCCUUUACAUCAAUCCACUUAGUAACAACAUCUGAUUUUUAUCUUUGUUGUCCUUCUCCCAUCUCAUGGUUAAACAAAGAUGUUAUGCGAGUCCAUUCAUCACCAAUUAGGCAAUGCGGGGGAGCAAGUAACGAUACACCAUCCUUAACACUUAGCCAGCAUCGUGUAAGAACUAACACCUCGUUUGUCGUCCAUGGCCUUUCAGAAUUGGAACCAGGUACUUCAUUCGAAGAACUUGCUGCAUUCGACGACAUUUCUAGUUAUGGGAGUUCGUUUCGUUUAGGUGAUUUCGGUGUUUGGUUUUUAGAUCUUAAAUAUCUAUUUAUAUAAAAAAAUACAGGACUAUGAAUUAAAACUUUGAAUAUGAAAUGGUUGCACUUGGACUACGAUUUUCAGCUUUAUGCAGUGAUUUAUCAUGUCAAACUAUCAUUUAUGUCUUGUCACUUAAGGGUUCCACUACGAUUUGCAGGUUACUACAGUGACUUGUCAUUACUGUCUAGUCAUUUCAAAGUUGGACUUGUCAUUACUGUCUAGUAUGUAUAAAUACCACUUAUAGCACAAGUUUAUUACAAUGUCGACUUUAUUAUGAGUUCCUCACACAAAUUCGAAGUUUGCUCAUGCAACGAAGUAGAUUGUUACUACUGUGAUUCGGUAGACCCUUUUUUUACACCCUCUUCAGCCGGGCCAUAUAUGUCACAUGAAAAUUUUGAAGAAUUAAAGAAGGCUGAAGAACAACAAGAAGAGGACAAAGAGUCAUCCCGACUUCUCACUCAACUUGCUAAUGAUAUUGAAUCGGAAUGCAAACAAGCUCAAGAAUGGAUUGACCUCAAUAAAAACAAAAUCAAAGAGCAUAAAGAUUGGAUAAAAAAGAGUAAGAAGGCAAUCAAAACGACUGAAAAACGGCUUGCUGAGAAGGAUGAGCAGUUGAUACACAUUAUGGUAAAAAAGGAUCGUUUCGAAGACAAAAUGAGAAUUAGGGAUGACUAUAUAACAAUGGAGAAAGAGAAGUACCCAUUGUAGUACCCUGAGUUUAAAAAUUAGUUACAAAAUUUUUGUAAUAUUAUCAUGAUACAGAUUAGGUUGUAAAAGGAUCGUUUGUUGUUUUUUUUAAAUAACAUGUUGUAAUUGUUAAAAAAAUCUGCAAACUCUAUUUUAUAAUAUAAAGGCUUCAUUAAUUGUUAUAAUCAACAAACUAAACUAAAAUAUGAAAGCAUAGCAAUGUCUUGUAAGAUUUAAUAAAAAUAUUACAAUACAUAAUAAGUUAACAACUCGUCAUUACUCUUCAUUUCAAGGUUGUUUUAUAUCAAAAUCAGUGUUAUAAGUUUGUGAGCAACUCGUUGAACCACCAAUAUUAAAUGCCAUUUCUGCAGUAGAAAUUAUGUGAAGUACUCCACUACAGGACGCCCUUCCAGUACAAUUAUUUCUCGUGUGUCCUAGUUGACCACAUGUAGAACACUCUUUUAUAAUUGGACCCUCGCCUUGGGAUGGAAUGCGGUUUGUGUUUCUUGGACUGCCUGGAUGACGUUUAUCCAUUAUAGAUGGCUUAACAAUCAUCAAAUCAUCAGGGAUCUCCCAUUCGGGUGGCUUUGGCAGAGGGUUUAUUGAUUCCUCAUAUGUUUUCCUCAGUGUUUUGGUAAAGUAAGCAUUUAAUGCAUACCUCGAGCAGUCUUGGUAUUUGUUGACUGUUAAACAUCUUCUGACAUGACCACAAGGUAUCCCAUCAAGUUGAUAAUGCCUACAUGUACAUGUCAUAUGUUGGAAAUCAACAAUCACAUUUUGUGCCCUCUUUUUGACAUCGCAUUUCGUAUUUGAGAUCAUGCGAACAUCCCAUUUAGUAAAAGUUUUCUUGUUUUCUUUUACAACUUCAUCCGCCCAAGGGGUAAGUAUUGUUGUUGCUUCCGCUAAAAAAAGAGCCAAAAUGAAGAAGUUAAGAUCAAUAACAUCAAAAUUAAUAAAACAUUAAUAUUAAAAAUUUACUUAAUACCUGCAAAGUUACGUCUUUGAAACCACCAUUGUUGCAUUGUAGCACGAAAAAAAUCGAUCAACAUAAGUAUUGGCACCUUAAGUGCGUGUCUAGAUAAUGCAUUUAUAGACUCCGCACUGUUGGACGACAUAAGAUUGUAUCGGUUCCUUUAAAAUGUGCCCUUGACCAAGUUUCUGGAUUUAUACUUUUUAAGUACUCCCAUACUGGUUGUUUUGUCUUUUUCAUAACAUCCAUGACAGCAUCAAAAGCAUCAACUGUGUACGCCCUAUACGCCUCCCAAAAAAUUCCUUUAACUGUCUUACUCUUGCCGAAUCUAGAUACUAUGUUGAAAUACAAAUGGACACCACAUAUUCCAUGAUGAGCGUGAGGAAAAAUGUUGGCAACGGAUGUUGCUAUAGAUGGAGACCUAUCAGAUAUAAUUGUAAGCUCCUGCAUAUUUCCUAUGCAAUCACGUAGUUUUUGAAAAAACCAUGUCCAAGAAUCGGUACACUCAUUUUUGCAUAUACCAUAUGCAACCGGUAAUAUUUGAUUUUGUCCGUCCUUAGUAACUGCAAGUAGCAUGGUACCUUUGAACUCGCCCUUUAGGUGAGCUCCAUCUACUACUAGGGUCGGCUUACAAAAAUUGACAAAAGCUCGUACCUACAAUACAUUGUAUAUCUAUUCAAAUACACCAAAAUAAAUAUUAAAAAAAAAUUAGGACAUGAUAAUACUAACCGAGCAACCGAGUGCGACGUACAAAAACUCAAACCGAUCAUCAGCAUCUGUUUUAANAUCAUCAACAUCUGUUUUAAUAUGUGUCACCGUACCCGGAUUAUGUUUGACCAGAUUGUGAUAAUACGCCGGAAGUUUGGUAAAAGAAUCCUCUUUCGUACCCCUUAACAACAACAAUGCAUAUUGCUUCGCACGCCAUGCCUGAUGGUAUGAGAUAUCGAUAUUGAAUUGAGCAUUCAUAUCAUUAACAAUAUCUUUUCCCCGAUAAACUCUACUAUAGUCUUCAGCCAAAACAUCAGCAACAUAUUCACCCAAAACAUAUUUGUUUGCUUGUCGAUGAUUAGGUUGCAACAAUGUUGAAGAACAUGUGUGUACAUCAACAAAUUUAUUCACUUGGAAAAGUCCAUCAGUAUUUUUAAUUGCUUUUGCUCUUAGUAACCAAGAACAAUUUUUCGAAACACACACAGCUUCAUACCUUGAUUUGGUGGAUCUACUUGUCCUCGUCUGGAAACCUUCUCGAAGACAUUUUUUACCAAUACACCGCUUUAAAAGUUCUUUGUUUUUAAAUAUACUCUCACAUUGAAUCUUUUGAAGAUUAAUGUCUACCAUCUGUGUUGGGAUAUCUUCAUUAAUAUCAACUAGGCAUGCUGGUACAGGGGGCAUAUCGUGAAAAAGGUUAUCGGGAAACUUAGCUUUAACUUCAUCACCCAACUCAUCUCUAUCGGAAUUGCUUUGUAGCUCGAUUAUAUCUAACGUACAUCACCAACAUCAACAUAAUGCCCGUAAACAUGUUUUUUUUUCAUUUUUUUUACUUGAUUUUUUUUCUUUUUACUUUUAUCUACCACACGCCUAUUCGUAACUUUAACUUCUUAUUCGGAAACAUCAUCACAACGACCACCCACAUCAUUAAGAUAUGUACCAACAUCAUCAUCACCAACAGACUUGUAAUUCUCAGGAUCCACGUAGUGAAUAGGUGAAUAACUAACAUUAACAUUUUCAGCAACACUGUGAAACUGAGGUACACUAGGAGUAUUGAAAGUACCUAUCAGAUCGUUGCUCCCUUUAUAACUGCAUAAAAUUACCAACAAGCUGAUUUCCAGUUUGACCACCCCCAUUUACCUCAUCAACUUCAUCAACCACCACAAACACUUUCACAACCCUUCCUCCACUACAUUUGAUUACGUUUAUCAACAUUCUAACAUCCAUGUCUUCAACUAUAGCUAUAUAAUAAUUUAAUUCAGGAUUAUGGAAAUGAAGACUAAUUCUAUAUGUGUCUAACAAACCAAUUUUGCUUCUCACCAAAGAUAAAAAAUCACNNNNNNNNNNNNNNNNNNNNNNNNNNNNNNNNNNNNNNNNNNNNNNNNNNNNNNNNNNNNNNNNNNNNNNNNNNNNNNNNNNNNNNNNNNNNNNNNNNNNAUCAUUCUCAUUUCACAACUCCAAAUCCUUUUUUCAUAAGUAAAAAAAUAUCAAAUUCUCCCUACUUAUAGAAUAUGCUAGAUUCUAAUAUUCUAUGCAAUCAUCCUUUCGUAAUAUCACUAACCAAAGUCACAAAGACUAUUGUCAAUGAAAUUACAAAGUCUUUUAUCGGAGAUUGUUACAAUACAAUUCCUUAGAUAUGAUGUCUCUCACUCAAAGUACAUUCCUUCGAACAUCCUUUUGCACAAAAGUCUCUAAUCUAGACAUAGAUUUUCAAUAUUCAAUUCCUAGUAUGGACACGCUUCCAUAUUUUCCAUAUGACAACUCAUUCUUAAUAGAAUCUUAUCUAUUCNAUCUAUUCAUAAUAAUGUCGAUAUGGUCCAUCCAAUACCAUGCUUCCAACUACUCACAAGCAACCAAUCCUCGUCGAACUUUGGAUUGUCCUUUGAUAGUUGUUUAAUUAUUUUAGCCAAAACCGAUUCUAGUCCCUUUUCCUCUAAAUGCGCUAGACAUUUGGAAAAUUUUAAAUGGUCAAACAUUAAAGCAUUUGCAAUCGAUCCUUUACCCGAAGCGUAUGGGACAUGAUGCAUAAUGUUUUAUUUUCUAUGUUCUCAAAAUUCGAAUUUUGAAAAGGAAUGUCGUAAUCAUAAUCGAAAUUUUAAGAACACACUAUGUACCUUUGACUAAAUUUAUUAACAUUUCUCAACCUAAGCCUUUAGAUUUGAAAUAAAGCAUAAUAUUCUCUCCCUUAAUUAUAGCAAAACAACUUUACAACCUUUACGACUUUGCAAGGUAUAACUCUUGUUUUCUAUAAUUAAUAUUGCCAACUUGCAAAACUUUCCAUAAUAAUCAUAAAAUCAUAACUUUUAUGCUCCCACUAUCAUGAUGAUUAUUAUAAAACAUAACACUUAUGCUCCCACUAGCUUCGACAUGUAUUCAUAAACAUCUUAACUUUCAGAAAAACAACACUUAUUGAAUUUCUUAAGUUCAUGUUUCUAAUACUUAGUGCUUUGAUAAUCUUUUAUCAAGGCUUCUUGAACUUGUACACCUUUGCCUUUGAUAGUUCAUAUGUGUGUCUAAACACUUAAGACUAAUUGCCAAACCUCACAAUUCAAAUUAUGGAAAGGAAUACCGUAACCAUGAUUGAAUUCAAGAAUGCAACUUUACAAUUACUAUCUUCUUAAAAUCUUUCUUAGUAAAAGAAUUUCCUCACAAUCAUUUUCAUGAAGGAGGAAAUCUUAUGACACUUAGAUUUUAAACGGUGUAUGUGUUUCUAUCCAUGUGAAUUUGUUAAAACCAAAGUUUACGACAAAUUCAAACUCAUAUGGACCGAAUUUUCUUAAUCUUGAUCUCUUGCCUUAUGGUAGCACAGCUGCCCACCACGUCUUCCAAGUAGUUAAGCAUCUCACCUUUUUCCUAUCAAUGUACCUUUCAUUGAUCAAGGUGCUUUGCCUUUUAUGCGUUCAAAAUGAGAACUCAUAGAACUCUCAUGCAUAAUUAACUCGAUAAGAUUGGCACAAAAUCAAAAUAAUGUCAUCACAAUAGCUUGUAAACCUUAACUCGUGUGCUAAUGAUGAUCAAUAAGGUUUAUUUAAUUUGUUCUUGAAACCUUUCAANNNNNNNNNNNNNNNNNNNNNNNNNNNNNNNNNNNNNNNNNNNNNNNNNNNNNNNNNNNNNNNNNNNNNNNNNNNNNNNNNNNNNNNNNNNNNNNNNNNNUUAACUUGCCAUCUCCCACCGGUUACAAGACAAACCAAAUAUUCAUUCAUUUUUUAGAGCGAACUUUAGAGAAAUUUCCUAAAUAAAUAACAACCAAACUGAUAAUUUUCUACAAAACUUUUUAUAUAGCAACAUUAUUUCAUAGUCAAACCAAUUAAUUUCAUAGUCAAACUAAAAAAAAUAAUAAUAAUCAUUAAAAAAUAACCGCAAUUUCGCAGAUGGAAUCAGAGUAUAUUGCAGAUGGGGCUAUUCCAUCUUCGAUUUUACCCUACAAAUUAAAUAUAUAUAGAGAAAAAAAUUUUAAAAAUAAUAAAAUAAACCACCUACGAAUGUACAAGCAGCUAAAGCAUAGUUGUGCUUUAGCUGCUUGUACAUUCGCAGAUGGAAAGCCCAUUUCGCAGAUGGGACUAUUCCAUCUGCGAAUUUCGUGGUUAUUUUUGCAACUUCGAUUUUUUUGGCUAUUUUUGUAAUAUAAUUAGUGUAAAUGGCUAUUUUUGUCAUUUUCUCCUUCUAAAUUUCUAACUUCCCUAACAACUAAGAAACAUGGUUAAACAUGUCUCCGAUGNAAAAAAUCAUGAUGAAUAUGAAUGUGUAAAAAUUAAGUAUUUUUUAAAGUAAACUUUUGAAAUAAAUACAAUAAAUAGAAUAAACCACAUUGACCAUUUAUGUAAUUUGUCUUAAUUAAUAUAUACUGAUAACACUAAUUAAUAUAAAUUCACAAAUAGAAUUUAUUAAAUAGAAAUAAGAACUCAUAAAUGGAAGGUUUACUACAUACAUUAAUUCACAUUAAUUACUAUGAGGUGACAUUUAAUAGGUGGGAGUUCAAUAAAAAUGAAAAAAAAUACAAAAAUGACAAGUGGAAAAAAAAUAAUUUAAAAUUCUAAGAAAAUGACAUGUGGCAAAUUCAAUAAGAAGUUGACAUUUGACAAAAUGAUCUUUAUUUAUUAGGGUACUAGGUGUGAAACUCGUAUAUUAUACGGGUUGAUUUAAAAAAUGAUUAAACUUAAAGUAUAAAAAUAAAAUAUUUUUUAGUGUACAACUUUAAAAUAAGAAAUAAAGAAACGUAUUUAUUAUAAUUUAAUAUCAUAUAUAAAUACAAUUUAAUAUCAUAUAUAUGAUAUUUAAUACUUUACAUAUAUAAAUAUAUGACUUUAAUUAAAAAUUAAAACAAAUAAAAAAUUGACAAGUGGAUAAUAUUUAUUUCAAAAUUACCACAAAAUGACAAAUGUCAAAACUCAUGAGAGAUUGACAAGUGUCANUGAUGAAUACAUAAUUCAAUCUAUACGAAUAAAAAAUAUUUUCAUGUUUAAAAAAUCAUGAUGAAUAUGAAUGUGUAAAAAUUAAGUAUUUUUUAAAGUAAACUUUUGAAAUAAAUACAAUAAAUAGAAUAAACCACAUUGACCAUUUAUGUAAUUUGUCUUAAUUAAUAUAUACUGAUAACACUAAUUAAUAUAAAUUCACAAAUAGAAUUUAUUAAAUAGAAAUAAGAACUCAUAAAUGGAAGGUUUACUACAUACAUUAAUUCACAUUAAUUACUAUGAGGUGACAUUUAAUAGGUGGGAGUUCAAUAAAAAUGAAAAAAAAUACAAAAAUGACAAGUGGAAAAAAAAUAAUUUAAAAUUCUAAGAAAAUGACAUGUGGCAAAUUCAAUAAGAAGUUGACAUUUGACAAAAUGAUCUUUAUUUAUUAGGGUACUAGGUGUGAAACUCGUAUAUUAUACGGGUUGAUUUAAAAAAUGAUUAAACUUAAAGUAUAAAAAUAAAAUAUUUUUUAGUGUACAACUUUAAAAUAAGAAAUAAAGAAACGUAUUUAUUAUAAUUUAAUAUCAUAUAUAAAUACAAUUUAAUAUCAUAUAUAUGAUAUUUAAUACUUUACAUAUAUAAAUAUAUGACUUUAAUUAAAAAUUAAAACAAAUAAAAAAUUGACAAGUGGAUAAUAUUUAUUUCAAAAUUACCACAAAAUGACAAGUGUCAAAACUCAUGAGAGAUUGACAAGUGUCAAAAAAAACCUUCAUUUAUUAAAAAAGAUUNNNNNNNNNNNNNNNNNNNNNNNNNNNNNNNNNNNNNNNNNNNNNNNNNNNNNNNNNNNNNNNNNNNNNNNNNNNNNNNNNNNNNNNNNNNNNNNNNNNNNNNNNNNNNNNNNNNNNNNNNNNGUAUAAUUUUUGAACAAUUUGUAUAAAAUACUUAAAUUAUUAAUUCAAAUAUAACAUUAUAGGCUCAACUUAAAUAUAAAUUUUAUUUAACUUAAACAACCCAAAGAUUAUUUUAUAAAUAAUUAAAAGUGAUAAAUUGUAUUGUCUUUCUAAUAAUGAUUGUAAGUUGGUUAAUAAGGUUAAAUAAAUAUCAAACCUAAAGUGUAAUCAUAAAUAGACUAAAUUUCAAUUUUUAAAUAAUAUAUUUAUUUCUAUUUAUAAAGUUAUGUAUUUAAAUUUUAACACAUUAUACUUAAUUUAUUAGAUUUAAAAUGUUGUUGCAUGUAAACCAUUAUCAGUUUAAAGCUACAAUUUUUGAACAGUUUGGACAAAAUACUUAAAUUGUUAAUUUAAAUAUAACAUUACAGUGUCAACUUAAAUAUAAAUUUCAGUUCCACUAAAAAAACCAAAUAAUAUUUUGUAAAUAGUUAAAAGUGAUAAAUUAUAGUAAUAAAUGCAAAAACUAAAUUGUAAUAUCAGUUUAACUAAAAUAUUUCCUAAAUAUAUUUAUAUAGUCGUUAAAAAAUUUCAAAUACGUAGCUUAAAAUAACUUAUAAUAACAAUAGUUGCAAAUAACUCUAUAUAAAUUAUUAUAUUGUUAACUUUAAAAUCAAAAAAUAAUGUUUGAUGUUUUAAAUAAUUAUAAUGAUAGAAAUUAAAACAUUAAGCAAAUACAUUUUAAAAAAUUAGUUAAAAAUAAUAACUAUAAAUAAUAUUAAACCAUAUAUAAUAUUUAAUUUUAUUGAUGUGUAACUCGCGAGUAGAAGUCAUUAAAACGAUUGAGAUUAUGACGUUAUAAUAGAUUUAUAUAUUAUCAUAUAAUUCAAAAUAGUCAAUAUAUUAUAUCAAACUAAUAUACGAAUUAUUAUAUCAAAUUUAACAACAAUGUUAGUGUUAUAUUUUAAUAUAUAUAUAAAGACUUCAACUAUAUAGGUGUUUCUGCGCAUUACAAUGUCAACUCAAAAAUAUAAAUUUCAUUUCCAUAUUAAAAAACUAAAGAAUAUUUUAUAAAUAGUUAAAAGUAAUAAAUUGUAGUGAUAAAUGCAAAAACUAAAUUGUAAUCUCAAUUUAACUAAAAUAUUUCUUAAAUAUAUUUUUAUAAUCGUUAAUAGUUUCCAAAUAAGUAGCUUAAAAUAAUUUACAAUAACAAUAGUUAAAAACAACUCUAUAUAAAUGAUUAUAUUGUUAGCUUUAAAAUAAAAAAACAAUGUUUGAUGUUUUAAAUAAUUAUAAUGAUAGAAAUUAAAACAUUAAGCAAAUAAAUUUUAAAAAAUUAAUUAAUAAAAUCAAAUCAUAUAUUAUAUUUAAUUUUAUUCAUGUGUAACUCGCGGGUAGAAGUCAUUCAAACGAUUGAGAUUAAGAAGUUAUAAUAAAUGUAUAUAUUAUCAUAUAUACAUUUAUUUUUUCUUAUUAAAACAUUCUACUUUUCCAAAAUACAAUUUCAAUUUUUUGGACUAAAUACAAGAAAUAGUACUGUAUUUCCAAAAUAUAAUGUUGUGAUAAGGAAAAGUGAAGGUUGGAUUCUUCAGUAAUGCGAUCAAUAAAAGUACAUUGCAUUUAAGUUUUGAAUUGUUAUAUAAUAAUCUACUAAAUCUUGACGGAAUUUUCCUUUUUCUUUCAGGUUGUUCAACUUUCAAAUAACCAACGAAUUACUUAUACAAUGUAACUCUUCUUGGAUUCAAAUUUUAUAUCAAAAGUUUUUGCAUCGUUAUGUAUUAUCACCUUACAUUUUGUUGAUGAAUAAAAAUUGAAAGAGACUGUUGCCAAAUAACUUUCUUCUUGAAUUGGGGUUUUAGUUUUUUCUAUUAUUCAAAUGAUUUUACAAAUUUAUUUAUUGGGUUUUGUUAAAAGUUUGAGUGAGAAUCUGGAUUUUUGUAUGACAUAAACUAUUUUGAAGUUUGGAUGAAGUUGUAAAAAAAAAAUGACCCCAUUGCAUAGCAUAAGUUUUUUCUGAGUUUCAAUAAUAUCCCAAUUAACCAGGACCAUUUCAUAUUGAUGGACUUCCGAAAAGUUACCCCUGUAUAUUUGAUGAUGAAAUUUGAGUUGAGAAAAUGAAACUUUAAAAAUUAACUUAUUUUUAAAAAUUAUUUUUUUAGAUAAUAAAAUAACUAAGGCAAUAUAACGGUGAUCAUUUGAUAUGAUAUAUUUUAAACCAAAUUUGAGUUGUAUUCGAAUCGUGUAAACUUUAAAUUUGAGGUAUAUAGGCCUUCAAUAAAAGAAAAUUAAUUAUAUUUUUAAGGUAUAUAGGCCUUCAAUAUUUUUUUUGUCGAGAGUAAGUUAUACAAAAUUUUAAGGUAUAUAGGCUUUAAAAAUUAAUUAAAUUUUAAGGUAUAUAGGCCGUCAUUAUUUUUAAGGUAUAUAGGCCUUCAAUUUUGAAUCAUGUAGGUAUAUAGGGUUUCAAUAUUUUUUUUCAAGAGUAAGUUAUACAAAUUGUCAAUCUGGUUUGUACAAUCUGUAGGUUUUGUCUCUAAGGGGGUGUUUGAGAUUGUGUUUGAAAAGUGCUUAUUUGCUUAUUGGCUUUUUGAAAAGCUAAUAAGUCAAAAAAAGUGUUUGGCAAACUCAAAAGUACUUUUCAAAAUUGUUUUUCCAUAAGCUUCAAUAAGUACUUUUUAAUAAGCAUAUAAAACGUGGCUUUUUGAAACUAUUUAUGGUUUUUCAACCAAAAUAACUUCAAAAAUCACUAAAAGUUUAUCCAAACACUUUUUAAAAAACUCAUUUACCACUAAGCAAAUAAGCACUUUUAUCUAAAAGCAUUUUUCUAGUUCAAAAGCACUUCCAAACACCCCCUAAAUUGUUCUACUUGUCUCAUUUUUAUGGUAAUUAUUAUAUUUUUAAGAUGUAGAAGUCUAAGGCUAUGUUAGUGUUGGCUGAAAAACUAGUUGAUAGUUGUUACAUAAAAAUGUAUUUGAUAAUUGAAAAUUCAGCUGAGAAAAAACAAUGGUUGGGAAAAAUAGUUGAUAAAUUAGUUGAAAUAUAUCAAAUAAUAUAAAAAGUCAUUUAAAAAAUAUUUUAUUUUAUAAUUAAUUAAGGGUAUGUUUAAAAAGAAUUAAAACAAAACUUCUAAAAAACUAGUUUAAAUACAUUUUUAAAAAGGUAGCUUAUAAGCUAUUGUCUUGUGAAACAUUAUAACUAAAAAAUAUCGAAAAAUAAGUUAGCAUGUCAAACACAACCUAAAUAUUAAACAAUUUUAUACAAUUACUAUUUUGACUUUCAAUUAUAUUUAAGCCUCAUAUUCAAAUUUUUAUUCCUUAAUGUUUCAAAUAUCUUAGUAUGGUAUUCAAAUUUUGUCUAGUUGCUAAGAGAGACUAAUGCAUUGUCUUUUGUAAUAUCAUUGCAUUUAGUGGAAUGUAAUAACUCAUAAAUAAACAUUCUAUUUGGCGGGAUAUGAUAUCUUGAAGCUAUAAAUUAAAUUGUAUUAUGAUACGUGAGCAUAUCAACAUGACAAAAUUGUUUCUAGAAUGUUAAUUUUUCUAAUUUUUAAUAUAGUUGGUUUAAAAAGAUAUUGUUCAAUUGAAUGGUUACAAGUUUUUAUUUUAAUAUGUGAUCCACAUCAAUUGAUUGUUGAAUGAUACUAGUUAAAUGCAAUAUUAUUUUUGUAAAGUAAUCACAAAUUUUAUAUUUUUGACCAUUCAUAAUAAUUAUAUGUACUAUUCAUCGUAUUAAUUGUAUAAUAUAAUGAUUUGAUGUUCAGUAAUGGUUUUCUUUUACUAUUACCAUAUAUGUAUAUAGGGGUAUUUUGUCAUUUUUUCGGUUUUUAGUUUAGUUUGUUUGGUUUUAUCCGUGUUUUUAAAUCAUAAAAUUAAUCAUAACCAAAAUAAAAAAGGUCCGAUUUAUUCUGUUCGGUUUACCAGUUGAACCGAAUACAACUCUUCAUGUAAAAAUAAAUAUUAAACUAAAAAAAGAAAUUACUAAACUUUUUACCAAAUGAAAAAAAAAUACACUAAUACAUAACAUAUAUUGUCUUGUCUUAAAUUGUAAAUUCCUUUAAACCAUCAACAAGUGUUGAUUGCAGCAUUUUUUUCUACAAUUGUUGAGCACCCAUGAGAUAUUACCAUUUUAACCUCUUCUAAAUUUCUAACUUCGCUAACAACUAAGAAACAUGGUUAAACAUGUCUCCAUUUCUUCAACUUCAAUGUCACUAGAAGAGCUAAAAUUAUAUAUAUAUAUAUAUAUAUAUAUACACACACACACUAGGUGUGAAACCCAUAUAUUACACGGGUUGAUCAAAAAAGUUAAAUAUAAGGUGUAGACAUUAAAUAUUUUCUAAAGUAAAAUUUUGAAAUAAAUAUAAAUAAAAUGAUGAAUAAAUAAUUCAAUCUAUACUAAUAAAAAAUACUUUCAUGUUUAAAAAAUCAUGCUGAAUAUGAAUGUGUAAAAAUUAAGUAUUUUUUAAAGUAAACUUUUGAAAUAAAUACAAUAAAUAGAAUAAACCACAAGGAUCAUUUAUGUAAUUUGUCUUAAUUAAUCUAUACUGAUAACACUAAUUAAUAUAAAUUCACAAAUGGAAUUCAUUAAAUAGAAAUAAGAACUCAUAAAUGGAAGGUUUACUAUAUACAUUAAUUCACAUUAAUUAGUAUGAGUUGACAUUUAAUAGGUGGGAGUUCAAUAAAAAUGAAAAAAAAUACAAAAAUGACAAGUGGAAAAAAAAAUAAUUUAAAAUUCUAAGAAAAUGACAUGUGACAAAUUCAAUAAGAAGUUGACAUUUAACAAAAUGAUUUUUAUUUAUUAGGGUACUAGGUGUGAGACCCAUGUAUUACAUGAGUUUAUUUAAAAAAAUUAAAUAUGAAAUUUUAACAAUUUGAAAAGUUCGAAUUUAUAAGAAGAAUGAGAAAAAUUUUAAAUUAUUAAAGUUAAGGAAGCUUUAGUGUAUUGAAUACAUUACAUAUAUAAACUCUUUCUAAUGAAUACCUUACAUAUAUAUUAUCUUACAUAUUAAAUGUGAAAUUUUAAUUUAUAAAUGAAAAAUACAAUAAAAUGACAAGUGGAAAAUAGAAAAUUUAAAAAAUCUAGAAAAUGUCAUGUGUCCAAAUAAAUGAGAAGAUGACAUGUGGCAAAAAAAACCUUUAUUUAUUAUAGUAUAUAUAUUUUUUAGUUUUUGUUCCUUCUAAUAUGAUUACAUAUNGUUUAUACACACACACACACACACACACACACACACAUAUAUAUAUAUAUAUAUAUAUAUAUAUAUAUAUAUAUAUAUAUAUACUAUCUUAUAAAGGAAAUCUAACUAUUUCUAAAAAUAGAUUGAUUAUAAUAUUAAUAUUUUUUUAAGACGUUCUAAUUAUUAAGCUAAUAGUAUAACUAGGCUUCAAUAAAAUAAUAUUAAAAUUUUGAAAUCGGCCCUUUCAUAUAAAGUCAAUGUUUGAAUACUAAAAUGUAGGGAAAUUUGCCUCCCUUAUCUCAGAUUUUGACCCAUUCUUCAAAAAUUUGCAUUGGCCUUCCCUCAUAUCUCGGCUAUAACAUUGAUGAUCAACUUUGUCCUGCACUACAAAUACUCUUUAGAAACCCUAGAAGCAUAAGCACUAGACGGUGCUACUUCCAUCAACACCCAAGGACAGAAGACUUCCAUCAACACCCAAGGACAGAAGAUGUAAACGACGACCACCACGCUUAACCACCAAUGCCUCUCUCUCUCUCUCUCUCUCUCUCUACGUACAUAUAUCGCCCACCAUCAUUCAUUCUUAGUCUUUUAUUUUGAUCGAUGCCAGGUUAGAUUUUUCUCAUGCUUCUGGAACUAAUCAGAUAUUUUGCAAGAUUUGAAGACUGAGGCGAUGAAGUACAUGAAUCUCGAUGCCUUUAACAAUUGUAUACGAAUUAUUUCUUGAAGAUCGAUGAUUGAAGCAUUUCCUAAAAAGUAUUGGUGACCUCCUUUCGCCUAUGUCUCAGCAUCGAGUAUUCAAGUUGAAAUUUUCAAGAUUCAAGGCUCAAAUUUCACAUGGCAUAUCAAAGGGGCCCAAAUUUGCUUAUGGUUUAUGUAUGAUAGUGCAACUACCAAGAACAUGCCCAUCUCCAGCUAGGAAGGUAACCUUCUAACAUGUGUUAGCUUGGGGUUUUGAUUAAAUUAAUUUUUGUUUGUGGAUUGAUUGUUAGUUUCAAAUUUAGUGACUUUAUUUGGUAUAAAACUUCCAUAAUAAUAAGGCCUUAAAGGUAGGGAUAAAUGCAAGAACUAACAAUAUAUUCAUUUUUUUCUCUCUUCAGUAGUUCAAAUUUUUCAUGACUAUGAAAAGGAACAUGAUAGUCAUCUGGUGAAUAUGACAUUUAUAGGCCAAUUUUGGAUAGGUUAUAGGUUUCAUAAAGAAUGAAAGUGAUCAGAAACAUACCAUAUGCAGCAGAAGACAUACACUAAGGAGAAGAAUAUUAACAUUGCUAUGGGUGUUUGAAUCAAUACCGGAAUGAAAAGGAUUAACAAUAGGUUUCAGAAUGUGCCCUUUGGUAGAUGCAAGGUGAAAAGGUUAUAUUUGGGGGUAAUACAAUCAUUUUACAUGCAUUUAAAGUUAUUUUAAUGAUGUUUCUGAGAAAAGCCAAAAAUGUCCGAGAAUGUUGAAAUCGGGACCACAUUUGUAAAAAGAUUUUCAUGGACUUGAUCAAAAAAAUACACUUAAACAAAGGGACCAAAACUGUAAUUUCAUCUUUUAUUUAUUUUUAUUAUAUUAUUUUAUUUCUUAUUAAAUUUUCACUUCCAGCAUGACUACAAUUUGCUAAUCCUAAUGACAAGCAACACAGGUGCUCAUGGAUGAAAUGGUAGGAAUACUGAAUACAUGAUCCUUUUUGAUUAGUUAGAGUGAACUUAUUUUGUUUGUUCAAUCAUGAUCCACCAUUGUUAACAUAAAAUAUUUAAAAUUCAUUUUUUUCUUCUAAUUAUUUAAACAUAUUAAUGAGUAUGUAUGUUUUUAUAAAAGACAAGUUACAAGGUUAGGCAUGUAAAAGUUGUUUUUUUUUUUUUUUUUUGUAGAAUUUGUACAAAAUAUCAAUAUUUUUUUGUAAAUCGUGAGACUAUCCAAGACAACGUUUAUGUUGAUAGUUUAGCAAUAAACAUAGUUGUAAAUAUAUUUUUUCUAAUUGAUUGUUUUUGCAUCAAUUUUGUUUUCUGCUACACAUUCUUUGAAAUAUGAUAUCUCCUCAAAAAGAAAAUAAAUGUCGAAAGGAAACUAUUUGCUAAGUUUUAAAGAUUUAUUUUCAUAUAGAAAUGAUAUGAUAUUAUUGUGUGUUUGUGGGUUUUUUAAUGUAUUUGUUUUUGAUGAAUGUGUUGUGUGUCAGUUUGCUCCUAUUUCCAAUUUGUAAAUGUCGAAAGGAAACCCUUUGUUUGUUUGUUUGUUUUUGUUUAAUUAUUUAUUAUUAUUAUAGCAUCGAAAUUUUUUGUUUCGUUUUGUUAUUUGAGUAUCCUUAGGAAAUGUACAACGACUUCACCCAUACCAAGUCAAUUUGCUUGGAAUUGUAACCAGUUAUAUCAGAUUCGAAUAUUUUAGAAUCCGUUCUAGGUACCUCUUUAAACACGUGAUAGAAUUUCGUAAAAGGUAGUUGUUUGUUUACUUUUGUUGUAUCAUUAAUGUUAGAAUUUAUCCACCAUAAUAUUUGGUUAUACAUUGGAGCUCUAUGUUAUUUGAUUAUUUAUAAAUGUUAGGUGCUUUUUUAUUGAUAAGAUAAGGGGAAAGGUUGAUCCAUCCUAUGAUUAUCACAUUUGGAUAUAUAAAUUAACUAGGUUAAAACCCGUGGAACCCACGGGUGCUGUUUUUGAAUUGAAUUUAAAAAUUAAUUAUUUAAUAAAAUAUUAUAUCAAUGAUUCUGAUAACUUAUAAAUUGUAAUAUUGAAUAUUUAAAUAAUUUUUUUUUAUUGGUAAUUAUUUAAUUACUAACUAAAUGGGAAGUAUUUAAUUAGGAAUGAAGAUUUUUGAAAACUAUUUUUUUUUAUUCAUCAUUCUAAUUGGACAUAUGCAGAUGAUACAAUACCAAUGCGUGUAAUGAAAUUAACAUAAAAUACAACAAUACGUAAUUAUAAAAAAAUACAGUAAUAUGAUGGAUUAAGUGUGAUUUCCUAAAAUUGAAUAAAACGACGUUACAAAAAAGUUGGCUACAAAUUUCGAAAAACUUCCUUAUAAACAACAUUGGAAGUUUUAUUUCUGAGUUUGCCAUCUUUAUCUAAAAUUAAUAAUUUUAAUCCCUCUCUACUCUGAACUCUAGAUAAGGCAACAUACAAUUGUCCAUGUGAAAAAACUGGAUCUUUCAGAAACAGACCAACCUUUGACAACGAUUGUCCUUGACUUUUGUUAAUAGUCAUUGCAAAACAUACAGCCAAAGGAAACUGUCUUCUUGUGAAUUUGAAGGGAAUCUUUUUUUCUGAUGGAGUUAAAGACAUUCUUGGAAUAAAAGUCCGAUUUCCAAUAUUAGUUCCAGUUAUUAUACGUGCCUCAAUAACACGUUUGCCCAAUGAUAACACCUGUAGUCUUGUGCCAUUACAUAAGCCGUUUUUCUGAUCAAUAUUUCUCAGUAACAUUACUGGAACACCAAUUUUUAAAACUAAUUUAUGAUUUGGUAAACCGGAUACUUUGAGUCCAUUUAAUACAUCAGGAGAGUAUAGAUUUGCAUCAAAUUGAUCAUGGAGAAAUUCGGAUUCACAUAUGCAGUCUGAACUUAAAUAUUCAACUUGAUCUCCUGGAAACUUCUUAAGUAAACGGUCGUUUAUUUCCUGGACAACUUCAUUUUUUGGAGCAAGUAUCGCUCUUUCUUGGAAAUAAUUUAUAUCGCUAUAGUACUCUAAAAUUGUUAUUGGGUGUAAUGAUUAUUGUUUUCGAAUGGUAUGUGUUCGAUUGGUUAUUGGGUUUGUAUACAGGGAUCGAUUUUAAACGGAGGUUAAAGAUUGUGGGAACGAAUAACUGUUAAAUUCGAUGUUUUCUGGAACGAAGCCUUGGUUAUUAAAUGAAUCAUACGAAGGAUCUGUUAUUUGAUUUUGGAAUUGGGGCGAAUAAUCGAACGAUUUGGAGUUGCGAAUUUGAUUUUGAAAAGCCAAUCAGUUGGGUUCGCAUAUGAAAACAGAUAAGUUUUGAUUUUGGAUUCGCAAUUGGGUUAAUUGGGUUAUUGAUUGAGGGACGAUUCGUGAAGAAAAAUGCGAAGUCAAGAAGGACUGUGAAAUGUGAUUUGUUCAAUAUUGGAGUCAAAUGCAGUUCACGUGUAAAAGCAAAAAUGUUCGCAUUUGGUAAUACAAAUCAAAAUUGGGUUUCGCAUAUGAGGUUGUAUGGAUUGGGGUUAAAGAUGCGAAGGUGAUUAUGGUUAAUAUUAAUUUCGCAUUUGGUGAGACAAACAACUCAAAUGCGAAUGAACUAAAAAAAAAANUUAUACUAAUUAACAACCUGGAUGAGCUGUAACAUUUGAACAAUAAUAACCCCAUAGGCAAUAUCGGCAAAAAAUUUAAAAUAUUAAGAAAAAAUUCAAAAAAAUAUUUACAAGCAAAUAAACUUCAAAAUAUAUUUUAUUUGAGUUAUAACCAAAAUCAACUAACUUGUCCACUUUAAAACAAUAAAAGUAUCCAAAAAUAUUCAAAACCAAUAAUAUUUGACAUCCUAAAUACCCCAAAAUAAAAAUCAUACCAAGCAAUUAAAAUAUCUUUAUAACCAAAACAAAUGAUCAAAAUAUAUUAAAUGUGUCUUAUAACCGAUAGAAACUCACUUUUCAAUUUUUGGAAUCAAGAGUGGAGUUUCCUCUGCGGUUGACUUUCUUUUAGCCUUAGUUGAACUUAAAUCAUAUCCAGAAUCAACAUCAUAAAUUUCUUGGAGGUUGCGCUUCAAAUCACCUGAUAUUUUGCUUGGACUUGUUGCGGUUGACUUAUCAACUGUUGAGGGUGUAAAACUUUCGUCUGUUUGUGAGAUCACAUCCUAAUUUAAAAAAAAAAUGUUUGAUUCCUAAAAAAAAUAACUAAUAUAAUUAAAAGUUUAUAAAAUAAAAUGAAAAACCUUUUGAAUAGGAUGUACAACAUCAUCGGAUUCCAAAGCAACUUGAUUUAAGGAGACAGAUUGAAUACUCUAAAAAAUAAAAUGGAAAUAUGUUAAUCGUUAUGUACUUUAACAUUAAAGAAUUGUAAAUUUUCAACAAUAAAAAAUUACAUACCAUAAGUUCUAUUUUACUUUCCAAUUCACAAACAAUGGACAUAUCUUCUGUAACUCUGAGAACUGUGUAGAUGUUAUUAUAGUUGUUGACAUUGUAUUCUGUAAUAUCUACAACAAAACCAAACUUGCGGUUUUUCAACACGUUAAGUUGCAUUGGAAAUAGGGCAUCACUGUCUCCGGCCUGUAAGAUAUAUUUUAAUAAAUUAAUAAAAUAAAGUAAAUGUUUUCUGAUUUUAAAGGUAUGAAUAAUAUACCGCAUCAUGUAUCUUUUUCAACUCGUAGGCACUUAUAUUUAACAACCUCCUUGCUUCCCUAUCAAAAAGAGUCAAUCCAAUGGUUCCAGUACAAUCUUGUACGUUGAUUGGAAUUAUAUACCUAAAACAAAAAAAAAUUAUGUCAUUGUUAGUGUUGUUUUAAGAUUGACAAAAUUAAUAGAAAUAAAUAUGUGUAUACUUUAUAACUGACUGAAAUUCAGAUUUUUUGCAUUGUGCAUUUGUACACUCGACAACCAUAGUUUCUGAAAUUCCCUCAGGGUUGGUAUACGAAUGAUUGGUUUUGGGAACAGGGAUUAUUUUUUUUCCACAUUUUUUGCAUGCUUCAUAAUACCAUGGUAGAUUCUGCCUUAUAUUAACAAUGGAAGCAACUAAUAAAAACUUCAUUUCCUGUAUCAUAUCAAAUGUAAAAAUUAUUAAAAUAAAUUAUGCAAAAAUAAAAUGUAAAACAUAUAAAAUAAUGCAAUAUACCUUAAUUGGUUCGGUGAUCUCACAGAUUGUUUUUAAUGGAAAAUUGCCCUUAAAGUCAUCUGUAUAUGAAGAAGAGUAGCUUUGAAGUGUAGUUAUGCUUUUUUCAGUUAUACCGAAAUUGUCAUGACAUUUCAACCUGUGAUGUUUAAUUUAGAUUCAUGAAUAUUAGGUUUUGUGUUUUUUUAAGUUAAAAUACAUUAUAAAAAAAUAAAAAACAAUUGGAAACUAACUUAUAAUAAGAUGGAACACAAAUAUAUAAUAAACAUGAAAACGACAAUUAUACCGAAAAUGCCCCUGCAACAUACUAACACUAACAGAUAACAUAACAAUGAGUAAAACAGAAAAAUUAAAAAUCAACACAUGACAAUAACAACUGACUUAAUGUACUCAUAAAUUUUAAAAUUCUAAAUUUUUUUGAGAUUGUAUUUAGAUAAAAACAAACAAAUUUUAAAAUUUCAUACCAUAAAAAAAAGUUACUGUGCACAUCUGAAAAAGACUAUUUUUAAUUUUUUUUAAAGAAAAUGAACUUGUAAUGUUCAUUAGUUUUUCGUCUUUUAAACUGAAAAGGUAGAAGAAGUAGACGAUUAAGAAGAAUUACAAAAAAGAAGAAGAAGAAUAGAAAUCAUACAAUGAGAACGUGAUAGAUACAGAUAAAUUAAGAACAUGGAGGAAAUAGAAAUAUUGGUAAUUCUGAUUUUGAAUACACUAACCUGAUAUUUAAUUCUUGAAGCGUUGCAGAAUAACAAAGAAUGAAGAAGAAUACGUUUGCUGUGGUUUCUAUGGAGCAAAAUUGUUAUGGAGCAGAAUGGUAAAAACAAAAUAACCGUAUAAAUGAUAUCUACGUUUGCUGAAAAAUACUGCAGAUUUUUAGGGAUUUAAUGAUUGCAAUAUAUUGAAUUUGCAAUCAAAAUAAACAAACUUUCAAAUUUAAUCGUGAUUUUCGAAUCUGAUUAUUCAUUAACAUAUUUUUUCAAAUUAUUUCCAUAAUCUUUAUUCAUUUAAAAUUAAUGCAUGAAUAUUUUGAAUGCAGUUGACAGCUAAAAUUUCCUGAUAUAUUGCAUCAAUUUGAACUUUUAUUCAAUUUUCGGAUUCAAUGGCAUUUACGUAAAUAUAGAAGAAAAAAUGAGCGGGAAAACUCUAUUUUGGGGGGCUGGGAGAAUGCCACGUGGCCGAGUUCUACUUAUUUAUUAGAAUUAGGAUUGAUCAUCGUGUAUUUUAUUGAGAUUUCUCAAAAGUAUUAGAUAAUUCAUGAUCUAACCAAAAUAUAUUACUUUUUAAAAUUGAAUUUAAAUAUCAAGUAGCAUUGGCAUUGUAAUUGUUAACGAUUCUAUAAAGCUAAAAAUUAGAACGGUCCCAAUCGUUUCCAAACUUUAGGUACCGGAACAGUAACCAAAGUUAUCGGUUUUAGUGUCGGAACUGGGUUACAGAGUUGUUCUGGUUCAUCCCUAAACAUACUUAUAUUUUGAAACCAAAAAUAUUUUUGUCUAAACAAGAAACAACAUAUGUAUUGCGAUGGUUACAACUAUUCGUUGUUACAAAACCCACCGAUAACAAUAUAAAUGUUUCCGAAUGACAAACACAUAAUGUUGAUGUUGGACAAUUUACAUAUUUGCCCCUGGUGUACCUGCAUAGUAACUGGUUGAUGAGUUUUAACUGUGGCCUGGUGUUAGAAAUAAAAGUGGCGGCUUGUUGGUUAGGUCUUGUGCAUUGGUGCUUUGCUGCAUUGUGAAAGUUGAUUUAUUCACCAUUAUGCCCUUGGUCUAUUUCUUUUUUUCAAAUAGAAGAUGGUGUAAUUCCCCUGAAUGAAUGGUGGUUUUAACCUGACUUUUAAAACAAAUCAAAUCCAAGUUGUUAUUUUUAGUGAUAUUUUGAGAAUGCAUUGUUAUAAGCUGGUGGUUGUAGAUUUCACGUCUGCUGCAUAUAUGCUGUCACAUGGUGGAUUCCUUUUCUUUUUUUCUUCUUUUCAAGUGUUUUUUGUUAUAGGAUCUGUUGUGAUUUUCUAAUUUAUUUAUCUCUUUGUAAUUUUGUCUAGCUUCUUCUACAAAUGCCUCAUGAAGACAAAUUUUGGAGGUCAAUAGUUUUACUAGCGUAUAUAGACAAUAGUUUAACUAAAAAGAAUAGAGCAAUUAGCAUGGUGAGUCGCUUAUAAUUAGUUUUGGAGUUUUGAUUUUUGAUCUAAUAUCAAAACUAUUACAUUCUUUUUGGUCCAAUCAACACGAUUCGUGUUUUUUUAUUUGCCUUCACAUCAAGUUCUACUUUCACAUGUUCUAUAUAUAACAAAUUCACACACUUACAAAUUUUAAUAACUUGCAUAUGUUUCUAUCUGCAACUUAAAAUUUGUUCAUUUUCAUAUUAUUAAAGGUUUUUAUUUACAGUUUUAUAUGUCUUCUACCCUUAGUCAAUUGCAGAAGAAUCAAGAGUACUUGUCCUGUACAUUUAUGAAAGUUGUAUCAUUACUUGACUAAAUUAACAAUUAUUUUAGGCAUUUAUAUAGAAAAAAUGAAGUUACGUACGUGAAAUGUAUAUGUUAAGUUAGUAAAAAUGAUUGCAGAUUAAUGAAAACAACAAUCUUAAUUUAAUAUAAGCCAAAAUAAAAACAUAUUAAAAUUCCAUAAAUUCAACACCAUAAAACAUCAAACUUAUUUGAAACAAUCCAAGAAAAGACAAAACCAUAAAAAUUCCAGCAUUAUAAAACAAAUCUACUAAAAUAACUUAGGUGUUAACAACCGGAUCUUCAUCACCCUGAGAUGGUUGGUUUUCAGAUGCAACAGUAUGCAAACCAAGCCUGAAAAAAAUAAAAUUGAAGGCAUUAAUAAGUUUAAAUCAAACAAUUAAAUAACUACACAUACAGUGAGAAACAGAAAAAAAAAAAAAAAAAAAAAAAAAAAAAAAAAAAAAACAGUGUUUUUUGGUCCUUUGUAAAACAAAGGACAAAUGAUCUUACCCGACAUCAACAUGAAAUUCAUCAUCUUCUUCAUCACGGAGCCUAUAACAUCUGUUUGGGCUUUGAACUUUGACACGGGGUCUCUUCGGUGGUGGUGACAAUGUUUUUGGUUUUGUUGAAUCUGAUGUGUCAAAAAUUUUCACAGCUUCAUCAUCCAACUUUUCAUCUUCAGAACUUAGGAUAUCAACAACCUCAUCCCAAUUCCAGUUUAGCAGUGCCCAUUCUCUUUUCUAAUCUUUUUCCUGCUUCUCAUGCAUACAAAGUUGAAGCUUGGUUUGAUCACAUUCCUGCUUAUUGUUACUCAAGUUCGACAUGUUGGCUGUUUUUCUAUGUCAAAAUUAGUAUUAGUUGCAACAAAACAAAUAAAUCAGUGUUAGUGGUUUACCUCCGCAUUACCUUCUAUUAAAAGUUGGAUGCCCGAUAAUACUGUUACGGAAUAUUGACCCAACAAAUGGGUUGUGUAAUGGCACCCGAUUGAUAUGCAGAAGCUUUCAGCAAAAUGUUAUUGAUGUAGAAAUAGUUGUUGGUCAACAUGCUGGAAAAAUGAUAUUUUUGCCUAAGAUUCCUUUAUGUCCAUCUGAUGAUGACAUGUUCCCAUUCAAGCUAAAGAGGAAAUAGUUUCCUAUUCGAUUGUGGUUUGCAAUGACAAUCAAUAAAGCUCAGGGACAAACAAUUCCAAAUGCAGGUAUUUAUCUUCCAGACCCGGUAUUCUCGCAUGGACAACUUUAUGUUGCAUUGUCCAGAGGGGUUUCACGUUGCAAUACAAAAGUAUUAAUGAAGCCUAACGAAAUUUCAAAAGGUGAUGGGGUUUAUACAGCAAAUGUGGUGUACAAAGAAGUAUUGCACGAUUAAUAUUUUGUGCUAUUUUGACUGGUUUCUUUUUAUUGGUUAUUUGAUGUAUCAUGUAACAAAUAACACCAUAGUUUGAUUAUAUUGUCUUCAACAUGUAAUUUCUUUUGGAACAUAAUAUUUUUGUAAAGGAAACAUAUCACCGAAAGAACCUACGUGCCCCGCUGCUUUGCGCGGGUACACUACUAGUGUGUGUGUGUGUGUGUAUAUAUAUAUAUAUAUAUAUCCAUGUUUAAUAAAAACCUCUCUUAUGUGCCACUUUUCAUUUUUUUAGACUUCAUUUUGCCACGUGUCAUUACCCAAAAUUUGUUUUACCGCUCAUCUUCCUUCCUUUGUUAGCGGAUGUUAUCCCAAAAAAUUAGGGAUCUUAAUUUAAAACUUAGUUGUUAUCCCAAUAAAUCACGAAUCCUAAUUCCUCUCUUAAUUUUUAUAUUUGUAUUAUGCAUUCCACUAAUGCAUCUCACCGUUUGCUAUUCCCUAUGUGAUGCGUCGAUUAAGCUCUGGAAUACACAGCUCUCUCCUACAUCCUUCUCUCUCGCCAACAGUCAGUUCUAGAAGAAAGCAAUUAUACUUCCGCCUCCGCCAUGUAUUCUCCCUGCAACAACUGCAACAACAGAUAUACCACUUUUCCAUCGUCGGUGAUUAGGUUGUUCCUCCGGUAACCGGCCUUCCCACCAAGAAAACGCACGAGCCAAGAUUCGUCGUUUUGGGUUCCGGUUGCACUUACCUGCAUACUUGGACAUCCGAGGCAAGAUUCCCAAAGUCAAGCCUUAUGCUUUCACGAAACUGCCAAGAAUCAUGCUUAUAUGCGCUCCGACUGUGAACCCUAAUCCCCUCCGGUAAGCAUCGGGUUUGAAUUUUUCAAAAUUUUACUUAGUUACACAACAUCGAUGAGGGGAAAAUGCUUAUGCCAUACAUGUUUUGUGGAUAUGUUGUUUGUUUUUUAAUGAAUGGGUUUCAAUUUCACUUUGUGUUUUGAUUUCAAUUUUUUUUUUUUUUGCUUCUAUUAAUGGUGAGCUUUAUAAUUUCCAGUUACUAUUCAGGUUCAGCAAUCUUGAGCAUGAUUUUUUUUUUGCUAAUGUGAUUUCUUAUAAGUAAUGUAACAUGCAGAUACUUCCAAAGUUGGUAUGCAUAAUGAUAUGUUAUACAUGAGCUUUGUUUUUUAUUCAAAUUACUUUUUUGAUUAAUUAACAAAGAUUUUGUGUUAAUUGGACAGGUGGUUUUAAUUGGUUUGGUGAAAAGCUUUUUUUUUCUUCUAAAAGUGAAGAAAUCAAACCUUUUUUACUGUUGUAUAUAAACAAACUUCAUUUUUUUACAUCCCAUGGUUUUACCUCCACGGUUUCCUCUUUUCAAUCUUAAAAUCAAAAUAAUAUUGCCCAAAGGUUGAUAAUCAUCAUUUUAUUCAACAUGCUCUGGUCAGAUGGGAUUUUUUUUUUCUACUAAAUUUUUUGGCAUCCAAGUUUCAUCUUCUGUUUUGUUAUUAUCAUUUGAGAUAAAUGGAUAAAGUUGGUUUUGUUUAAAGGCGCGAUGGAGUGUACCAUUAAGAAAGUAAGAGAAAGCAACAUAAACUAGACGACUUGAAAACAGGGUGGAGCUGCAAAAGGAGCUUUUUUUCAUCUUAUCUAAGGAAUUACAGGUACUAGGCUUGUAUUUUUAGUCUUUAGUUACGGUUGAACCGUGUAUUUGUCCUAAAAAUUGGUUAAACCUUUUGGACAUGGUAAAUCUUCUUUUAUGAUAGCAAUUGGGAUACUAACACAAACAGGAGACAGAAGACAGGAAAUGGAACUAUCCUUACGGUCAUUUUCUAAAUCAUUGAUUAAUCACUCUUUUAGACACAUUUUUGGUUGAGAGUUUGGUAAUGGGGUAAUUAGUUAUUCCUAAAUAGUUACUAAAGUGAAAAUAAGUUUUUCUUUUUUACUUAAUCUUUUUUUCAUAUUUAUACUGGAUAUGUCUGUUUGUUUGGUUUCUAUUAUUCAAAAAUGGAAUUUAAAUUUAUUUUUCUAAAAUUGUGCUUGAUUUGUACAAUAUAACAUCCUACUAUCACCUCUUUUGCCACGUGUCAUGUUGAGAAAGCAUCCUGGGUUGUUUUUUCCCCAGUAAAAUGCAUAAACUAGCAAUGUAUCUUCUAUUGUCCUCUUAUUAUGGCAAUGUACUUUCAUUUCCUUAUUACAACAAUAUACUUUGAAGAUUAUUUGGUUAGAGCUUAGUACUUUAUCACAUAUUGCUUUAUUUAAUGGUAUUAAGACCUACCAUAGUAUUGUGUGUGGAUUGGAAUACAAAAAGACUUGAAAAUUUAUGUGUUCUCUUUUAAUGUUAUCUGUCUUGCACUUUUUACUACAUAAAGUUCUAAAUUUCCCAUUCAUGAAACUAAUUUUUCAAAAACUCAAAGGUAGAUGCUAUAUUAGAAACAAAAGUAAAUAUUUAGAAAAUAGUAAAUUUCAAAACUUGAUAUAAUCUUAACUCCAUCAAAAGUUAAUUUUAACAAAAUAGCAAUGUACUUUUAUUUUUAUGUCAAAUAUUGAAUCAUUCUUUGAUUUUUUUUUGUCUCUUUAAACAUUACUUUUUUACAGGGAUCAUUUAAGACCUCUGUUUGAUUAAUUAUUUUCCUACAAGGAUCGUUUAAUUUAUGUACACUGCUAUUUAGUUAAAUAUUAUUUUUUAUGCAUCUCUCUUACAAAAUUUUAAGUUCUAUCCCAUAUUAAUUAAGCCUUUAUUUGUUUCUUUUUCAUAUAUUAUUUUAAUGUCUAAUAAUGAUUUUAGAGACUUAAAAUUUAACUAUAAAAUUUUAACACGACCAUAUAAGUGGUAUUUGUGAAUACCUAUUAUAUAAACCUCUUAUAUGUUAAUAUUGUGGAGGCCAAGCUUCAAAAUUAUAAAUAAAAAUCUUGUGAAUGAAAAAGCACAUGCAUAAUGUCCCAUGUAUCUUAAAACAAUUUCUUAUUUAUUAACAUAGUAAUAAUUAUGUUUUUCAAGUACCAAAGUUAAUUUAAUUUUUGAACCGUGGAUCCACGGGUUAUAUAUAGAUAUAUAUAUCCCGUGAGAUUGAAGGAAAAGUAAACUUCUAAGUUUCUGACUUUGGCCACAAACUUUUAUAAUAUUUAUAUUUUUGCCUAAGAUGUUAUUAGUUUUUGGGUUUUGCCACAUUUUUAUAGCUUUUUCCAAAACUGCCCCUUUUGUUUUUUUCUUUUAUACUUGGCCACCAAUUUUCCAACUCCGUUAACUUUGGUCACAUUUCUUUGUGUUUUAUCCAUUUUGCCAAUUCAAAACUCAAUUAAAGUCAAAACCUUAUUCACCUAUGCGGAGCAUGGGCUUCUCCUAGUUAAUAUAAAGAUUAUUAGGCUUAAUGACUUGUACCUUGAGCAUGAAUUUUUUUUUUUUAACUAAAUUAGCCACCCCAUCCCCUGAAUGGCUGAAUCAACUAGCUUCCCAUCUUCUUCACCCACAAUGCUUUUGGUCGACUUUUUUUUUUCUUUUUUUGGCUAGCACCUUUUUUCGGCAGCAAGAUCUUCUGAUGCACUUGAUUUCGGAUUAGAAACUAUCCAUGACUUCAUCUACAUUGUUUUCUAGCCCAAUUUCUCUAUUUCUUUCCUUUUAUUCUUGAAUUCCGUUGCAGGUUUAUAUCUCUAGUCGGUUACAUUUGAAUGAAAACAAAGAAUUAUCUUCAAAAGGUCGGUCAUCCUUCCAAGUGUUCGAUGAAAUAUCUGAAAGAAAUGAACAUUGAUUCAAGAAUUUGAUUGCUGAGAAUAAAUAUUGUUAUAUGGUUCAUGUGUUUGAUCUUAAUUUCUAAUUCUUCAUUUUUCUUCUGACCUCACUGUUUCAUUUUUCUUAUUGUUUAUCGAAAUUGAUUCAAGAUCAUUUGUUUUAAUUCUGCCCAACUACACUGGAAAAUGUAAACUUUUCAUGAUUCAAGAUCAUUUGUUUUAAUUCUGCCCAACUACAUAUCAGUCUUCUGUUGUGCUCCCAUUUUUCUUAAAUAUAAAUAGAAAAUAUAAACUUUUCAUGAUGCCUUAUUUCACACAACACUGGAAAAUGGCCACCCGUGGUGUUGGUGAUAAUUUAUUGAUAACUGGGACUUAAAAACCCAUGCCAAAUACAAAAAUGAAACAUGGUUUUACAUGACUAUCUAUGUUCGUCUUUUUUGUAAAUUAGCAAUGAACACCACAACCUUCACAUAAACCCAAUCUUUGAAGCUAUCAAGAAACAUAAAAAAAAGCAUAUCUUCCACGACGGUUGAGAAGCAAAGCACCACAUGCUAUCCAAAAUCCAACAAUGAAACCAAUUGCCCCACCAAUAUAGAACCAUACAUCAAGUUCGUCUACACCUUCACCAUCACCCUCACUUUCACCAUUGAUGAGUUGUAUUCCUGAUUCUUCAUUUCCAUGACAUUGUUCGGUAAGGGAAGGUCCACAAAGCCCUAAGUUUCCUUCAUAUCUUGAAGGGCCAAAGGUCUGAAGUUGUGUGCUGGAUGGGAUUCUCCCUGACAAGUUAUUACAUGACACGUCUAGGUAACUCAAUAAGGUCAUUUGAGACAUGCUUGAUGGUAUUUCCCCUGAAAACUUGUUUCUAGAUAAAUCCAAAAUUAAAAGGUUUUUCAUCUGACCCAUUUUCCAUGGAAUCUUUCCAAGUAGAGCGUUCUUUGAUAAGUUGAGUGCAAUAAGUUCAUCAAGAUUGGUAAUCUGAUACGGGAUUUCCCCUGUUAAGUUGUUGCUUGAGAGGUCGAUGCUCCUCAACAACUUCAUAUUACUUCUGAUGAAUUCACGUUCAGUUCCUUGCCACUGGAUCAUCACAUGGUCAACAUUAUAAGAAUAUCUUAUUAAUAUAUCGUCAGGAUCUAAAUUCUGUAGUUGAGAGAAUCCUUGUUGCACCAUGAUCGUAAGAUUACUCAAACAUGAGGGGAUUCUUCCAUGGAAAUGGUUCACCGACAAGUCUAGAAUUUGAAGACUUGCUAAUUGACAUAAUUGUAAAGGGAUGCUUCCAGAGAAGUUGUUUGAUCUUAACAUAAGAACAUACAACCCAGAUAAGCUUUCCCCGAUCCAAACAGGCAAAUUACCAGAAAACUUGUUGGCCCCCAAAUUCAAUGACUUUAAGCUCGUGCAAUUCUUAACAGACAAAGGAAAUUCUUCGGAGAAAUCAUUCUUGUAUAAAUCCAAUGCCUCUAGCUUAAUCAUAGAUCCAAGAGAGGCAGGAAGCCUUCCAGAAAGAUUAUUGUGUUCUAAAUUAAGAACUUGUAGUUCUUUGAAAUGCCACAAACAAUCUGGAAGUUGUCCGCUUAGAAAGUUAUGAGAGAGGUCAAGAAUAACUAAAAAGCCAUGGAAAACUUUGCAUAAGAAGGAGAUUCCUCCAGAGAAUUUGUUUCUGGAAAGAUUUAGUAAUGCCACAGUGGAUGAGACAUUAGUUAUUGGACCAUCAAAGCGGUUGGAGCUUAAAUCUAUCACUGACUUGUUGUCAAAAUUUGAUGACAGAUCUGGUACUUUCCCACUUAUUUUGUUGAAAGAAAGGUUCAAGAAUGUUAACUGGGAAGGCCAUGUGUCCCAAAACUCGAGAGGAAUUGUAUCUGAAAUGCUAGAAUUUGCAAUAUCAAUACUGGUAAGAUUUUUCAAAUUUUGAAUCCAUUUGGGGAAGAGAGGCCCUAGUUUGCAAGAGCUUAGUCGAAUAGAUUCUAUAUGAGAACGGUUUGACAUGUAAUCUGAGGAAGGAAAUCCAUGGAGUGAGUUUUCGGAAAGAUCAAGAUAUUUAAGGUUGGGCAGUUCCCACAGUUUCUUACUUAUAGUUCCUUUUAACUGAUUCUCAGAGAGGGACAGAUGUGUUAGGGAUGUGAACUUUUGGAUGUCAUCAGGCAAUGACCCUGUAAAUUGGCUUCCUGAAGCAGACAACCGUUGUAAUGAAAGUGAUGUGCAUCCAGACAAGUUGUUGAGAAAAUCAGGAAAUUUGACAGCGGCAGAGGUGUUAAAGAAGUACAAAUAUUUCAAACUACAGAGGUUACCAAGAUAUUUGGGUAUCCCAUCUAACAUGUUGCCAGAGAGAUCAAGACGACAAAGCUUAUUGCUGGUCAAUGGGAACAACCAACGAUACAUGGAUGAGGUGAGACUGUUGUUUCCAAGAUAAAGGAAUUCAAUAGAUGAGGAAGAAGAAGAGUUGAGAAAUGAAGAAGAAUAUGGAUACAUGACCUGUGACAGCUCACAUCCUGAUAAACUUAAACGCGAGAGUUUCGGGAGACUCAGAAUAACAUCUACCCAAUGAUUUGUUUUGGCCAGUGAAAUCCCAUCCAUUUCAAGUACCUCCAAAUGAGAUAGAGGAGACAACCACUCCAGGUUCUCAAGUCUACACAUUCCAACAUAUGAAAGGUAAAGGUAUUGCAAGUUGGUGAGGUUUCCGAACUCUGGAGGAAUGGUUCCAUAAAGAGAGUUAAAAGAAAGGUCAAGCUCUAUUAAUUCAGUCAAGGAACCAAUGGACCUGGGAAUGGUUCCAUUAAGAUUAUUGCCGCCAAGGUCAAGGUACCUUAAUCGAGUCAAUGAACCAAUGAAGGUGGGAAUGGUUCCAUGAAAAGAAUUGGAGUAAAGAUUAAGAUGAUUCAAGUAGGUUAAAUUAACCAAUGAAUGGCUAAUCUCACCUACAAGACCACAGGACAUCAGGUCAAGGUAUUUUAAUUCUGUCAAGGAACCGAUGGACCUAGGAAUGGUUCCAUAAAGAGAGUUGUAAGAAAGUCUAAGGUACCUUAAUUGGGUCAAGGAACCAAUGGACCUGGGAAUGGUUCCAUGAAAUGAAUUUUCAGAAAGAUCAAGAUAAUUCAAGUAGGUUAAGUUAACCAAUGCAUGGCUAAUCUCACCUACAAGACCAAAGGACAUCAGAUCAAGCUCUGUGACAUGACCUGUUUGGUUGUUGCACGUCACUCCACUCCAUUGACAGCAGUUGUCUUGUUCAGAUGUCCACAUAGAGAGAUGAUCAGAAGGGUCUUGAAGGAGAGAUUUGAAAUGAAGGAGAGCAUUUUUCUCCUUCUCAAAACACUUAUCAUCUCCUCCUCCCACUGCUGCCAAUUGGUUGGCAGUUGUAGUCUCAAGACAAAACAAGAGAAGUGAGAAUAUUAAAAAAACACAAGGAUGCAUGAUGUAAAAUUGUAAAUGCAAAUCUUAAUUGGUGAUGUUUUUUGUUUGUAUUGAUGAAAAUUUGAAGAUGCCCCAUGCAGCUUUAUAUAGUGCUGCCAACUGUGAAAAUGAAGGAUUCAAGUGGAUGGCCUCAAACUGCACACCUAUCUUGGGGUCAUUUAUUUAGGAAAUAAGAUAAAAUAUUAUCCAUCAUAGUGAAAUUACAAUGCAUAAAAUAUUUCUCUUGAGAAUGGUAGGAACAAAAUUCUUUUUUUUUUUUUACCUUUUUUUUCCUCAAUAUGGAAACAUUUUUUAAGUCUAAAAAAUAAUAAAUUCUCAUUUUUUUAAUAAAAUAAAACACUAAAUAAUGAAAAUUCAACACCAUUCAUCAAUGAAUACAUUGUUAAAAAAAAUUGUUUUUUAUAUCGCUAUGGAUGUUUAAUUGUAAGGCCUAAAAACAUAUAAGUUUUGGUAUAUUUGUUAAAAACAAAUAAUUAACAUUCACCCUCGAAAACAACAUAUUCACCAAUGAAAUAAAGUGCUAAAAAACACUUCCUUAUUAAACUAAGUUGGUAGUUUAGAAUCAGAUUGUUAAUAUUAUUACUCUUUAGGGUAUCAAAGUGUAAUUAUUCUUUUCUUUAUAUUUGGUUGUAAUAUUGUCCAAAUUAAUAAUAAAAAUCACGUUAUCAAUUUCUUAUUUCUGUUAUGGUAUCAGAGAGUACUUUCCUCUAACCCUAAUCCCAGUUGGAGCGGCAACCCUAAAAUUCAGACUGCAAUUACAGUCUCUGUUCCUGCCAAUCAACAGCAAUCAGGUAAUCGUGAGCCCUGAAGUUUUUCGUUCUAUUGUUUCUCAUUGUUCCUUACCUGUUUCGGACAAAUUAUCAAAUAAUUUAUGUUCUUCUUGUCAAUGUGGAAAAUCAUCAAAACUAUCUUUACCUGAUUCUACCUUUCAUAGCACUAAUAUUUUAGAUCUUGUUUAUUGUGAUGUUUGGGGUCCCUCUCCUGAACCAUCCUUUGAUGGUCAUCGUUAUUUUCUUUUGUGUGUUGAUCAUUAUACUCGUUAUAUGUGGAUUUAUCCUUUAACUCAAAAAUCGGAUGUUCACCCCAUUCUCACAAACUUUAUCACCAUGACUGAACGUCAAUUCAACACUAAACUAAAAUGUAUUCAAUCUGACUGGGGGGGUGAAUUUCGCCCUCUCACCAAUCUCUGUCGCAGCCUUGGCAUCAUUCAUCGGCGGUCUUGUCCUCACACCAGUGAGCAAAAUGGCUUUGUUGAACGUCGUCAUCGUCACGUUGUGGAAACUGGACUCUCUCUGUUGGCUCAUUCCAGUCUUCCUCAACGUUUUUGGAACUUUGCUUUUGAAACAGCUGUAUACCUCAUAAAUCGCCUCCCUUCUCGUGUCUCAUCCAACAAAACCCCUUUUGAACAUGUCUUCAAACGUAAACCUGAUUACUUCUUCUUACGAGUUUUUGGCUGUCAAUCUUUUCCUUUUCUUCGUCCGUACAAUCAUCAUAAAAUUGAAUUCCGGUCUACUCCUUGUGUUUUUCUUGGCUACAGCCCUGCUCACCAUGGUUAUCGUUGUCUUGAUCCCUCCACUGAUCGGAUCUACAUUGCUAGGCAUGUUCGCUUCAAUGAACACGUCUUUCCUUAUCAGCCUUCACCAAUACCUCCACUACCUUCUACCUCUCCUUACAUCUCUAAUUUUCCCGAACCACCACCUAGUUUUCCAUCUGACCCAACCCGACCUCCACAGUCUCCACCAUCAUCACCACAAUCUCCACCAUCAUUAUCUCAAUCUCCUUCACCAACUAAUACCAACUUACCACCUCCACCACCAGCUCCUCGGCCUCGGCCAUCCAACCUUCGCCCUAAUCCUAAACAACCAGAUCGAUACAACCCCGCUGCCUACACCACCUCCACCUCCACAUCUCCUCCCCUUGAACCAACCAACUUUACCGUUGCUAACAAGUUUUUAGAAUGGCGUCAAGCAAUGGCCGAAGAGCUAUCUGCGCUCCAUAGGAAUGGCACGUGGACCCUUGUUCCCCCUGUCUCUAAUGCUAAUAUUGUUGCUUGUAAAUGGGUUUACAGGGUAAAAACUGAUGAACAUGGAAAGAUUACCAGGUACAAAGCCCGUCUCGUGGCAAAAGGCUUUAAUCAACAACAUGGUGUGGACUAUCAUGAGACUUUCAGUCCGGUUAUCAAGCCCGCCACCAUUCGUACNAAGCCCGCCAAUUCGUACGGUUCUCUCUCUAGCUGUCAGCAACAAAUGGCCCCUCAGACAGUUAGACAUUCAGACUGCUUUUCUUCAUGGAGAUCUUGAGGAAACCGUAUACAUGCGCCAACCUCCGGGCUUUAUUGAUCAAACCAAACCUGAUCACAUAUGCUUGUUGCAUAAGUCCUUGUAUGGCCUCAAGCAGGCUCCUCGGGCUUGGUUUACAAAGUUGUCUACUCCGCUUCAUCAGCUGGGAUUUUAUGGGUCCAAAACCGAUCCCUCCCUUUUUAUACUAAACUCAUCUGGCUCUCUUGUCUAUCUUCUGGUUUACGUGGAUGACAUCAUCAUCACCGGUAACAACUCCACUGUUGUUGACUCACUCAUUCAGAAACUCAAUUCUCUUUUUGCACUUAAGGAUAUGGGAGAGCUGCACUAUUUUUUGGGAGUUGAAGUUGUUCACAAGGGGUCUGACUUGGUUCUUUCCCAACGGAAAUAUAUUCGUGAGAUCUUACACCGUGCUGGUCUUGCCGAAUGCAGGCUAAUAUCAACUCCUAUGAGCACUUCUCACGUGUUGUUACCCGAUGAUAGCCCCUUACUUGAUGAUCCUUCUCGUUACAGGCAGACAGUUGGAGCUCUUCAGUAUGCUACUCUUUCUCAUCUUGAUAUUGCUUUUGCAGUUAACAAAGUCUGCCAGUUCAUGCACGCUCCUACUGAGAACCAUUGGGCCGGUGUCAAACGCAUCCUUCGUUAUCUUAAGGGCACUAUCGACUUGGGGUUAUGGAUUCGACAUAAUACGGGGUAUCAGCUUCAAGCCUUUUCCCAAUUGGCACUCCAAUCUUCAUGCCUUCUCGGACUCUGACUGGGCAGGUUGCCCAAUCGAUCGUCGAUCCACGGGGGGAUUUGCUAUCUAUUUAGGUUCGAAUCUCAUCUCUUGGUCUGCUCGCAAGCAGAAAACUGUAUCUCGAUCUUCAACAGAGUCCGAGUACAAGGCUAUUGCAGAUACUGUUGCUGAAUUGAUUUGGUUGAAGUCCUUGCUUCGAGAACUUGGUUUGGUUAGCACGGCACCCACACUUUGGUGUGACAAUCUUGGUGCAACAUAUCUCACGGCUAAUCCAGUUUUUCACGCUCGUACUAAACAUGUUGAAGUUGACUAUCAUUUUGUUCGUGAACAAGUAACUCAGGGAAAACUAAAUGUCAAGUUCAUCUCUACAAACGACCAAAUUGCUGAUAUUUUUACAAAGCCCCUGUCAUCUCAGAAGUUUGAGUUUUUGCGUUCCAAGUUGCAGGUUGCUAACCGCCCUGAACUUGCGGGGGAAUAUUAAACUAAGUUGGUAGUUUAGAAUCAGAUUGUUAAUAUUAUUACUCUUUAGGGUAUCAAAGUGUAAUUAUUCUUUUCUUUAUAUUUGGUUGUAAUAUUGUCCAAAUUAAUAAUAAAAAUCACGUUAUCAAUUUCUUAUUUCUGUUAUUCCUAUAUCAAUAUAGAUGUCUACUUUUACGUCAUAAAAAAAGAUUUUGUAAAUUUGUUUUUAUUUUUCAAAAAAACCAAUGCCCUGAUAGGUAAAAAAAAAAAAAAAAAAAAAAGUAACAUUCAUCAAUGAAAACGUCAUGUUCAUCGAUGAACAAACUGCUAAUAAAGACUUUGUAUAUCUAUAUGGAUGUCUUAUUGUAUAACAUGCAAAUAUAUAUAAUUUUGGUAUUUUGGUUUUCAUUUUUCGAAAGAAAAAAAAUACAAGUUUAAAAGAUAAAAAAUAACAGGAUAGGCAUAUUCAUCAACUAAUGGUUUAUUAUUUCUCCUUUUUACAACUAUAUUCUUUUCAAAAAAAAAUAUACUAAAAUUUAUUAUUUUUAUGCUCUAAAAAGAUGACAAUAUAAAAAAAAAUGUUUUUGCCAAUUUUAACAAGAAUUAUCUUUCCAUUUUGUUGACACACCUUGUGAGUUGUAAUUCGUGUAGAGCAUAAAAUCCAUAUUUUUCUUUGAAAUAGAACCAAACUAUAAGACAAAUUAGAAAAGAAGAUUUGAAAUAAACUGCUCCAAAUCACACGUUCAAAGACUUAUACAUCGUGUGGGGCAUAAAAUCCUUAUUUUCCUUCAAAGUAGAACCAUUUUAUAAGACAGGUUAGGAAAAAAAAAAAAAAAAAAAAAAAAAAAAAAAAAAAAAGUGGAAAUAAAUUGCCCCAAAUCAUACGUUCAAAGACUUAUAGAUCAUGUGGAGCAUUAAAGAUGAAGAAUUGAAAUGAAUAGCUUCAUAUUAAACGUUCAAAUGUGUAUAUCUUGUCUGGAGCAUAAAGAACUUAAUUAAUCCCAAUGGGACCAUAACCAAAAUAUAAGACAAAUUAGACAUGAAUAAUUGAAAUAAUUUGCCCCAAAUUAGACGUUCCAAGACAUUCAGGUCUUGGAAAUUUGUAUUUUUCCUAUACAUUAGUACAUAUCCUUUUUGGAUAAAAUAAGACUAAUUAUUUUUGUAUUUUGGACUGAAUGAACCAUUCGAAUAAGAGAAAAUGACCAUUUUACCCUUCUAUCUAAAAGUGAUGUAGAAUCAAAUUGUUUAUUUGAAACUACUGUAAUUUGAAACUAAAAAUCACUGUGAUGUGAGAAAAACUACAAUAACUGUCCUGGUCUUGUAUAAUAAGGAAAUACCAUGUGAAUUUUUUCCUACAGAUAGAGCAAAACCUUUUUCAAAGGAUCGUUUCUCCAAACAGCAAAUCAGAAUGCAAAGGAGUUGUUAUACUCACAAAUAUUGAAUUAAACCCCAAUUUAACAAGGAUUCAUGCCUCUAAUAUUCCCCUUCAGUUAUUAAACAGCUUCUAUUUAUGUCUAAUUGAGACAAUUCUUCCAAUCCUAUGCAGAUUUAAUCUCCUAAACAGAUCUAUGAUACCAUUUAGAAAAGUCCCAACAUAAACAUAAACCCAGAAACAACUUUAAUUUAGGGAAUCAAUUAAAGUUUUUCUCAAUGGAAACAAAAAGGCACCGUUCAACGUCAAAACUAAACAAAUUUGAAGAAAAGAAAAAGAAACAUGGAAACAUCAUUUAACAGAAAAGAAAAGGAGAAGAAAAAUCGAGAUUGAUGGAACAAAAAAGAGAAUAGAGAUGAUCGAGAAUGAGUAGUUGAGAUGGUCCAACAACUUAUCCAAACACUUAAAUUAGCUUAUUGUGGGAAUAAGCAAUAAGCACCUCUUUUUUUCCUAUUCAAACACCCCCUAAAAGAAGCACGAGGAUGAAGUAGUAAAAACUUGGGUAAAUUAUACGAAUGAUACCUCAGGUGUGGGUAAUCUAUGCUGAUCUAUAUCUUCUUUUUCUAACUCGGACGUCCCUACUGUUUGAUUUUACUACAUCUUUGGUCCCUACUACUCUUAAAAAGAUUGUUUUGCUCUAAUAUUUUGUUAUAUUUUAAAUCAUUUUUAAUAAGAAAGUGAGCAUCUCUAUUCAUAGUGUAUAUAUGUGUGGCACACUUCAUGCACAUUGUUCACACAACUCGUGGCUCCAUCCAAAGCUUGCCACAUGUCACACUUCUAGUGGUCCACGUCACUCCAAUCUCGACGAAUCUGGGUGUCAGACGUGCACAUCGAGCAUGACACGCACUUCGCGUGCAUCACUAAGUUUUCUAUAAAAAUUCAUAUCUUCCUUUUAUGAAUCGUGUUUCUUACCCUCUUUAUAUAUUAUGUAGCUUUCCUUGGGUACUACAACUUUCCUUAAGGUUGUGUUGUAAAAUUUUAACAUUUAUUUUUAACCAAUAUUUUAUAUUUUUCCAAAAAUCGCAUCUUUUUAUAGGGACUCCAUUUUUGAGCUUUUUCAUUUCAGAGUAUUUAUCUCUCGGAGUACUAUGAUCUUCCUUUUAGUGGGUUUAGUCAAAACUUAACCGAUUUAUUUAUAUUAUUUUGACGUUAAUUAUGUUAACAACGCAACGGAUUUUUACCAUUUACAAAAUCAUAACUCCUCUAAUCGGAGUCAGAUUUCUACAAAGUUUAUAGCAUUGGGAUCACGUUAUUGUGUACUUUCUAAAUACACUAACCAUUAUUUCUAGCGAUAUAACUUUUUGGUCAAUCACUUUUUACCCUGUUAAUAUUUUUCUUACUUAAAAAUCAUGGUAUAUCUUACCAUAUUUUCCCAAAAUAUGAAAACUGUAUUGCUACCAUUUGUCUCUAGUGACGGUUGUAGGUGGAAAUGUUUCUGAUUGUCACACCUUGUAUGGGCUGAAACAAGCCCCACGAGCCUAGUUUCACCGAUUGUCUAGAGCUGUCCACAAUCAUGGCUUAAAGGAUCUCACACUGAUCCCUCUCUUUUUAUAUUGUCAACUAAGGGUACACGGAUUUUUAUGUUGGUUUACAUUGACAAUAUCAUUAUUAAUUGUAGGAAACAAUCUAGGUGUUAUUGAUUAAGUAGUUUGCAGUCUCAGUCAAACUUUUGCUCUUCAAGACAUGGGAGCUCUAUCCUACUUUCUUGGUGUUUCGGUUGCAUAUUGUGGCACUAAUCUUUUUCAAUCUCAACAACAAUAUGUGUUGGAUAUUUUACAACAUACAUGCCUUGCGGACACUAAGCCAGUCAGCACUUCACUUCCAACCGAUGCACUUGUUCCCUCGGCGAUACUCCUCUCUAUGAGAAUCCUGUUUGCAAUCGUUAAGUUGUUGGUGUUCUCCAAUAUGUUACAUUAUAUAGACCCGACAUCAUUUAUACAGAUUGUCAGUUCGUGCGUUCUCCAACAACCAAACACUGGUCUACUGUUAAACAGAUUCUAAGGUAUCUUUGGGGCACCAACAAUUUUAGACUUCGGCUCACACCGUCGCGUGACACCACUAUUCAUGCAUAUGGAGAUGCAAAAGUUGUGGUUACCGCCUACUCUAAAGUUAAUUAGGUUAUGUUGGGUGUCCGGAUGGUCGUCGAUCCACCAGGAGACAUGAAAUCUAUCUCUCAUGUAUUAUGUUAAUGAUCAAUAAUACAAUACGUUUACAUCAAGUUUACUCCUAACUUUAGUAAACUAGGAAUGGUCUUUAUGGUUUUGAAUCUGCAUCUAUGGGUUUCUAACUCUACUUUUUUCCAAUUAGAGAGUUCUUAUAGUUUGAUUUCAUUUUGAGUGAUCAAGUAUUAACAAAACCUAUAUAAAUGUGAACAAAUUAUAUAUAUAUUUAUGGUUAUAGCGCCAGGGUCCCAUGUGGACAUGAGGCUGAUCCCAUUCACUAUAGAGACACUCACUCACUGAGUAUAAAAGUAAGAAAAUGUAUGUUUUAAUAAUCUUUUUCAAAGUACUGAAAAUGUAUGUAUGAGAGAUAGAUUGCAUGUUGAACCAAACCUGUCAAUGUCGUUUUUGUAAUUAACUCUCCAAUGAAGAACCCACUUCCCUGGAAGGUUGUAUCCUACAGUUAGUUGCCAAUUUUCUUCAUCCUUACCACUGUCUAAUUUGAUUGAUAUAAAUGAUAAAUACAAUUAACAAAGUAAAUAACCAAAAUGACCUUUUGGUAAAGCGAAACUUACAGAAUGUAUCCUAUCUAACCAUGGGGUAAACCCGUUGGAACAAUUAAAGAUGAUGUAUGAAAUGAAGUAAGUUAAGCAUUUUAAAAAACAGUUUGUGUGCAAAAAAAAUUGUGCUUAAAGGAAAUUUCAUGUAAAAUCACUUCUUUGCCUACUGUGAUAACAAUCACAUGAGGAAGAAAGUAAUAAAAAUCAAAACCUAAAACUAUAGUUGCUAGUUUAUCAGGGUGGGAAUCAAAUAGCUUACCGGAGUUGAGGAUACGCCAGAUGCAUGACUACUUCAAUGGUGGACGAUAAAGGGAGAGCAUCGGGCGCAAAUGGUGAACGGAGGAGUGAGAGAUGCAUAUGAGGAACUGAUUCGUGUGUCACCAAAUUUCUUGUAUGUUUAAAAACGAUAUCCAACCCAAAACAUCAACAAUCCCAAUGUAUCGCCAAAUGUCAUACGAAUGCCACGUAUCCAUGAAGCCGAAGAUGGAAAAUCGACAAAACUAAAAACCAUGUUUUGUUCAUCGGCUGAAGGCCUGAAGCACAAGACUAAACUGCAAAGUUGUAACUAUUCAUAAGCCGUAUCCACAAUUAAUAUGUUAUAUAAUAUCCUACAAAUUGUAAGCACAAGACUAAACUGCAAAUUUGGUAUCUGUGGUUAUCAAAAAAAUGUGGAUAGAAUCCAAAUUUUUUUUAACUUGUACCAUUGGUCCAAAAUCGAAUUCUUUUUGUGGUUUUGGUCCCAAGAAAAGUUGAAAUGACUUUUUUGCCCUUUUACUUUUAUUUUUGAAUUUCUUUACUAUUUUUUUAACAUUUAAAAAAAAGAAAAAGAAAAAAUAAAGUGGCCAAUAUUCUACCCACCCGUAACCCUGCUCUCUUUUUUACAUUUUUCAUCUCUUUGACUCCCCUCCCCCUCUUUUUUACAUUUUUCAUCUCUUUGACUCCCCUCCCCCGUCUCCUUCCUACCACCACUAUUGUUGUCUUCAUCCCUUCGCUUUCUCUACGUUAAGCACAUUAACCUACAAAACUUACAUAUGUUCUUCACUUUCUUUACAACCACUAAUCAAAUAUCAAAAUACAAAAAACACUUCACAUGUAGAUACACCUACAUGUAACUUUAAAAAAAAAAAAAAAAAAAAAAAAAAAAAAAAAAAACCACCCCCUGCCUUGUACCUCCCUCUCUCUCUCUCUCUCUCUCUCUCUCUCUUAGAUCUGCAAAAUCCCUUUUACAACACAAUUAAUAUGAUCGAUGACUACACCAAAAUAUCAUGGAACGGUGGGAGGUUAAUCUAAACCAUCCAUGCUAGAAACCAAUCUUUAACAUUUUGCGUAGCUAUUCAACCUCUCCAGAAAAUGGUAGAAAUCGAUCUCUAAGAUAUGAAGCACAAAAAAAACUAUGAGAUGUAUCAGAACAAUAGGGAAGAAGUAAACAAACUGAUUCCCACCCCCAGCCUGUUCCUGUCUCUGCCUCCUCCAUUCCCUCCUCUACUCUCCCGUUGUUGGUUACCGAAACACCAACAACCAACUAAAGAGAAUUGGUUCCUCAAGAAUCCUCAAAUUGAAGAUGCCACACAUAACCUAAUCAGGUAAAAAUGAGAUUUCUUCAGCGGAGAUAAUAUUUGGAGCAACCCCACUCCUGAUGAACAUAAUCAAGAAACCCAAAAUAGAAAAAUUAGGGUUUUUGUCAACAACUUCUCAACCAUUGGAACUGAUCAAGAUGCAGGUCCUAAAGUAGAAACAAUCUUCGUUUUCGGCCUCUACAUACCAACUAGUUGCGAGCUCUAGCCAAUUGCCAUUUGAUCGAUAUUCUUUUCGAUCGAAUCCCUCUGUUAUAUCCUCCUUGGAAAACACCACCAGCUCUUCCCUAAUUUUCAUCAUGUACAUCCCUUGGGGACAACGAAAUGGGUCGGUGCUGGAAUCUCAGCUUUCUUGUUGGUUCUGAUUUUAGUGUGUUUUGGUUUUUGAUUAGGUGAAGAAGUAGUGAAGUGAAGGAGUUCGAUGGGUAUCAUGUUCCAAAUUGAGGAUACAACACAGAAAAAACGGGAUAGAUAGGGAAGAAAGAGAGAGAGAGAGAGAGAGAGAGAGAGAGAGAGGGGAGGGAGAAGGAGAGAUAAAGAUGAGGGUACAUAUGGUGUGGGUGGGCCAUUUUCUUUUUUCUUUUUCAUUUUUUUAAAUAUAAAAAAAGAGUAAAAAAUUCAAAAAUAAAAUUAAAAGGGCAAAAAUGUCAUUUCAACUUUUCUAGGGACUAAAACCACAAAAAGAAUUCAAUUUCGGACUAAUGGAGCGAGUUGAAAAGAUAUUGGACUCUAUCCAUAUUUUUUUGAUAACCACAGUGACCAAAUUUGCAAUUUAGUCUAAGCACAACUGGACCACUUUUACAAAUUUAAUAUAAUAUAUAUCAUUUUUAUAAUUUCGUAUAAACUAUUAGGAAAGUGGUUACUUAUUUAAAAGGUUGCAGAAAUCGCUCAAUGUAGGCUAAUUGGUGGACUCGGUCAAGGGUUAAUCGGUUAGGCGAUGAUUAAUCGGGGACCAUUAAUUAUUAAAAAAUUAUUAAAAAUUAAUAAAUAUGACAUUAAUGCUAAGAAUAUAAGUCAACAAGUUAACAAAUAAUAAAUAUGUAGUACAUAAUUUAUUUUUAUUUUCAAUUUGGCAUGCUAGUUAGAAGCUUGAUUAUCACGAAUGUCACAAACACCAUAAGAACCACAUAAUCCAUAUUGAUCACAAUUAUCUAUUUGUGCACUCAAAUCAGGUGUUUCGGCUUCCACGGAUAUCAAAGCAGUGUGUACUUUCCCAACCCAAUUGAAUGAACGCGACAUAGUUCUUGAUAGCAAACUAAAAGCAUAGACCCUACAAAUAAUUGAAAACUAUGAUCAAGAAAACAUUAAAAAUCGAUAUAGAUAGAAAUGUAAUUAACCAAGAUCAAGCAAACAUUAAAAAUCUGAGAUCAAGCAGACAUUAUGUACCUUGAUAUUUCACUUAAGUAAAAAUCUGAUCUCCUGUAAGUUCGAGACCAAUAAUAGAUAACAAGCUACGAUUGUGAAAUAUUUCUAGAGUAGUCGUCAUCGUUGCUUGAGCACAAUCGUUAACAGAUAACAAGCUACAAUUGUGAAAUAUUUCCAGAGUAGUAGUCGUCGUCGCUUGAGCACAAUCGUUGAGCAAGUGACAAUAAAUGAGCACCGUCUGGCUAUGGAGAAGAAGUGGAAGGUGAGAAAGACGAGGACGAAGCUUGAGGUUGAAGACUAGGACAACAGCAAACAAUGUUUCUAUUUCUUUUAUUCUUGGGAGUUCUUUAUUUGACAACUUCAAUGGUGCAUCACGAAAGAAGAAAGAAGACAUGUCAAUUUAUUGUAAGAGAAGGAUGGUGCGAUUUUUUUAUUGAGUAUCCUACAUCACCGGUGGGAUAAAAAAAACAGAGGGAAAACAUUUCUAUAAAAGCGUAGCUCCCUUCUUUGAAAACCAAACCUAAUUAAGUUUUAGGCUAGCCGACUCCUUUGAGUUGGUGGGUCCAUUAAAUUUAAAUGGUCCGAUUUUGUCCAAUUUGGACCAAAUUGGUCUGGUUUUGACCGAUAUUGACCAAGGCCAAUUAGUUAACCCUCUAACACUUAUUCAUAGGCGGUUGGAAGUCGUCUAGCACCUAGGUGCCGAUUAAUCGGCGCCUAGGCCAAUUUUUACAACCAUGCUUAUUUACUAUAAUAUAGAUCAUUUAUAUAAUUAUAUUUUAAACUAUUACAAAAGUGGUUACUUUUAUAAUUUUACUAAUGUAUAAGGACUAUUUCCGUAAUUUUACAUUUUCUGUUAUUAUAUAUGCACCAUUUCUAAAAUUUUACAAUUAUACAAGAGCUAUUUUCGUAAUUUUACAUAUUAAAAAGAUAGGCAUCAUUCCUUAAAUAUUUGCAUUUUGUCUACAUACGGACAAGUUCUAGAUACUUACUAUUACAUAAAGACCAUUUCUAUAAAAAAAAUUGACAAAAUUCUACAAAUGGUCCUUAUGGUUUUGAUUUUAUCCCCAAAAAGUCAUUAUAAAACCUUUUCUUUUGCAUGAAUGGUCUCUAUCGAUAAAACUUUGCACUCCAAUCGUCCGGUGAUGGAUGUCUGUUAAAUGGAGUCGUUAAGUUGAAGAGAUUUUAGAUAAGGACCAUUUCUGAUAUUUUGUGAAAUUUCGCCUAAGAAUCAUUUUUGAAAUUUAAAACAAGUUUAUUAAAUCAUGUAUUAAUUACCAUAAAUCAAAUAAAAAAACAAACUAAAAGAUACAAUGUUACAAAUGCUUCUUACUUGUCUUCAACCUCCAAAGCUUCCUCUCACUAAAGAUUAUAAUUGUUGGUGCACGCAAAACUCUAAUUAAACUCUAAUUUGUAUAUUAACCUUAUGUUUAUAUUACAAAGUUGAUCCUUUUUUUUUGGACAAAUGUUUGUUAUAUUCCAAUAUUUUGCUACUUUUACGAAAGGAAUUAUCAUUCAUUGUCUAUUUUUUUUACUAUAUAGGUGGAUCUUGAAGAAGAUGCGACACAUAACAUCAAUACAAAGAGUUACAUCCUCAUCAACUUAUAAUGAAGUUAUGUCUUCAAAAUUUGAUGGAAAUCAAGAAAAGAUAGUGGAAUUAAAGCUUCAAUUAAUGAUUUUCCAUAUUCCAGAGGUGGGUCGAUCCCAAGAGGUGGGUCGAUCCCAAAAACGUGUUACUGAUUACAAAUGUUUCAUUUAAUUGAAACAUUAGGUUACAACCCGUGGAAACCACGGGUAAAAAAUUUAUAAAACAUUUAUAAUUAUUAUUAAGAAAUUUUUGUUUUAAGUAUUUUCUCCAUUAAUCUUUGGUGAAGCUACUUAAAAUAACAUUAGGAAGACUUUAUGUUUAGACGAUAUAAAGAAAUUAAUUUAAUUUACAUAAUUUGUGUAUAUAACUGGUUAUCCGUUGAAAUACCAAUCAUAUAUUCUGUCAGGUACAAAUAUUGGUGAUUCAAAUGAUAUGUCCAAGAAGAUUCAACUAAUAACUAAGAACCUCGAUAAUGUGUUUUAUAUGAGAUUAAAUUAUAUUCUCUUGUUAACUUGAACUCCAAAAUAGGGUAUAAAGCUUGAAGGUAAAAUGGGAAAAUCUCACAAUUAAUGUUUAUGAAUUAUUAGUUUUUUAUUUUAUUUGAUGAUACGUAUGAACUCUUUCUAAAGUAAAAAUAUACUUAUUAAUCAUAUUUGCAAUGUAUAAGGGUGUUGAUGUUGAUGUUUGUUUGUUUUUUUUUUUUUUUUUUUUUUUUUUUUUUUUAUUUUUUUUUUUUUUUUUUUUUUUUUUUUUUUUUUUUUUUUUUUUUUUUUUUUUUUUUUUUUUUUUUUGCCGAAAUCACAUAUAAGGCAUAUGAUUUGAUACAAAUGAUUAGGGAAAACUAAAGAGUUCCAGAAAGGUAAAAAAAAUUGCACUUCUAUUACUCAUUAAUGGUUUCAUGUUAAUCAUAAGUAUCGUAGUGUUAGUAAGUAAACAAAUGGAACGUUGCUAUUUUUUGAAUCGUAGCAAAAGUUAUAAAUAAAAUAAAUAUAAAAAUGUAAUAGGAGAUUUAGAUAUUAAGAUAUUGCAUUUUCUGAUAAUAACCAUGAUUAAAUGAUACAUUAUAGUUAAGUUAUAUAGCACAGUUUCCAAAAAUUGCAAUAAGACUAUGUUAUAAGGAUCAUAUGUGCCACAAGUUAAACAUUUGGACCGAUUACAUACUUUAAUUAUUCAUAAAAUACCAUUCAUACAAUUUACUGAGUAUAUUGACAUAAGAAUUAUUUUUUAGCGGAAGGAUAAUUCAAACUUUGACUUGUUGAUACGAAAUUAAUGUAUUAUAACAAUGUAAAAGGAUAGUUUUAAACAAUAAACAACCGUAUUGUCAAACAGAAAAACUGUAAAACAAAAUCUAAUAAAUAGAGAUUAUCUAAACAAUGAACGUAGAUGGUGGCACUCUAGUAUCAAAUCGUAAUCAUCCUUCAUAUUGUCCAAGUCUUUAAUUAAAGUGAUGUUUCUCUCUGUCAUUGUCACUGUAACAAAAUAUAAAAGAAGAAAAUAUUAUGUUAGCAGAAUGUAUAAUGUGAGUAGAUUAGAAUAAAGGUCAUUUUCAAAUCGAUUAUUCUACCUAAAACUUCAAAUUUGUGAUUAUUAGUGUAUAUAAAAAAAAUUUCAUUCCACAGUUAAGAAAUACACUAAUAAUCACAAAUUUGAAGUUUCAGUUAGAAUAAUCGAUUUGGAAUAUUGAGACACAUCAUAAGUAUCAUAAGUAUUCAGAACAUAAGUAAAAGGGAUUCACGAAAGAAAUGGAAUUUGCAGGAAAAAAAAUUAAAAAGAAAAAGAUUUCAAGGCUAAUUAAAUGGUCUUUUGUUUUUUUGAUUUCGUUUAAUAAAAUGGGUUAUCUUCAUAUUGGAUUUUGGAAUAGCAAAACACAUAUAUCAGGAAGAAGUAUGGAUAUGAAGUAUAAAGAACUUGGAACAAAUUUGGAAGGAGAGACAACUGAUAUCACAACACCCAAAACAGUAAGUAUCAAAAAUGUUGAAAGGGUGAAUUCAAGAUAAGUAGAAUGCUAUGAUGAUUCUUAAAUAUACUAAAAUACUAAUGCUAACCUAUGAUAUUCGAAUGAUGUUGACACUACAGCAGCAUGAAGCUAUUUUUCUGUGAGGAAGCAGUUAAAGGAACUACAGGAUUCCAGGAUUACAAGUUAGAAGUUAGAAAAUAGUAAAUAUAUAUGAAUACGGACCAUUAUGGUAUGUAUUAAUUCCGAUAUAAUUUCCUAUUUUUUGGGAUUAGACUUUAUUUCAGAAUUCAAAUUCAAAUUAAUGAUUGCAUACACAUUCCUUAUAUAGAGGAUUGCAUACCAAAUAUAUUCAUUGUGCAUUAAAUAUUUUCGUGGAGUAAAUAGGAAACAAAUAUGGAGUUAUAUUCAGAAAAAUAAGACGAAGGGCAUUACGGUCAAUUUACAAUAAUCGAAAGAUGGAUAUAGAGAGAUGCCAUGUGUACAAAAGGUUUCAUUUAUUAGAUAGGUAGAUUUACAAUUGAUGGACAAACUAAGCCUUGAGUAAUUUACCAUUCCCAAACGGUGUCUGAAGUUGUAAAAUUCCUUUAAACCAUCAACAAUGUUGGUUGGUUGCAACAUUCUAUUCUACAAUUGUUGAGCACCCUUGUGAUAUUACCUUUUUAACCUUUUUUCUAAAGUUCUAACUUCCUAAAAAGCAUCAUCAAACAACUUCAUCAACAUCAUUAGAAGAGCUAACACUAAUAUAAGGAUUAUUAGGCUUAAUGACUUGUACCCCGUCCUCUGAAUCAACUAGCUUCCCAUCUUCUUCAUCCACAACUUCAUCAACAUCGUUUUCUAGCCCAAUUUCUCUAUUUCAUUCCUUUUAUUCUUGAACUCCAUUGCAGGUUUGCAUCGCUAGUCAGUGUCAUCUGAAUGAAAAGAAAGAAUUAUCUUCAAAAGGUCGGUCCGCCUUCCAAGUGUUUGAUGAAAUGUCUGAAAGAAGUGAAUACUGAUUGCUAAGAAUAAAUUUGUUUCAUGUGUUUGAUCUUGAUUUCUAAUUCUUCAUUUUUCUUCUGACCUUUUUAUCUACAGACAGGGCUCUCAUAUUGCUUACCUGUUGUUGUAUGUGGAUGAUAUAAUUCUCACCAGCUCCUCUCCUCAACUUCUGACUCAUAUCAUUAAGCUGCUUGGAUCCGAGUUUUCUAUGUCCGAUCUUGGAGAUCUUCAUUAUUUUUUAGGUAUCGCUGCCACCCAGACUGCUGAUGGCCUGUUUUUGUCUCAACAGAAAUAUGAUAAUGAGAUUCUUGCCCGUGCUUCUAUGUUGAAUUGCAAACCUGCCUCUACUCCAGCCGAUCUUAGCACCAAAUUUGAUGGGUCGGGACCUCCUAUUGCAGACCCUACGCUAUAUCGCAGCCUUGCUGGUGCUCUUCAGUAUUUAACUUUUACUAGACCAGACAUCACGUAUGCCGUUCAACAGAUAUGUCUCUACAUGCAUGAUCCUCGUGAGCCACACUUUGCUGCUCUUAAACGCAUUCUACGUUACGUUCGUGGUACUUCUGAUCAAGGACUUCAAAUUUUUUGUUCUCCAUCUCGUGACAUUAUAGCAUAUUCUGAUGCUGAUUGGGCUGGCUGUCUUGUUACCAGGUGCUCCACCUCAGGUUAUUGUGUCUUCUUGGGGCAUAAUCUUUUAUCCUGGUCCUCUAAACGCCAGUCUACUAUAUCCCGCUCCAGCGCUGAGGCCGAAUAUCGUGGGGUUGCUAAUGCCGUUGCUGAAACAUGUUGGAUUCGGAAUUUACUUCUUGAGCUAUACUACUCUCCUCAUCGAGCUACACUUGUAUACUGUGAUAAUGUGAGUGCUGUUUACAUGUCUUCUAAUCCUGUUCAACAUCAACGGACUAAACAUAUUGAGAUUGAUCUGCACUUUGUUCGAGAUAAGGUUGCCACCGGUCAUGUUCGGGUCCUUCAUAUUCCUUCCAAAUCUCAAUAUGCGGAUAUCUUCACUAAAAGCCUCCCAUCCACUUUGUUUCUUGAUUUUCGGUCCAGUUUGAACGUUCGCCAACCAUCUCCCGUUCCAACUGCGGGGGGUUGUUAAUGGAUCUAUUUGUGUAUUUGUAUUUAUUCUAGUAUAGCCCUUUAUUAUUUAUUUAGGCCUUGUAUAGAUGGCCCAUAGGCAUUAUGUAUAAAACCGUUUCUAAUGUAUGAAAGGAGGGGAGAUGAGAAAUUAUUAAAAUAACAAAUAUAUGAUCUUGUUUUAAGUAAUUGAUCACAAAAUGUUAUGUCCAACUACAUAUCAGUCUUCUGUUGUGCUCCUAUUAAUGAUACCAUUUGAGAACAUCUUUUUCAAAAUAGUUCAUCGCAACCUCCUAACUUUCAUCACUGGACAAUCGAUUUAGGAAAAAAAAAAUUUGGUUUUGGUUCUUGAAUGGCCCUCUGUUUUUUGAUCUUUAUCCAUCUUCAAAUGUUAAUCUAUUUAUUUUAUUUGAUUCUUCUUGAAAUAGCACAACUGACAUAUUUUCCUCUUCCAGGUACCCCAUAUUUUGUUCUUGCUGAUAAUUUUUUAAGAGAUGAAGGUUUUGUUUCACUCUUUUAGGAUUUGUUCCUUUUUUCAUCUUCUUCCUAAACAUCAGCUGACUAAAGAAACUUGGAUGCACUGCUCUUAGUUAUAUCAAAAUAUGUAUUAUUUUUUGUUUAAGAGGCUUAUAAGGUAAAGCUGACUAAAAAAAUUACUGAACAAGUGACAUUAAUAGCAAAAGAUGAAGAUGAAAGUACAUACAUGGGGGUAGUGUUCUGUGGCCUGUGUGUAUGUGUGUGUUUUAAUUAGGGAAAAAACUAAAUUAGUUUUAAUAAGAAAACCAUGCUUCAAAAAGAAAACAUGAAACCAGGAUGCUAAAAUAAAGUCAACGGAAGUACAUGCUAUUUCCAGCAUAUUCUCUUUGACUUUGAACUAUGUUUUAAAUUCAAAAUGCAUGGUACCUUUGAACAAAACAAAAAAAAAAGGUUUAGUUGAGGGGUGACAAUUAACUUUUGUCCAACCAGAGUUUAACCAACUCAUCUUCAAAGGGCAAUAUAACAUACUCACUGCAAAUUCAUUUUUGGACUUCAGACAUACACUUAAAUAGGUUUUUUCUUUAUAUGCUAAUGAUUUUGUAUUCAGUAAAAUACAAUACAUUUGUUCCAUUAGUUUAUUUAUUUUAACAUCAUAUUAUCAUUUUUUUUUCUGAUUACAACAUUGUAUUUUGAAAUAUUUUCUCAUUUCGGUAGAUUUUUCAAAAUACAUUGCCUUAAGAAAUGUUGUGUUACUGUAACUCUAUGCUAUGCUUCUGGAUCGAGUUUUCCAAGUAGAAACAUGAUUAUUAAAGUCCAUGUGCAGAAUUUUUUCAAAAGCAAAUGGUUCACAUGUUAAAAAAAAAUUAGAAAAAUGGUCCCUAACUAAUAGAAAAUUUGGAAAUUAUGAGUUUCACAACCCCAAUUGGAAAUUACCCCGCACAAAGUGAGGAACGGGCAAUUUCUAGUAAUGAGAUUUAACAUUGAUUUACUGAUGAACAAAUAAGGCCUUUUGAAACAUAUAUGGUGUAUAUUAUUAUAUAGUCUUGAAGAAAAGCAACGUAUAUGGAUGGAUAAUCCUUUGAGAAAUAUAUUUCCUACAAAAUUUCUUCAUUAACCUAAGUUUAUUUGUCAAAUAUGGAUAAAAAAGUAAUUGACUGUAUGUGUACAACUACAAAACUUCAUUACUGUCACAAGUUUAACCGGGACCGGAGAAGUCAUUGGAAACUGGAAUAACCUUUAAUUACCGUUCAUAAUGGUACCUUUUGAAUAUGUUAGGUAAGUUUAAUAGUCAAACGUAUACAAAAAAGAUGACCAAAUGUGAACAAAUGUGAUAGAUGGUUACUGUCAUAAGUCGUUUUCCCUUUUUAUUAUUAUGCUUCUUCUUCUUUUUUUUUUUUUUUUAACUUUCUUAAAUAUAAAUGGACUAAUAUUAUAAAAGUCCUAGAUGGUUAGGUAAGUCGUUUUCCCUUUUUAUUAUUAUGCUUCUUUUUUUUUUAACUUUCUUAAAUAUAAAUGGACUAAUAUUAUAAAAGUCCUAAAUUUUUAAGGCGUAUUUGGAAAAAGCCCUAUAUUUUUUUAUCAUUGCUAUGGCUAUAAUUUUCUCGCAGAAUUAUUACUUUAGUCCACUUAACGAGUUUCAUGGUUAACUUGGUUAAUUUUUUUUUUUCUUUUUUUUUUUUUGAAAAAUCAGUUCUAAAAAGUUCAAAUUUGGUUCCUAAGGUUUGCAAACCAUUACACCAUAUUGUUUUUUAAGUUUAUUUUUUGUUUUUUCAUACUUUAUUUAUUUUCGGUUUUCUUAAAAAUAUAUAUACAUUUUUUAUUUUCUUUAUAUAUAUAUACUUUAUUUAUUUUCAUUUUUAGUGUGUAUAUAGAGUAUAUUAGAUUUUUUUUGUUAGUUUUUUUCAUAUUUCGUUUCGUAUUAUAUUUUAACUUUUUCAUCUUUUUAUUUAUUUUUAUUUUUUUUUCUUGUUUGAUUUCCAAUUAUUUGUUUUUAUUUUUUUGUAUUUUUAAUUUUUUAUUGAACUUUUUCAAAAAAUGUUAAAUGUAUUAGUAUAUUAGAGUAUAUUACAAUUUUGAUAAUUUAUAGUUUUUGUAAUUUUUUUUAUUUUUAUUGAAGUAAAUAAAACAUUUAUGUUUAUAUUUGUAAUUUCGAUCCAACAUAUUUUAUUUUUGUUUUUUUUUUCUUUAGUAUUAUCAUAUUAAUGUUACGAAAAAAUGAAAAUUAAAAAAAAAAAAUUACCUUGUUUAUAGAGAAUUAGUGUUUUAGUAUGUUAUAUAACUUGCAAAUUAAAUCAUAUUUCUAUAUGUGAUAUCAAUAGUUUAAAUUCAAGAUAACAUUUUUCAAUUUGAUAAUAGACUAAAAGAAAUAACAAAAAAAUAAUAAUAAUAGUCAGUCUCUAUAAAAAAAAAAUUGUUAUACUAAUUUAUAUUGAUUCAAGUUCAUUUACUUAAAUCAAAAUAAAUAAAAACAUUAGAAAAACCAUAAAUAACUAAAAUAGAAAACAAAAGGUAAAAAGGUAAAAAAUCAAAUUGUUGAAAAAUAAAGUUUAAAAAUGAAAAUAAUUAAAGUAUAUAAAAAAGAAAAUAAAAAAUGCAUAUAUAUUUAUUAAAAAAAACAAAAAUAUAUAAAGUAUACAAAAAACGAAAAAUAAAAUUAAAAAACCAUGUGUAAUUUUUUGCAAACCUUUGGGACCAAAUUUGAACUUUUUAGGACCGAUUUUGCAAAAAAAUUAACCAAGUUAACCAUGAAACUCGUUAAAUGUGUUAGAGUGAUAAUUCUGCAAGAAAUUUGUGGUCAUAGCAAUAAAAAAAAAAAAAAAAAAAAAAAAAAAAAAAAAAAAAAAGACAAAAUUGCAAAAAUGGUCCCUGUGGUAUGCAUUUUUUACGGGUUUUGGUCCAAACCACGUGUAUUUUGGUUUCAUGGUCCUUUCUCCUUCCUGAUCUGCAAUCGAACAAUUGUGGUUUGUUUUUGUGGAAAACUCGCUUUGGUAAGAACGUCUUGGACGCCACUGAAUCCAAGAAGGAGGUUUUAUGCGUGCCCUACUAAGGAUUCUGUUUGCGGGUUUAUCGGGUGGGUUGAUCUGCUUAUGUGUGUUAGGAGUAAAACCAUCAUACCUGGUAUUCUAAGAAACAUAAAUACGUUGGAGGAAAGGUGUAAUGGACCGGUAAGAAGUAUGAAUAUGUUACAGGAACAGUGCAAUGGGUGUGAACCAAAAACAAUUACCAAAUUAAGCAAAUGUAACAAAAGUACAUUACCAAAAUGUAACAAAAGUACAUUACCAAAAUACAUGUCAUAAAUUGACCAAAAUGCAUAUUUCAUUAACCACAUGAGUGGAACCAAAAACAAUUACCAAAUUAAGCAUACAAGUGUCUAUGCACCAUACAUAACCACAUCAUCAAAACAUAACUAAAGUUUUCAAAAACAAAAAGUUCUUAACAACAAACAACUAAAUAGUCAUUGCGCCACAACAAACAACCAAACUCACUUCUUGGAUUGAUUUCCACAUUGCCCUUUACAGGUCCUAGAGUUGUGUCCCUUAUUCUUGCAUUUGCUACAAGUAACACUGAUAUGUUUCCUUGAUAGCUUCUGCACUCCAUCAUUUGUUGGCCCUUGGGAAGGUUCUCCUUACAUCUCAUUGACUCCAUCACCUUGACUUGCCUUCUGCCUUUUGCUUAACCUUUCACCCUCACUUUGUCUUCUUUUUUUCUUAGGCCUUCCCACUUGAGUGCGAUGUGGAGGGAUUAGCUUUGUUGGACAAUUACUUUUAGGCAACAUGGGUCUCCCUUUAAUUGGUUCCACCUUAAAUGAAUAAGCUUUUUGCCAUGUCUCUAGCCAAUACACCUUGUGUACCCACUUGUAAAUGUCAAGCUCAGCCUCAGGGUCUUUGCUCAUUUCAUUUAGAGUUGCAAUUGCAUGCCUGCAAGGUAUUCCCAUUAAUUCCCACUUUCUCUUUCUUGGUCUGAUCCUUCAUCCAAUGAUCCGAACUCCUCAUUGUUGAUCACUUCCAUAUCUUCAGGUUCAUGGCCAUGAACAUCAUCAAUACAUGCUCCUUCAACAUCACUUUCAACAUUUAGACAGAAGUCUGCCAUGUCCAUAUCAACAUCUUUUAUAUUGUUCUCCUCAUCCAUUAUGGCAUCCACUUGAUCUUCAUUUUUAGAUUGUUUCCCAUCCUCAUCGUCACCUUCAUCCUUUUCAUUGAAACGACCUGAUUUUUUAUCAAGAAAUUUUUUUCGUUUUUAAUUACUCAAACAAUUUCCAUAAUUCAUAAUUUUCCAAACCAUUUGUUUUUCCCCAAAUCACAAUUAUUACAAUUUCAAUAUACUUUGAAAACAUCAGAUAGUCCCAUCACACAAAAAGAGAGGUAGAGUGCACGCCACGUCAUCACGCCUUGCCUUUGCCCUUCGGCUCUGAAGUACCUGAAACAAUCAACAACCUGUAAGCGAAAUGCUUAGUGAGUUUCCUAGAGCAUACACCACACACACAAACCAUAUAUCACAUAUCCUGUUAGCUAUAAAAGCCACACACAUAUCACGUAAGCCAUUCAUACACGAAACCUGAGAGAAUGCCAUGGGCUACCCCACAUAGUCUUUACCUAGGACUGCCAUGGGCUCCCCCACAUGGCCUUACAUCUAAUGCCAUGGGCUACCCCACAUGGUCUUCACCUAGGACUGCCAUGGGCUACCCCUCAUGGUCUUACAUCCAUUGCCAUGGGCUUCCCCCAGGGUCUUCAUACAAAACAUGCAAUCGCAUAACAAAACACAGAAUAUCUAACACACAUGUCACAGUCACAUAAUGGGCCGGCCUUGGUGCCUUAGACCCAUAGGUAUGGUGAGAAGACUCACCUGUCACAAAUGCUGAACUGACACUUUGCGAACAAAUGUACCCCACAGGCUGCUCCACGCAACUGCCUAUAAAGUGUCAUACAGUUUCCAAUCAUUUCCCAAAGUCCAUCCUGGUCAACUUCAUUCAAGGUCAAGUCAACGGUCCAUGUUGACCCUAACUCGCCGAGUACGACUAGUAACUCGCCGAGUUUCCCCAUAAUAACAUCUACUCGUCGAGUUCAUACAGUUUGAAUGAUAAUCUAAGGUCAUUCGUCGAGUUCCCUUGCUUGACACUCGACACGUGACACGUCUACGAACAUCCAACCAUUGGGGAAAUCUUACUUGACUCGCCGAGUUGUUCCUUCAACUCGCCGAGUUCUAGGUAACCUUCAUCCGACUCACCGAGUUCUAGGCAAAAUUCAUCGGGCUCGCCGAGUUGUUCUUCCAACUCGCGGAGUCCAUGCCUGCCUUCAAAUGACUCACCGAGUCACCCCCUGUGACUCGCCGAGUCCUUUCAGAUCCUAAUCCAUAACGACCCUUUUUGAGCCAUGAAAAGCUUCCAAACUACAGAUCUAGGCUCCUGAGGCAUGCUUUCCACGUAAAGUUGCAAACUUUACGUGCAUGCAAGGCUUUAAGGCCCUAAAAUAGCAAAUCUAAACUUGCAAUGGGGUCAUACACUUGAGGGAAGGUACAUGCUAAGCUCAACUGUUAACUUUAUGCAUCUUAAGGCCAAAAGGAGUUCAGAUCUGAAGUUACAACUUCAGAUCUUGGCUUAAACACAAAAGCCCUUUCUUAGAAUCCAAACACAAGAGGGUUUUGGGUGGAAAUGAGCCAAGAGACAGCUUAAUACCUUCAGAAAGUGCUCCACAGGAGUAGAUCUAGAAUCCCCACGAGCCUUUGCUUCUUCUAGCUUGAUUCCCCAAGAGAUCCCUUCACCAAAUCCCUCCUUCAAGCUUCAAAAUCACCAAGAACACACUCACACUCGAAUAAAGGUUUUAAGGAGGUAUAGAGCUGUAAAGGGGAGGCCAAGGGAGGCUAAUGACCCCUUUAAAUAGGGUGCAAGGCCCUGGAAUCUAGGGUUUCAUCUGCCAGCAUCUACUCGUCGAGUACCAUAAUGGACUUGGCGAGUAGAUCAUUAAACCCCCGUAUCCAAACCCGCUACUACUCGACGAGUAGGGAAGCCAACUCGCCGAGUAGGUCCUCCAAGAAUCCAAACCGAAAUGUCAUCAUCAAUACCUGAGGAUCGGGGUGUUACAUUCAUACUCUUUAUCACUCUCUUCAGAUUCUCAUCCCCUUCAUACUCUUCAACAUCCUCAUCACUUCCAAGUAAAUUUUCCAUAAGGUUAUCAACAAGCUUAUUAUAUUGUUCAUCAUCAUUAACAUGUGGGGUGUUGUAGCAUCCUUCAAUAUGGUCAUUAUCCUGAACCCCAAUCAUCUCAUCCCCUACAUUAGCAAUAUUUGAAGUAAAUGGCUUGUAGCAUCCUAUAACAACAGGGACCAUUUUUGCAAUUUUGUCUAAAAAAAUAUUAAGACUUUUUCCAAUUACGCUUUAAAAAUUAAGGGCUUUUAUAAUAUUAGUCCAAUAUAAAUAGAAAAUAUAAACUAUUUACGAUGCCUUAUUUUAGACAACACUAGAAAAUGGCCACCCGUGGUGUUGGUGACAAUUUUAUUGAUAACUGGGACUUAAAAACCCAUGCCAAAUACAAAAAUGAAACAUGGUUUUACAUGACUAUUUAUGUUCUUUUUUCAAUUUUGCAAUGAACAACACCACCUUCACAUGAACCCAAUCUUCAAAGCUAUCAAGAAAUAUAAAAAAUGCAUAUCUUCCACGACGGUUGAGGAGUAAAGCACCACAUGCUAUCCAAAAUCCAAAAGUGAAACCAGUGGCCCCACCAAUAUAGAACCAUACAUCAAGUUCAUCUAUACCUUCACCCUCACUUUCACCAAUGCUAUGUUGUGUUCCCGAUUCUUCAUCUCCAGGACAUUUUUUGGUAAUGGGAGGUCCACAAAGCCCUAAGUUCCCUUCGUAUCUUGAAGGGUCAAAGGACUGAAGUUGUGUGCUGGAUGGGAUUCUCCCUAACAAGUUAUUGCAUGACACGUCUAGGUAACUCAAUAAGGUCAUUUGAGACAUGCUUGAUGGUAUUUCUCCUGAAAACUUGUUUCUAGAUAAAUCCAAAGUUAAAAGAUUUUUCAUCUCACUGAUGUUCCAUGGGAUCUUUCCAAGAAGAGCGUUCUUUGACAAGUUGAGUGCAAUCAGCUCAUCAAGAUUGGUAAUCUGAUAUGGGAUUUCCCCAGUUAAUUUGUUGCUUGACAGGUCGAUGCUCCUCAACAACUUCAUAUUACUUCUGAUGAAUUCACGUUCAGUUCCUUGCCACUGGAUCAUCACAUGGUCAACAUUAUAUGAAUAUCUUCCUAAUGAAAUGCCACGAUCUAAAUUCUGUAGUUGAGAGACUCCUUGUUGCACCAUGAUCGUAAGAUUACUCAAACAUGAGGGGAUGCUUCCAUGGAAAUGGUUCACGGACAAGUCUAGAAUUUGAAGACUUGCUAAUUGACAUAAUUGUAAAGGGAUGCUUCCAGAGAAGUUGUUUGAUCUUAACAUAAGAACAUACAACCCAGAUAAGCUUUCCCCAAUCCAAACAGGCAAAUUACCAGAAAACUUGUUGGCCCCCAAAUUCAAUGACUUUAAGCUCGUGCAAUUCUUAACAGACAAAGGAAAUUCUACAGAGAAAUCGUUCUUGUAUAAAUCCAAUGCCUCUAGCUUAAUCAUAGAUCCAAGAGAGGCAGGAAGCCUUCCAGAAAGAUUAUUGUGUUCUAAAUUAAGAACUUUUAGUUCUUUGAAAUGCCACAAACAGUCUGGAAGUUGUCCGCUUAGAAAGUUAUGGGAGAG
rnacentral:lncRNA from 1 species